rnacentral:lncRNA from 1 species
UAUACUGGAUUAUCGAAAAUACAACUUAUCAAAUGGAUGUGCCCCAUUUUACAUAUACUGCUUGACAUAUAAUAAUUUAGAUCGGUACUUUUCGAACCUAGUGUUUGAUGUGGCUUGAGUUCUUGUAUCAUUAGAACAUUCAGAUCUGAAUAUUAAUCCAACAAGAUGGAAUUACCUCGGGGAAAGCGUACGUGCAGCAAGCAAAGAACAAGAUAGUGUGUGCUCAGAUGCCCUCACGGUCUGCAUGUUAUGGCCUAAUCAUGGAUAUCAAACAGGCCAUGACUGAUUUUCUCUGCAUGUGAGGUCUGACAUGUGAAGCGAGGGAAAAAUACUUUGGCAUAUGGACUUGCGGCGCUAAACAGAAGCACUGGAGACCAAUUGCUGAUCGCUGAAGUGCCUCCUAGUUUACGAUCUCUGAUGAUCUCUGAAUGUACUGGUUCCCCUUGAGUAGGCCAGCCUAUUCUAGUUCUCAAAAAAAAAAAAAAAACAAGAUAAAGAUGGAGUACCUCGGGGGCUAUGUUCGUCCCCGUUGCUGGAUGCUUGGUCUCCACACCGAACCUGUUGUCCAGAACCCCCGCCGCCGUCGCCGUCGCCGUGGUCUUGUUAUCCAUGGUCGCCUCGGAGGUUUUUGGAUUUGCAAAAGAGAGCAAGUAGUCUGUUUGUGUCUGUGUGUGAAGAGGGGAAGGGGGCGGGGACGAUUUAACAGCCGUUUCGGCAGCGCGGGGUUGACCGUCGCCGCUCACCCUCCGGCCACGUCGCGUACGUUUCCUCCUCCGUUGCGUACAGACGCAUCGCAUGCGCCCGAGACAAAGUACCAGCUGUAGUCAGUUUUUUGUAUUCGCUGGCAAUGAAUGGAGGCGUGGCAUACAUCGCAGGCCAUCUCUUACGUGGAACGCUCGAACGGAGAUGCAUGGGCAUGGGCUGCAAGGACAUCUCAACUCAAAAGGUUAUAUCUCAGUGUGGUCCCAAUAAAGAUAGACUGCGUGUCGCUUUGAUUUCGCGGGCGCCGAAUCUUAAUCACAAGAAAUUAGUCGGACAAAUGAUAGGUUGUCGUGCUUGCUUGAAACAGGCUUUCUUCGCCCCCUUCAUAUAAAUAUAGUAAAGUCACAAAUGGGAAAAUCCAUAUAGGCAUAUACAGGCAUGUCAAGAAAAAUGCCAUCCGGAAGAAUGUCACUUGGCUAUUUAUCGAACACCGAGCAUUAAAACAGGAGACGCCACACCUAGCAUAAUAUAAGACACCCUGGACAGCUAAGGUAAAUGGAACUCCGGUACAGGGGGAAAAGAUAAAACACCCAUUCAACCCACUCCUCUCCCGCGGGAGGCCGGGCGAAACCUAGCCGCCACCCUUGCGCACCCCCUUUCCUCGGCCCCUACUCCUCGCCGCCGCCGGGGGCGCUGCCAGGCGAAGCCCGUCUAGCAUCAUCGGCGGCGGGAACCACAUCCUCCUCGCGUGGCGAGACCGGGGAUCGUGCGGUCUGGCUUGGCUUGGGGCGCCCACAUGGUGGCCCGGUGGGCUUCCAGAUCUGGCGCUAAGUCCACUGGCGCAGGCUCCGGGUUGUGGGAGACACGGGCCGGCGGUUGCAUCCGGUGUUUGUUGUGGCUAUAGGCAAUGUCGGCCGGAUGGUGGCCGGUGGGUGGCGGGAGGUUGGGGAUGCCAUUCUAGAGGGGUAUAGCAGCACAAGUAUUUGUACUCCGGCAGACGGCGCAGGGUAGCAGCGGUGGUCUUCCUUCUCCUAGGAGAGAGCCGCCGACGCGCGGGGUUGGGCGGGUGUUAGCCGUGGUGUCAAGCUUGCCGCACGCGCGACGGUGGUGACUUUUCCCUAGGGCUCGAGCUCGGGUGGGCCAGAUUAGGCCCGAGGCAGGUCGGUGCGGUUGCUUCGGGUAGGUGAGAUUGGGGUCGGCUCAGGUGUGGUAGUUGUUGGUGGUGGUUGGGAUACCACUCUUCUAUCAGUCACAUCGGCGUUGUCUAUCACAGGCAUGGCAUCAUAUGAGCUUUCUUGGCGGCGGUCGUCGGUAGUGGCGGGAUUGUGUCUCCCCCGAUCCAUCGGGACUAGCUGGGUGUGCAGGAGCAGAUGCCACCUACCGUGGAGGCGUCCGAUUCGGGUUACGUGAUAGAUGCCGAGAAAAGAGUGAAAGGAGACACCUUUACUCUUCCUUCCAUGGUUGAGGCACUGUGAUGUAGACGGUCCGUGGUGUAUCACACAUGGAUGCUGGGGUGGCGGCUUCGUAUUGUGGGCUGUCCAGUCGGCGCAAUGGCGCCGGUGGUGGCUUUUCCACUUAGUCGUGCGGGCGGCAGGGGGUGUAGCAGCGGGUGGCUCGGGCAUGCUUUGUCUUUGACAAUGGUGGCGCCCUGAUCCAGACCUGGGGAUCUUAUCUCGUUGCGCCUGUCCUGAAGACCUCGUGGUGGCAUGGGGAAGCUUCCGGGUGAAUGCUCCACGCUUUGUCGCCGACGACAGCGACACUCGCGGGCACACCUAUCUUCUUGAAGACGCCGCCAUGGUGCUUCUCUCUCGGUUGAAGGGUUCCGAGUGAAGACCCUUUUGUGUGUGGACUUGGCAGCGGCGACGUUCAGCACUACUCUCCCUCAUGAGUAUGUUGUCGUGAGCUUAGAUGUUAUAGGCCGUAGCGUGGCGUUGUACUCGAUCUUGCUUUAUUAUCUUUUGGUGGUGUACUCAUUUGCAUUCUGCGUGAGGCAGUAUCCUGGGAUCGGCAUUGUAUGUAGGUUGCCUCACCAUCUUGUAUCAUUGAGACGUGUAUUGUUUGGUUGUUGCUUUAUAUAUAACGUGGGGCUAAAGCAUGUUUCAACAUGGCUAAGGCAAGCUCUUCCCUCCACACUUCACCGGCGAGCCCGUGGAUUCGCUUCCUCUCCGCCUACCGCUUCAGCGGCCGGUGGCAGUGAGGGAAAUACCGGUGCCUCCGCUCCAGUUUGUAAUUUAGAUUGAGGUUUUUUAAUUUAGUCCUUGUAGGUGCGGCGUUCAGGCGGAUGGCGUUGCUACUUCUUCGCGUUUGUCUUUCAAGCUCCAACGCCUCGAGUUCGUCUGUUUGGACGUAGUCGACGGAGCUCCGACAUAGAUUCCUGCCAUCUCCUUGGGGGACAAGGUUAGAGUUUCUCGUCAUGUGGCUAGAUUUGAUGUUAGAUGCUUCAGAUCUAUACAAGGGUUCAACGGCGACAACUGCCGCUCCAGAGCGUUGGUCCUUAGGGGCACAUGCACAAAGACUUUCCGGCUGUCAUCGACAAGUUCAAGCCCACUCUUAUAGGGGAGCGGCGAUGGCUACACGACGAUGACUCGUUCUGGAGGUUGUUUAGUGGUCUUGGAAUCUCGAUGUAAGUUUUAUUACGUUUGGCAUGUUUUGUACUUCCGACGAAUUUUGAUAAUAGAUCAGAAUCAUUUUUACAAAAACAAAAAACAUAAGACACCCUAGACUGCUGAACAUGAUCGAUGCUUAACAAUAACAAUCUAUUUACCUUUAAGAAAAACUUUAAAAAAAUUGUUUCUAAAUUAACAAUAAUUAUUAACAACAAAAAAUACAUGGGAAGAAAAGACAACAUUGUCUUAAAAAAUACGAACUUCACAAAAUUAAGACCUCAACACAUGUAUAAGCAGCAGAAACGUGUGGUUCACAUCAGGUAAGCGCAGGUAAAGCAGGUGUCAUUUCAUCUGGGGCGUCGGAUGACAAGCUAGACUUGCGUGUAUCCGGCACUUUUUGGGUAUCAUGAGAGCGCACGCUCGGACCGAGGACGCGCAUGCAGUAGCGUGACAAUGGAAACGGCAGGGAGAUGAGAGUAGUGAAACCAACAAGACAUGUACCACAGUAUGACGACCUAGGGGAAAUACAACCAAACAAAAGCGAAAGGGAGCAUUUCCGUCCGGCCUCAGCUUGAUUUGCCAUUCCGUGCACACCAUCGUGUAUAUUUUUUGUCUGGUUAAUAACCACUUUGCAUUGAGUGGUGAUCGUAUUAAUCGUCGCUCCGUUUCUUGUGAGGGGUUUCCAGUGAAGCUGAAACGUACGUACGCGAUGCACGCCAUGAUGCCGCCAGGAUGGGCAGCGUGCCAGCGUGAGAAACUGCUAUUAAACCCCCAUCGUCUUGCAUACAUCAAGCAUCCACCUCGGAGCGCAUCCACCUCCGGUCGAGAAUACGAGGUUAAAUGGACAAGGAAGAAGGUGGAGGGCAAGUUCGGCGCGGCGAUCAAGCACCCGGUGACGAAGAUGCUGCUGUGGCUGGGGACAUACUUGUCCCCAAGGCAUGCUCGUCCCCCGAGGUCGACUGGACCACGCGCUCGAUGAUGCGAAGCUCUCCGCUUCCCCUGCUGUCGAUGUGUUGCAUGUUUCCUUUAAAUACACUUGUAAUCAGUUCUGUUUGGGUCGACAAGAAGAUAACGAGAAAAGGCACUAUGUGUGUGUGACAAAGUGUGUGUAUCUUCUUCUUCCUUGAGCUUGUGUGUGUGAGUCUUUUUCCUCCUCCUGGGCAAAUCCAACACGGCGUGCGCCUAAACCUUGCGACGAGGGAACUGGAGGGAGCAAGGGCAAAGCUCAACUUUCCCCUACCCUCCGCCGGCCAGAUUGGUUAAGGAGGUGAUUGUUGGCGGCACCUCUCCACGGGGCCGCUCCUCUUCUACUUGCUUCUCUCAUGGCUAUUCUCAAGAACACACUAGAUCUGGACACUGACAAACACACCCAUAUACCAAGGAAGAAGAACACAUGGCCUUUGCCUAGAGAACUCCUUUGGUGACCACGUAGCUACAUUGUGCUUUUGGCCUCUCAAUCAUUUUUUCAUUCACUCAAAGAAAACCAUUUAUACAGAGACUUGACACUCCACGAUGCAUGCGGCCACAACCACCAUGCACCACUCACGCCACUAAUUACCCCCCUAUUCUCAUGCUCACGUCCAGCUUCACCACAGCGCCCAAACAACCCGGCCGUCCAUCUAGCUAGCUAACCAACUAACAAGCUGAACUAACCACUAGCGGUGGAGGCUGGACUAGCCAAGCUCAUCAGCUGGCUUUUUAGGCAACAGCUACGCGGCGCACACACGCAGUCUUGUCACGAUUCGGCAUGCCCAAUGCGCGCACACACACUGGUCUUCAUCGUCGACGUGUCUUAUUUUUCUAACAGUGAUUACUCAACCGAGGCACCGCAGCCACGGUCACGAUGUAUCGUUUUUUCAGGUCAUUACGCUACGACUGGACCCCAUAUCGCUGCCUCCACCGCCGCCCAAGCUCGUGAUUUUCUUUCCCUUCCCCUUUGAAGCGCCUGCCGGUAACCCCGUCGGUGCCUGCAUACCCGUUCCUGCACAUGUCGCAUGCGGCACGAGCAUGGCUCAGCCUGCAGCCGACGCACAUGCACAUGCCUGCUCCAUAGACAUAGCUGCCGAUCCAAUGGAUGAAGAUUGUGGCAUAGGCCAAAAGCACCUUAAGCUCCUCAAGGAAACCCCAAGGCAUUGAAUUGGCCCCAAUAUCAAAUCUCAUUUACUUUGAUAUUGACAUUGAUCAUGAAUUCUGUUGUUUGGAUGUGCACAGAAUUGUCACUUGGAAUUCGACUGAGAGGCUCAAUACUAAAGCUUGUUUGGAUGGUCAUUCUCUAUAUUGGAAUUGUCCAUUUUGUCAAAUGAUGAAAAAUGAACUUUGAUGUAAUGUUUGAAACUAAAUUAUAUGCAAAAUAUUUUUUUGAAUGAUAAUAUAUGAAGAAUACAAUGGAAGAAAUUAUAAAGUAGAUGCAAUUAUCCAAUAUACAACAACAUAACUUAUACAUCAGCACUUAUUCUAUAUCAGCAGCUCUUAUACAGCAGCAACAACACUUCCACAGUAGCACUUGUACAUCAACACUUAUACAGCAACAGCAACACAUACAUCAGCAGCACAUACAAAUCAGCAGCACAUAUAAAUUAGCAGCACUUAGCCAACAACAUCACAUAACAUAGGAAAUUCAAGUACAUGUGUUUUUGGAAAUGAAGCACAUGGUGCAAGUGUUUUCCAUCUUUACAAUAACAUAGUAAUUAGUCCAGCAAGUUCAUAUCUAUUACUUGGAAAAAAGAACCGACACAUAAGCACUUGAAACCAAUCAAAUGGUGUUCUUCUCGUUGAGCAUCGACAACCAUUCCUUCAUAAACUCCAUAGGUAACUCCAUAAGCGCUUGGAAUAGGCGUUCACUAAGGAUGAGUUUACCAUAUGCUCGCAACAUGGCUGAACGAGUCAAGUCUUGAAUCUUUUCAGGGGCAGCAAGGAUUUCAAGACGAGGAGUGACCUUGGGCAGUUCUAGUGGCUCAAGUGAUUUCAAAGCAUCAUGGAAAGAACCCUUCAUGUCUCCAAGCAUGCACAAGAUAGCAUCACCUGUUCGCUUCCUUUUUGGUGGCAAUUCUGGAGAGGCUUCGAUGACUACUUCGUCUAGUUCUAUUGGUUGCGCUUACUUUCAGCACUCGUCAUUGCACCAUCACCGGUUGCAUGAUCUUUGGAGUAUAUUGUGUAGAUUGCCUCCCAAUUCUUCACUUCUUUGUUCUUUUAACAAGCUGCCUUCGGAUUAGCCUGCACACACAUACAAAGUAAAUCACUUGCAUGUAUGUAUGGCAUAGAAUAAAUUAAUUAAGCAUCCUUUUUUAUCUCAACAUAUUUAUGUCACACAUCAUCAAUAUCCAUGAGUAGCUUGUUAUUGACCCAGUCCCAGCCAAAUCCACUCUGAGAAAGAAUCUUGCUAAUCGUACCAUAGGGCUUGUCAAAACUCUUCAUCCUUGAACAUAUUUUGUCCUUUGUGAUGUGCAGUCCACACUUGUCACGUAUUGCCUUUAUAGCAGCAGUGUACACAUGUGGUUUCCAUCCAUUUUGGGCCUGAUCACCUCUGUUGUGAUGUUCAACAAAGACAUCCAACAAUACCUUGUCCAUCUCAUCUGUCCAUGUCAAGUAAUCUCUACUAUACUUCUUCUUUGUUUCUUCAACCAUGAUGCUAAAAGAAAAAAUUGAAUAACAAUUGACAAAAAAGGAAACUUAUAUUAAUUGCUUUCUCAUAAUGAUGAUGUACAAAAUAUCCAAAAGGCACCAUCCAAUAGCUAUGCACAAAAGAGAACAUCCAGCUAAUCCAUCAUCUAGCUGGCACAAAAGCAAAGAACACCAUCUUGCUAAUCCAACAUCUUGCUACCACAAAAGCAAAGAACACCAUCUUGCUAAUCCACAUGUCGUACUACUGCUAUAAAUUUGCAUGCGCCACAACAUAUUCAGCAAACAUGUCAGUAGAUAGUUGGGUCCUGAAGUUGGUCCAUGCAGUAGUGACUUGGACACUUCUAAUUGAGUUAACAUCAUCAGCCUCAGUUGGCUGAGAAGCUAGUUCAUUAUCCACUCCUUGUAGCAAUAAGUUGUCCAUCAUAUGCUACCUAUCCCUCGCAAAGUUGUGUUACACACAACAAGCAUUAAUGAUUCGAAUCUGCAAGAAUGUUUUUUAAUUAAGCAUUAAUGAUUUCUCAUUCCGGUAGGCAUGUUAUUGAAAACCCAAUGGACACAUGUACCUGGUCCUUUAUAUCAAAGAAACUUUGAGUGCGAAGAAUACCCCACUUAUUCUUCCACAACCCAAAAGUUCUCUCUACUACAUUUCUAGCACGAGAGUGGCACACGUUAUAUAGCUCUUUGGCAGUUUGGGGUUGUUGCUGACUUGAUACCCACUCCUUCAAGUGAUACCGAGUGGAUCUGAAUGGAGCUAGAAAUCCAGGCCCAUUUGUGUAACCAGCAACAACCAAGUAAUAUUUUCCUAUUGGUAAACAAGCCAAUUAGGUUGGUUGUGACAUACGCAAUUAAAGAGAACAAAAUGCCAAGAAAAAAGCCAUACCAUGAGGUAGAACAAAUGCAUCUCAGCGAUCAGUUCUCAUGGAGUCAUGAAGGACUCUCGAGUCGGAAGCGGAACCUUCCCUGUCAGGUAAGACAUAUAGAAAUUUCAUGUUCCUGUCCACCACACCGAGCAUGUUAGUAGUGACAGCUUGCUUUCUAUUCCCGUACCUCCCUUGGGCAGCCACAGGAACUGAAACAUCUACAUGACAACCAUCUAGUGCUCCAAGUGCAUCACCAAGCCACUUCCAUUAGUAAUCAUCGGGAGGUUGAACAUUAGCAUCUGGAAGCUUAAUGAACUCCCCAUGCAUAGAUAGAAUGGCUCUUAAGACUCCGGAAAGGUGAGUACUUAUAGUUCCCAAAGACCGCUUGUAUGUGCCUCGAAGCAACCUCAUUUUCAGACCGUGACCCACUACUAGCAAGAACAUGGCAACCUUUUCUUCUACAGACACAUACACACUACCACUUAGACCACACCUCUCACGCAACAUGGUGCAUAAAUCAUGAAAGUUUCUUUUGGUUAAACGUAGCUGAUCAUAGCAUGCCACUUCUUAGCCAUCAUACAUAUCUUUCAACAAGUACUUCCUAAGUGUGUAUUUGUGCUCAUCAUCACUAAAACUACAUAUUCCACGAGGUGCUCUGUGUGAAAUAAGGUAUGCCAUUCCGAGAAGAACCAAUUCAAAGUAAAGUUUUGUCAAGAUUAUGAUUUUCCUCUUUCUCCUUUUUUUCUCUUCAGUUAUGUAAGAAAUCAGGUCUAGUUGAUCUGAUGUUAUGGAGCUACACAAUAAUUACAUAAUUAGGCAUCAAUCAUUUCUAAAUAUGAAUCAGCAAAUCACACAUUCAAGCAAGCAUAACAAGCAUAACAGAUCUGACCAUCACAAAAAUAAAAAGAACAUCUCUAAAAAGAACAUCUCUACACCAUCAGACCAUCACAAGCAUAGCAGAGAAAUGGUGUUUUCUUCAGUUACCUUUGAUCUGGCUUCUCGGAAUCCAUGCUCCGAUCCAUUGACCUUUAGAUCCGCUGACCAAUCCACUAACCUGUUGUUCAUCAAAAGGAAAAAAAUAAAUGAGCAUACUGACACAUACGUGGUGAGUAGAAGGGAUUGGGGAUUUAGGGUUUCUUAAUGGGGUUAGGGAUUGGGACAGGGAAGAUGGCUAUGGGGGGAGGGGGUAGAAGAAGAGCGGCUAGGGGGAGGCUCCAGUGACAUCCGGCAAUGGAGGGGCGCCGCGCUGAUGGGAAAAGCGGGCAGCCAUGGGCGGCGGACGGCGGGACAAGCGAGGAGGUGGGGCGGUGGGGUGAUGCGAGGCAGGAGGGCUAGGCGGUAUGCGGGGGAGGAGUGGAUCUGUCGGCCCGAGAGAACGGAGAAGAAGGAGAAGGGCGGAGAGGGGCUGACCCGCGCUGCCGGAUGCUCUACGUCGCGACCCUGUUCGCCUCUUCUCCCGCUCGCUGCUCUGCCUCUUCUUUUCGUGAGCGCGGUCGAUGGGGUAAGUGCUGGCGCGUUAAUGAAUAUCACAGCAAAAAUCUAGCUCGACCCCUCCGAAUUCGGGAAUAGAAAGGCAGGCUUUCGAGCGGGCCAUCGAAUAUCUCAGGCCAAUUCCGUGGACUCAAUUCCAAGUGUAUCUAAACAGCAAAAUUAGGCCCAUCCAAUGUCAAUAUCAAUAUCUUGGCCUAAAUAUCAACAUCCAAACAUACUGCACGAGACUUCCUCGUCUCGCCGCCUAGUGUUCAAGAAGCCCAAUCUGGUCAUCGUUCCCGUCAACCAUUGUAACGCCCCAAAACUGGAGCUUCAGAUGCCUUCCGGGGUUUUCGGGUUUCGUCAUGUGAUUUGUUUGGUCCGUUGCAUUUCAUCUUUGCAUCAUGUGCAUUGCAUCAUGUCAUCAUGCAACCCGUUUUAAAACUCACUAAAUAAAUUGCAUGGAUCUUCGGUCCUUUUAAAUCGAGGGAAUUCACAUGGUGAUUCUCUUUAUAACUUAUCCUCCCGAUAUUAGGGAGCUAUAUUAAAUAUUCCAUUUUCGGAAUCACCCAUGAACACACUUGCAAAUAAUCACAUGUCUUUUAUUCUUCGAGUUUGCUCCUCAAACUUCGCCCAUAAAUUCUUUUAUCUUUCUUCGGAGCUCCACUAAAAAUCUGAAUACUUUUGGACUCUUCAUUACCUUAAACUUAUUCAAACCAUUUGAAUCAAAUUCAAAUGGAUUGGAAUUUAGAUCUCUCAAUCAUGGCCUUUUCUAUUUUCCCGGAACAAGCACAUUUUUGUGGGUCCGGAAAAAUUAUCUGCGUGUCCAACUUCUUCCCCUAACCCCCUCUUUCUUUUAUUUCUUAAUCUCUGUUUUUUUCUCUUUUCUUUUAGUAAGGAGAGAGGAGCCCAGCCAGGCCUUUUCCCUCUCCACGGGGCCGGCCUCUAAUGCCAUCCACCGGCCCAUCUACUUCCAGCCGCAGCCCACACCCCACCUAACCCUAGGCCUAGCGAACCUCUCCCUCUCGAUCUCUCCCAGCGCCGCCAGGGAGACCGCUGCCCGACUCCUCUCCGGAUCCCAUCUCGUCCUCGCUUCCCUUCCGCAGCCUCGCUCAGCUCCUCGAUCCCCAUGGUCUCUCCCUCCUCUCGAUCUCUUCCUCGCUGCCAGCCCACGACCUCCGUUGCCCCGCAAGAACCACCAACCUCCGCCGCCGCUCAAGGCCGAGAGCCCCGCGCACCCUGCCUCAGCGCCGCCCUUCUCCAUGGCCGCUUCCAGCCGAGCUCAAAGCUCCGCCCCGGAGCUGCUCCGCCUCGAGGCCCGGGCCUCCUUCCUCCAUGGCGCCUACUCGCGCCCGAAGCCCGUGGUCCGGCGCCCGCACGCCGCCUCGUCGAGCUCCGUCCAUCCCUUCUCCUUCUCGGGUUCGUCUCCAGCGCCACAUCGCCAGGGACGCCGAGCGCCACCGCGCAACCCCGCCGGCGACCUCUACCUCCAACGAGGCCCCUUGGCCUCCUCCUCAUCGCUUGUCCGCCGUCCCGCCGCGUCCUCCCUAUCCUCCAUGGCCGCGUGCCGCUCCGGACGGUGAGCCCAUGCUCCGGCGCCGCGCCCCUGCGAGCAGGAGCUCCUCGCCCCAACACGUACUUGGCCCUGCUUCUCCUCCUUGCGCCAUGGUCUUGGCCCCUCUGCUCCGUCCGUCGCCUCUGCUGCCCUCCUCGUCAUCCUACUCGACCUCUCCGUGGGCCACGGACAUGUGUUGUAGCCUGCCUUGCUGCUACCCACCCGAGGCCUCCAUGGUUUGGCUUCGAUUUGGAUUCGACCGGCAAGUUCCUCUUCACAGAACGUCUACACGACAACCGCCGAGUACCUCUUCGCGAGUACCACUACCAUCGCGUGGAUCCGCCACGACCGUGGAGUAAACGAACAAGUACCCCUACACGCGAAGACGCCAAGACCGUUUCUGGAUUCACCAAGUACCACUACGGCCGGAGACCUCGACGUUCGACGCCUAAAACGAUCGCCGAACCGGAGAUAACGCCAAGUACUAGGUCAACGAGAACCGCCAAGUUCGUCUUCCGCCGUCUCCGAAAUUGUCAAGUACCACUCCGAACCAUGUACGACGAUCGUCGCCGAAGACCCGUGUAACGCAAACGUUAAGUUCAACUACCGUCGCGUGAACCGCUACUUCCCACGACGACCCCAUGAACAACUACUUCCCCUUCGACACGUGUACCCUUACCGCCGAACUCGAUCCGUUCCGAUAAUGCACGCUUCAAAGGUAUAACCCUCGAGACUACGCCCGUGAACGAAUGUUGUGUGUUGUAUGAGAAGCUCGUGCUUGCUCCGUGCUCGAAUUGUCGAUGCACGUCGCCCCUCUUUUUGCCUUGCCACCCACAUAUGGGAACUCGGUAUCCGAUAUCACCCCACCAUCCUUGCAUGUCACGUUCCGCACACUUCCCCUUUGCAUCGGUAUCUCAAUCGAGUACCGGAACCGGAACGCUGCCAUGGCACCGUUUUCAUUAUCGUUGCCGUGGCACCCCUUUCCUUUCCACCACAGUGACAAAUGCUUCAUAAUGCUCUUGUCAACUUUUAAUAAAAAUUGCAUAAACUUGUCCAUGUCAUCUGCAUCAUGAUAAUAACAUUUGAAUGUUUAAAAUUGUUGUUGCACCAAAUUGAUAAAUACAUAUGGGGAUUUACCGGAAUUGUUGUUUGGCGUUCCGGCCUCAUUUAAACUUGCCUAAAUAGAUAAUUUCUUAUGCUUCUCCUCUUGCCAUGUUUAACAACAUUUAAUAUUUUUGAGUACCUAACGGAGAGAGAACUAAAUAAUUGAUGUGGUGUUCCGUCAAUAUGCAGGGUUGUUUGUGCAUUUUGCCAUGCCAUGCCUCAUUAAACCGGACAUGCAUCAUACUUGUUUGUGCAUCGUGCCAUGCUAUGUCAUGGUCGUUUACUAUGUUGUUUGCUUCUUUCCGGUGUUGCUUCUUCGGGUUAGUUCCGAUAACGCCGCGUUCGUGAGGAUCCGUUCGGCUACGUCCGUUUGUCUUCUUCAUGGACUCGUUCUUCUUCCUUGCGGGAUCUCAGGCAAGAUGACCAUGCCCUCGAAAUCACUUCUAUCUUUGCUUGGUAGAUGCUCGCUUUUUUGCUAUGCCUAUGCUGCGAUACCUACCACUUGCUUUAUCAUGCCUCCCAUAUUGCCAUGACAAACCUCUAACCCACCUUGUCCUAGCAAUCCGCUGUUAUGCUAUGUUAACGCUUUGCUCAGCCCCUCUUAUAGCGUUGUUAGUUGUAGGUGAAGAUUGGAGCUUGUUCCAUGUUUGGAACAUGGAUAUUUGAGGGGAUAUCACAAUAUCUCUUAUUUAGUUAAUGCAUCUAUAUACUUGGUAAAGGGUGGAAGGCUCGGCCUUAUGCCUGGUGUUUUGUUCCACUCUUGCCGCCCUAGUUUCUGUCAUAUCGGUGUUAUGUUCCCGGAUUUUGCAUUCCUUACAUGGUUGGGUUAUAAUGGGAACCCCUUGAGAGUUUGCCUUGAAUAAAACUCCUCCAGCAAGGCCCAACAUUGGUUUUACCAUUUGCCACCUAGCCUUUUCUUUCCCUUGGGUCGGCCAGCUCAAGGGUCAUCUUUAUUUAACCCCCCCGGGCCAGUGCUUCUGUAUGUGUUGGUCCAACUGAGCGAUGUCCGGGGCUACCAGGGGUAACUCUGGGCUGGCCUACCCGACGUCUUGCUCAUCCGGUGUGCCCUGAGAACGAGAUAUGUGCAGCUCCUAUCAGGAUUUGUUGGCACAUCUGGGUGGCUUUGCUGGUCUUGUUUUACCAUUGUCGAAAUGUCUUGUAACCGGGAUGCCGAGUCUGAUCGGAUUGUCCUGGGAAAAGGAAUAUCCUUCAUUGACCAUGAGAGCUUGUGAUGGGCUAAGUUGGGACACCCCUGCAGGGUUUUGAACUUUCAAAAGCCGUGACCGCGGUUAUGGGCAGAUGGGAAUUUGUUAAUGUCCGGUUGUAGAAAACCUGAAGUUGAUCUUAAUUAAAAUGCACCAACCGCGUGUGUAACCGUGAUGGUCUUUUCUCGGCGGAGUCCGGGAAGUGAACACGGCGUUGGAGUAAUGUUUGACGUAGACUGUUCUAGGAUCACUUCUUGAUCAUAGUUGUUCGACCGUGCUUUUGCCUUCUCUUCUCGCUCUCUUUUGCGUAUGUUAGCCACCUUAUAUGCUAGUCGCUUGCUGCAGCUCCACCUCAUACCUUUUACCCUUCCUAUAAGCUUAAAUAGUCUUGAUCGCGAGGGUGCGAGAUUGCUGAGUCCCCGUGACUCACAAAUACUUCCAAAACUAGUUUGCAGGUGCCGACGAUACCGUGCAGGUGACGCAACCAAGCUCAAGGAGGAUGAAGAUCGUGUCCGUUAUGUUGUCCCGUUUCAGUUGAUCAGUAGUGGAGCCAAGUGGGACGAUCGGGGAUCUGUGUAGCAUUUGGGGUAGUUUUCUUUUAUUUUGGUUCCGUAGUCAGACCUUGCCUGUAUGUGGAUGAUGUAAUGCUUUAUUCAUGUAUUGUGUGAAGUGGCGAUUGUAAGCCAACUAUGUAUCUCUUUCGCUUAUGUAUUACAUGGGUUGUGUGAAGAUUACCUCACUUGCGACAUUGCUUUCAAUGCGGUUAUUCCUCUAAGUCGUGCUUCGACACGUGGGAGAUAUAGCCGCAUCGAGGGCGUUACAACCAUAGUGCUCAUACAGAAGGGAAUGAUGACAAUUUUGCCAAGCCGUGGUAUUUUGCUGAUUAUUCUGCAGUAUAGCCUUGCCUGCGUGAACUAUGCACCGAGAUACUAUAGUCGUGUGCCAUCAUGGUCCAGGGCGAUCUGAAUCUAUCUGUCGUAUAUGUUUUUAAUGAGAAGCUGUAUCUUGACAUUAAUGUUUCAGUGUGGCACUACCAUGUAAUGUGUUUACUAUCAUGUUUUCUUUUUACCAAUCAUAUGUAAUCAUGUAAUUUAUGUUGUUUGUUUCAUCAAUCUCGAAAAUGCCAAACGGAGGUCGAGCUCCAUGGAAGCCUUUAUUGGAAAACAUCAAAACUCAAACUAUUAAGUUUCAAAAAAUUCUGAAAAUAAAUACACAUAUACCUAGAUAAAUAAUGUACAUGUGUGCAAUUUUUCAGGUCAAUAUACAUUAAAAUGUGAGCUACACAAAAAAAACAAAUCUCGGGCUUUUUAGCAUAUGUACUGUUCACCCUCAAAGUCCAUGAUAUUGUUUUUUUUGUGUAGCUCUCAAUUCAAGGUGUUUCAUCUUGAAUUUUUUCACACACACAUACUUUACAUCGUGUAUUUUUUUCAGUUUUUUCAAAAAUAAAAUUAUCAAUUUUCAAAAUUUUAAAAUAAAGGGCUCCAUGGAGCUUGGUCUCCAAAAUGCCCUACUGCAUCAAUCUUGUCUGUUUUUUUUGCGGGUACACUCUUGUCUUAUGUUAGCACCACAUAUUUUAAGUACAAAUCAUAUAAUAAAUUUACGCCAUUAGUUAUUUAAUAUGUUGUUCGGUUUGGUAUUUAAGAUUACUGUUGAGGUUUACAGAGAAAAGGUUGAUCACACAGUGACGCUAUGACAAUUUUCAAUGCAAAGCAAGAAGCACGAGAUAGUGCAUAUGCAAAUUUCAGGAAAACAACAUAAUCCUCAACUUGUCUACCAUAUCAUGCAGACUCGCCCACAGGAGAAGCUGGAUUGUACAGAACUUCCCCCUAGUUGAUCAAAUAACUCCAUCUUAGUGUAUCAUCUUAAUUUGCUAAGAGUGCACACCACUAUAAGGAAAUCCGACCCAAGGAUCAAAGGCAGCUGAAAAAUCAUCAAAAUCCAUACUCGAAUACAUUUCAAGCACACGGUUAUUUAAGUAUAGCAUAAUAAAAUUCGUUCUGACCUUAGAACUGAACAAGACUGACCACUAACAAUUAAAGACACGAUGGCUCGCCAGUUUCAGUCUUGAAAGCGGCAUCGACGUUGAUCUCUAUCCAGACUUUGGUGAUCGCAUCUAUGAAUUUGGAUACAUCUCUUAACAGCAUUAGUAGUACCCAAUUGUUUUGAAAAUAGUAGCAACUCAUGUGUAGGGAAAUACACCAGAGCUCUUGGGUGCCCCACACCCCUAUAUGAAUAUUAAAUUUGAAAAGUACGAGGAAAACUAAAAACAAUCUAUAACUUAGGGAUAUCAAACCUGGGUGCCCAAUGUACUCCCUUGUGAAGUUUUGUGAAUAAAAAUACUAGAAAACGUAUCCGUAGCGAAGAAAAUACAGCCGGAAGUAAAAUCUAUCCAAACAAUUUUUUUAUACAUAGAGUUUCUUGUCUUUUUCACCGACAAUACAUUCCUGGGUAUAUUUUCACCAAACUCCACACGUGAGUAGAUUGGGCACCUAGGUUGGAUAUCACAAAAUUCCAGAUUUUUUGAAUUUUCUAGGUUUUUUUGAAUUUAAUACACAUAUAGGGUGUUGGAGCACCCGAGUGCUCAAAAUCUGCUUACCUCAUCUGUAGUGAUAUCUAAAGUAGCGGUCGGUCUUAAAUAUAUUAAUUUUAGUCAACAACAAUAUUGAGAAAACAAUCUAGAGUAACACCCUCUGUACGACCAUAUUUGAAAAAGAAAGCUAUAGUUGUCUAAACAUGAAAUUUUUCUUUGAUAAUAAUUUAGGGCAUUCUCUCUAUUUUUGUGAAAAGGCACAAAGAAAUAUAUAUAGCAUCAUAGGUUCUUAUAAACACACCCAUACAGAAAAAAAAAUCUUGGGCGCGCCGAAAUCAUCUUCCUCCUGUAUCCACCAGCAACGCACUAUGUACGUAGCUCGAUGCCGCCUCUUAGACUUGCCUUAUAGCAUAUCCUUAUAGCUCGGUACUCGUCCCCUUCGGGAACACAACAACGACCCCACGCCGCUACCCUGCUCUCCUUCUCCUCCAAUUACAUCUGGUAGGGCACAUAAUCGUCCAGCCAUUGGGGACGGCGGCGGUACCACGGUGAAGGAUGUCGAAUGCGGGGAUGGAAAAGCUGCGCUGGACCCCUAUUGGCGUACAAUCUACCAGUUAGGGGUUGUCGCACAAGGAUAUUUGCCCGUGGCUCCUAGGAAGGAGCGUGAGAGUGCAAUGGUCAAUUUUUGGCUCCAAUGCCUAGGUAGGUGGGCCUCGCGCUUUUCAUGUGAAUGCAUACAUAUCUCAGCGCCUCAUAAUUUCAUAAAAGAGUGAAACCGUUCUUCGGGGAACAUAAGCUAGUGAAACGUGUACAAGGGGAUCCAACUAUAACCAAAUGAAAAUGCAAAAAGAACAAAGCAAAUAUGCCAACAUGCAAAUCUUUAAUGCGAAUUGAUUUCUGCGUCCUUUGAAUAAGAACGAUUGAAACCGCAAGUUGAGCAUAACUCAGAUGGCGAGGUUCCUUGUGUUCGAACCAGCCCAGUCGGUUCAUGCCCUAUACUUAACAUAGAUGGUCACAUUUUCUUGAAUUUAUUUCAGUCUUUCCGACGCUACUCUUUGCACAGUUUGGCGUGCCCAUCAACCAUGUGGCGUUUGACGACUUCGUCAAGUUGAAGAUCUGUCGACUCAGUCUCUCGUUGAUAUUUUUUUCGUAUGAGUCUCUCAUUGAUGUUCACAUGAGUAGGAUGUGCAUACAUGCAUUUAUAGAGAUGAGUAUGCAUGCGUGUAUGUGAGCGUUUGUAUCUGUAUUUAUGCUUGACGGUUUCUCUUACAGAAAUCAACGGAGGAGGACCCAUUGCCUCAAAACAAAUCCGCACUUUGUUUUCAAAAAAGAAGAAACCGGCGUCCGUGCAUCUCCGAUGGACCGUUCCUCAUUUUGAUUGCGACCAAACUGUAAUAUAACAUUGAUAUGUCCUCUGAUAAAAAAAAACAUUGAUAUGUCCUUGCUGCCCAUGCAUCUCCGAUGGACCGUUCCUCUCGAGUUGGCAUGCGAUGUAUGACACACUUCCAUUCACCGAACGCCAUAAGAGUUUGGCUAGCGUACAGUCGAGAAACAAGUGUAUAAUAGUUUAAUCUUGAUCGCAAAAGCAAUAUCAUUGACUACCCUCUCAUCUUCACUUUGCCAAGUUAUCCUUGGUAAGAAUCAUCUCCUUGUGAACAAACUUUUUUUUAAAAAGGAGGAAAACACCUGGCCUCUGCAUGAAUUGAUGCAUGCAGCCAUACUAUUAAUAAAAGUGUAACAUAGUCAUAGAUCCGCAAAAGUUUCACAAUCCGAGUGCAAAACGGAAGAUAACAUAAAAAAAAUGCCACAUCCGGUGAGAAAGAACAGGCUACGAUGCCUACGCUCCUAGCCCACUACUAGCUUGCCAGCCAAAUCGGCUGAAGAUAGCUCGUGCUACCGUCUCCCAACAGUUGCACCCGAUAACCAAAAGCUCCCUGUAUUCUGCGUGAGUGAGUAAUGACCACAUACAGAUCCAAGCUGUAGCUUCGUAGAUAACCUGCAAAAAAUUAGUGAAGUUUGUCCCAUUAAAAAUCAAAUCAUUUCUAGUAUUCCGUAUCGCCCAAAAUAGUGCACAUAUCCCUAUUCGAAUAUGUUUCGCUAUUUGUAUGUCCACACCGUUAAGCCACGUCCCAAGUAAUGUGUUGAUGCUCGUUGGGGCAUGAACAUUAAAAGUUAUAUGUAUUGAGCACCAUAAUAAUUUCGUAAGUGGACACUCGAGAAAAAGGUGAACAAACCAGAUGAAGACCUUGAUCCUUAAGGGAGCUUUAAUCUUCCAAAUAUGUAUCGAUUUCGGAAUUGGAACAGAACCAAUUCCGCUCACAGAUAGUCUCCAAUGAAUAGGAUGUGGCUCAUCAGAGAGAUGAACGUCCAUCAAUCUCUGCACUAGAUGUAGCCAUGCAUUCCAUCAGUCGCCUACUAAAGAUCUUCGAAGUUGAAUAUUUAGAGGAGUCGGCUGUAGAACUGUAGCAACAUAAAUUUCCUUAUGUUGUACAAUAUUACAUAAGGACGGAUACUAUGUGGCCACAUGCGUCUCACCUAACCAUAUAUCCUCCCAGAAUCUAGUCGAAUUAUCGUUUCCAAUGAUAAAUUUAGUCCUAUGAAAGAUGACUGCUUUCGUUUUACCAACCCCUUCUAGAAAGGUGAGUCAUUGGGUCUAAUGAUAACCUGAGCUAAAGUCUUAGAUUGUUGAUGCUUAUUACGCAAAAUUUGUACCCACAUGCCAUUGGUCUCAACAGAAAUCCUAUUCAACCAUUUAGAGAGUAGGCAUCUAUUCUUUACCUCUUAAUUCUCAAUCCCAAGCCCACUCUAGUCCUUGGGUCAACAAAUGAUAUCCCACUUAGUGAUCCUGUACUUUCUCUUUAUUUCACAACUUUGCCAAAAAAAUCAUGAUCGGCAGAAGUCUAACCUUUUCUAUGCCCCUACGAGCACUUCAAAGAAAGACAAGAGAAACAUCAGCAUACUCGUGAGCACUAAGUUUAUCUGUAUCAACCGACCUCCUUAAGAAUAAUCUUAACCUUCCAGCAGCUUUUUUUAAAAUUGAUCCUAAAUGCAUUCCACUCCUUGUUAGAAAGUUUGUGAUGUUGAAUUGGUAUGCCAGAUAACUAAACGGUUGGGUUCCCAGUUCAGAACCAAACAGUAGUCUAUAAGCAUUUUGUUCAUCUUUGACUCUCCCAAAAAAGAACAAUUCUAUUUUGUUGAAAUUAAUAUUCGGUCCCAACAAUUGCUCGAACAGGCAUAGCACUAGCUUCAUAUUUCUAGCCUUAGCCAGGUCAUGUUCCAUGAAAAUAAUAGUGUUGUCGGUGUAUUGUAGUAUGGAUACCCCACCAUCCACAAGAUGUGCUACUAGUCCUCCCACUUUUCCGAACUCUUUAGCUCUACCUACGAGGAUUGCUAACAUAUCUUCCACUAUGUUGAAGAAGAUAGGAGACACCGGGUCCCCAUGUCUUAGACGCAAGACACUAUGUUGAACAAGAUAGGAGAUAUCGGGUCCCCUGUCUUAGACCCUUUUGCGUCUGGAAGUAGUGACCUAUAUCAUCAUUCACUUUAAUCCCGACGCUACCUUUUUGUACAAAGUAAUCGACUUACUUACUCCAUGAAUCAUUGAAUCCCUUCAUAUGCAAGGUUUGCUAGAGGAACAACCAUUUAACCAUAUCGUAUGCCUUUUCAAAGUCACCUAUGAAGAACACCCCAUCUAGUUUCUUCGAGUGGAUUUCAUGUAGUGUUUCAUGUAAGACAACCACACCCUCUGGUGUGUUUCUGUCUAGCAUGGAAGCCGUUUUAGUCGGUUGCACCACACUAUGUGCAAUCCGCGUUAGUCGGUUUGUACCAAGUUUAGUAAGCAUAUAAUUAAAGCUCACAUUGAGCAAACAUAUCAGUCUGAAUUUCUUAAUGCGCACCGUCUCCUCUUUCUUUGGCAACAACCUCAUUAUUCCAAAGUUUCGGUGGAAUAGAUGUAGUUGGCCAUUAAGCAAGCCAUAGAACAUUGGUAUAAGGUUACUGUCGGUGUCAAAACCGGCGGAUCUCGAGUAGGGGCUCCCGAACUAUGCGUCUAGGCCGGAUGGUAACAGGAGGCAAGGAACACGAUGUUUUACCCAGGUUCGGGCCCUCUUGAUGGAGGUAAAACCCUACGUCCUCCUUGAUUAAUAUUGAUGAUAUGGGUAGUAGAAGAGUAGAUCUACCACGAGAUCAAGGAGGCUAAACCCUAAAAGCUAGCCUAUGGUAUGAUUGUUGUAUGAUGAAGUUGUCCUACGGACUAAAACCCCCCGGUUUAUAUAGACAUCGGAGAGGGUUAGGGUUACACAAAGUCGGUUACAAUGGUAGGAGAUCUUGAAUAUCUGCAUCACCAAGCUUGCCUUCCACGCCAAGGAAAGUCCCAUCCGGACACGGGAUGAAGUCUUCAAUCUUGUAUCUUCAUAGUUCUGGAGUCCGACUGAAGGUAUAGUCCGGCUACCCGAACACCCCCUAAUCCAGGACUCCCUCAGUAGCCCCUGAACCAGGCUUCAAUGACGACGAGUCCGGCGCGUAGAUUGUCUUCGGCAUUGCAAGGCGGGUUCCUCCUCCAAAUUCUUCAUAAAAGUUUGUAAACACCAAGAGUAGUGUCCGGCUCUGCAAAAUAAGUUUCCACGUAUUGCCACAGAGAGAAUAAUAUUAACACAAAUCUAAUCCGUGGACGUAUUCCGCAGCGUGACAUCACACUACGGCCAAGCCUUUAUUCGAAUCGUUUUCACUUUUCCACCUCAGCGUGUUUUGCGAGACGGGUUCCUUGGCACGUCUUGUCAAAGUAGAGAUUGUGGCCCCUUUAUUUACGGGAUUCUCAUCAAUACGGACGUGGGUAACCCAAUCGUGCCCGUUAGCAUGUCUUUUCGAUUAAAGGCGAGUCCCAAACGGUUACGGGGAGGGAUCUUGGUAUUCAACCUCUUAUAAAGAGACCAAGGCCUUACUCCUUUUCUCCAAUCUCAAAACAAGUUCACCCGUCGCCUCGAGUUCCAACACCCUAGGCUCCAGAUUCCAGGCGCUUCGGACCUUCGACAAUGUCCGGUUCCGACCUUCAAGGCCGAUGGAUGCCCUCCUCCGUCAUGGAGGAGGACAUGCUAAAGUUGAGAGAGGCUAAGUUCUUGACCGCCGAAAUUUUGCAUAGGUUGCCUGCUCAAAGGCAGGCUAUUCCUAGUCCCCAUCCCGGUGAGAGCAUAGUGUUCAUGUCUCACUUCCUUCGGGGGUUAGGCUUCCCGAUGGAUCCCUUCGUGAGGGGGUUGAUGUUCUAUUAUGGGCUGGAAUUUCAUGACUUAGCUCCGGAGUCCAUCCUCCACAUUUCCUCAUUCAUCGUUGUGUGCGAAGCGUUCCUCCGUGUUACUCCUCACUUCGGAUUAUGGCUCAAGACUUUUGGAGUGGAGCCGAAGAUGAUCGAGGGACGGCACGCAGAGUGCGGAGGCUCUGUCAUAAGUAAGAAUGCUGAUGCUCCAUGGCCCGAGGGCUCCUUUCAAGAGGAGCUCGGCUUGUGGCAACGAGAGUGGUUCUAUAUCACCGCUCCCAGGAGCACCAAGUGGGUGGCGCCUCCUGCCUUUCGCUCGGGUCCCCCACCAUGGCUAGCGUCAUGGGUCAACAAAUGAUUAGAUUGGGGGUUAUCCAAAGACGUGCCCUUGUUGGAGGGCCGCAUUAGGGAUCUCUUAGAAAGAGACCUCAACCUGGUCAAGGUGACGCAGGUCAUGCUGAUUCACCGAACACUUCCUGGCAAACGUCGCUCCCUUCGUCUGUGGGAGUUUAAUCCGGAGGGACCACGAGCUCUCCAGCAUUUUAUGGGCGCAACGCCCGUGGAGAUGUAUAAAAUAUUCUUCGGAUCACAAGCAAUGUGUCCGGAUUUGACCGAGGACGCAGGUUUAAGCUGCAAUCGCCCGGAUACUCAAGUAAGUAACCUUGUGCCCAGACUCACUAUCCGUAAAAUUGUCAUAAAUUCGCCCCUAAAAGAGUUGUCCUUUUAAACAGGAGUGGAUAGCAAAGGCAAAGCUGAUCAGGUGUCCGGCUCCCCUUCCUGAGACCAGGCUGGAUCCCGUGCUAGUCAGGAUGUUGAAGAUCGUGCCUUUGGAGGGAAGUGAGGGGGAGGACAAGGAAACUAUGGCCUCCUCGAAGGAGGCUGCUCCGAAGGGAAGAACCGACAAUUCCUAUCCUAAGGGGAAGAAGAGGGCCGCCUCCGACGACCCGGAGACCAUGGCCUCAAAGCGGGGGAAAAAGUCCUCGUCAGAGGGUCCGACGCCGGGGAGAUCCUUGGCCGAACUACGCCCUCAAAGGGAUCAGCCCUCCAGCGAGCCGUAAGUAGAGAAAGAUUUUCCUUUAGAGGGAUGAGAGAAAUCCUUGCUUUUUAUCUGAGAAGAUUAACCGAAAUUUUACUUUGUAGCUCGGACCUCACCCCUUCUCAGCAGAGCUCGUCUUCGGGGGAUCUUCUUCUGGAGAUGAUGGAGAGUGGAACGCCUCCCCCUGCCGUACCGCCUGGCGAGGCGGGCGACCCUGAGGUGUCGUCGCGGAGGGUUUCUCCGAAUCCGGCAGGGGUGGAAGGUAGCCGUAUGUCCCCCCAAGGUUCUCCGCGUCCGGCCUUCGAUGGAGGUCAUAGGACGAGUCCGGCACCGUCCAAUGCACGGUCGGAGGAGCUGAUGAUUCUGCUGGGGCGAGCUUCUAUCUCAGAGGAGCACCGUGCAUUGAUGGGUACGGUGAUUGGAAGGAUUUCGUCCGCGGAAAGCGGAUUGCAUGAGGCCGUCAGAAGUUUGCUGACGGGUUUUGAGGUACGUUUGAUAAUGUACUUCUUUGUCAGUUGCGCAUAAACAAGAUGCGCCCUGUGUAGAUAGUAGCCCCUGAGACUCUGUGCGUUGUCAAAAUUGACGGCGCGCGGAGGAUCAUAAUCCCAGGUCUAAAAUGUCGCCUUUGUAUACAAGUGGCGAAGUGUACAGAAUCGAGCCGAACUGAUGAUUUUGCCGAACUAAAGCGGCAACUUGACGUGGCAGAUGCCGACAUCGCGCUCGUCAACGAGCAGCUUGAUGAGGCUCAAGGUAUGCAAUUCCUCGGGCGGCAUCUGGUAAGAGGAGCUUUAUGCCAAUAUCUUACAAUGUGUGUGCUUGACGCAGAUGGUGCAGCCUCCGUGGAGAGUCUUCGGGCGGAACUUGACGAAGCUAAGGAACAAGCCAGGAAAAGUGAUGCGGCUGCCGAGAAGGCCCUUGAAGAGCUGAGAGCCGAACAGGCUGCUCACUGCCGAAGCAAGAAGGAGAUGGCCGUGAUGGCCGUGAAGUUAAAAAGUGCUGCUGACCGUUGCAAGUUUCUUGAGAAAGAUGACCGGGCGAGACAGACGGACUUAGAGAAGGCCGUUGCUGAUGCCAAGGACGCUCGCUCUGCGAUGAGAGCUGCAAAGGAGGAGCUGCGUCAGGCCGGACAGAUUGCGGCUGGAAAGCCCUUUAUGCUGCGGAGUUAGUUUUGCGAUCUGAAGUUUGCUCCGUUGGACCAGAUGUGGAGUGCGGAGGACACCUAUCUGGAUUUGGCAGCGAGUGCUGCUGAUGCGACCGAAUACUUUCGAGAUCAAGAAGAUCGCGAAGUGGAAAGGCUUUUCUGGUCGCAGUUCCAGAAUCCAGAGCGUCCACUGGCAGUGGACGAUCGUCUGGCUCAAUGGGCCAAACUGAAUAGAUUGUCCAGACUCGCCAUGAAGUACGUCAUGGGUCAUCUGUGGCCGGGGAUAUCGGAGCCUAAGAGUUAUUUCAGCUUGGUGCAGCAAUUCCUUGACGUGGUGCCACAUAUCAAUGCGAUGAAGAGGUCAGCAUGCAUAGAGGGCGAACGGAUGGCUCUUGCCCGUGUCAAGACAUAUUGGGCAGAGAUGGAGACCACCGUUGUUGCAUCCCAAGAUUCGGACAAAAGCCGAGUACCCUCUGAGCACUAUUUUCCGGAAGUCCUUGAAGGCGCUUGUGUAAUAGAGACGCAGUGCUCGAAGGAUGCUAUGUUCUGAUAGCAUAUGUAAUUAUAAAGCAAUAUUUUGAUGAAUUGUAGUAGCCUUUUAUACUUGUGCCUUCAAGUAUUUGGAACACCUCCUGUGCGGCCGUUUUAAUAUAUAUAUAUAUAUAUAUAUAUAUAUAUAUAUAUAUAUAUAUAUAUAUAUAUAUAUAUAUAUACAAAAUCUGAAAGAUUGCAGUCGUUGGCUUCAGCCCCCAUGCACAUAGUGCGGGGGUGCUCGCAGAAGGCGCAUUUUCACACUUAAUCCAACGUCUUGGUCCUACAAAGGAGUUAGCGCAGCGAGCUAGGCAACCGGACUAUAAUUCUUUAACACUUUCACUUAGCCAUAGGAGCUUGACAAUGGGACUAUUUAGGUAGCCCCUGGUGGCGACUGCGCUCGCCCGAAUUCGGGGCGCGUAUGUGCCUGGCCGGGAAAUGGCCCUUCGUUAAUGUGGAGGAAUCCUACAGAUUCCAGAGAGUCAUCGAGUGGUUGACCAGUCUCACGCCAUAUCAUGACCGUCGGUUUUCGGCUUUCUCUACUGAGGUGCUCGCCUGGCCGAACCAGGGCACAAUCGCAGUAGUUCUCCUAGUGCCGCCUUAGCCGAUAGAGCGGAACGUAAGGCGGCCGAACACAGGAGCCGGGCAACCCAACAUUUGACCAAAAUCAUGACUCGGAGCUGAUGCAUAUAAGGCCAAACUCGCGACGCCAAACACUCCCUAAGGUAUUCGUUCUUUAUGAGAGCGGGCGAGGUAACACUCUGAGGUAUAAGCCCCUAGUGUCUAGGUACGCGCAAGAAUUCUGACAUGGCCACAUGCCAAGACGCCAGCCUCCUCCUUGGUCAUAGAACCAGGGGAUGUGUAUCAACAAGAGACAGUAAAAAAGGUUUACGCAGGGUCUUAAUCUGAAAAGAAUCCUUGGAACGAGUCCCUACUGCACGUCUGCGCCUGUGUCUCCGUUGUGCCGUAUCCUGGACGGGCGUAGCACUACGUUCAUGUGUAAAAGGAGAGCAACUAAGUUGAAAAAGGGGCGUGCCGAACAAAAGUUAUAUGAAAUAAACAAAAUGUAAAGUAAAAUAUGAAAAAUUGAGCUUUAUUGUCUCUUAUUUUAUACGUGUGAAGCCCCUAGUGCAGGGGUAAAUGGCCACUAAGCCUUUAUCAACGAUACUUUUGUGCCGGACUCGUCUAUCCGUGUCCGUGGUCUUAAUGACCUGUUCCAAUGUUCUGGCUGGUGAAGCCAUUGUAUUGUGGGGCUGUUAAAGCGGCCGCACAAUCCUCCGCUUGGGGGAGGUGUUCUCACUACUUCCCCUUUAAGGAGAUGAUGCCGCGUGGACCAGGCAUCUUAAGCGUAAGAGAUGCAUAAUGCGGUAUUGCGUUCAAGCGGGCGAAAGCUUCACGUCCCAGUAGUGCUUGAUAGCGACUUGAGAAUGGAACGAUGUGGAAAGUCAGCUUUUCGCGAUGGAAGUUAUCGGCAGAGCUGAAAAUAACCUCGAGCCAGAGAAAACCCAUGCAAUGGGUGUCCGGACCUGGCGUUACUCCUUGAAAGGAGGUUUUGCUGUGGCGAAUUCUUUUUGGGUCGAUCCCCAUGUGGCGGAUUGAGUCCUGAUAUAUCAGGUUGAGUCCGCUGCCACCGUCCAUAAGGACAUUUGAAAACUGGAGUUCUCCAAUUAUUGGAUCGAGUACCAGGGCAGUCCAGCCUGGGUUCCUGACACUUCUAGAAUAAUCCAAAUGAUCAAAGAUGAUUGGUUUUGACAACCAGUGGCGGGAUUCCUUUGGGAUAGGCCGUGGGGCGCGUACCUUUAUGGGCGCCACACGUUUUGUUAUGUGGAGUAAGUUUACCGUUUUUACUUCUUGUGGGAAAUUCUUUUGUUUCCUGGUACUCUCCUUUUGGGGUUCGUCCUCGUCUUCGCUUGGUGUGUCGAGCCCCUUGUGUUCGGCGUUGAGUCUGCCGGAUUGUUUAAAAACCCAACAAUCUCUGUGGGUAUGGUUAGCAGGCUUUCCGGGAGUGCUGUGUAUUUGACAUAUCCUAUCCAAGAUUUUGUUUAGGUUGGAUAGGUCGUCCCUGUUAUCUUGGAGGGGCAACUUUUUCUGAUUCUGUCAUGAGCUUUUGAAUCUGGCGUUGACUACCGUGCUCUUCGGACUUUUUUCCUUAGUCCGGCGACAGUCCUUAUUGCAUCGCGGUUUUCCGUUUCCAUCCCUAGUUUCGGAUGUACUUGGGUCACUGGUGCUGCAUCUUGCCAACCAGCUGUCCUCUCCUGCGCAAAAGCGGGUCAUGAGGCUUGUUAGUGCGGCCAUUGAUCUUGGCUUUUCUUGGCCGAGGUGUCUGGCGAGCCAUUCGUCUCGGACAUUAUGCCUGAAAGCCGCUAAGGCUUCAGCGUCCGGACAGUCGACUAUCUGAUUCUUUUUGGUAAGAAAUCUAUUCCAGAAUUGCCGAGAUGACUCUCCGGGCUGUUGAGUUAUGUGACUAAGAUCGUCUGCAUCCGGAGGGCGGACACAGGUCCCUUGAAAAUUUGCUCGGAAAGCGUCCUCGAGCUCUUCCCAACUUCCGAUUGUGUUUUCAGGAAGGCUUUUGAGCCAAUGCCGGGCUGGCCCUUUAAGCUUGAGGGGUAAGUAUUUUAUGGUGUGGAGGUCAUCUCCUCUAGCCAUAUGUAUGUGGAGGAUAUAAUCCUCGACCCAGACUCCAGGGUCUGUUGUUCCAUCAUAUGCCUCUAUGUUUACGGGUUUGAAUCUCGCUGGAUAUUCAUAAUCCAGGACCUCAUCGGUGAAACAUAGGGGGUGUGCGGCACCCCUGUAUUUGGGUGUGCCGGAUUCUGAUAAUGGCUUUAUUGCAUUGCUUACGAGAGCUUGCUUUCUUGGCCCGUAAAUGGACCUGUCUGGGCGAUGAUGCGAAUCCUUAAGUGGGUCGCAUGCCGGCUUAAGUGCGGCGCUGCUUGCCGCUUUAUGUUGGCCAUGGGGUCGUCUAUCCGACCGUGUGGCUUUCUUACUUUUGGAAUGCGAGGGCUCUAAGGCCUCCUCGUCGAAUUCAGGCAGUAGCUUUCUCUUCGGAUAGCUUUUAGUGCGGCGACUGUCGUUGUAUUUGUCUGCGGUAUUGAUUACUUUACUCCAUCUAAUCCUGAGUGCAUCUUCCGCAGUUUUUAGCUUCCGCUUCUGCUAUUUCGGGCUGCGUGCGGUUGCAACGAGCCGUUUGUGGAGGUUCUUCUGCUUCGUGGGCUUGUCCGGCGUAGGGUCGUCCGGAAUGCCAUUUUCGCCGGGGGAGGGAUGUUCGGUUUCUCUAUCUGGGUUGUCCUGUUGGGACGGUUACUCUAAGGCAUGCUCGUCGUCUACCGGCUCAUCCUGCUCUAUGGCUGGGUCUUUAUCGAGGCGGGGCUUGGGUCGGUGUUUACGUCGAUGCUUUGAUUGUUUUUCGAGAGAUCGAUCCCUCUUUCCAUCCCUGUUUUCCUCGUUGUUGCUUCCUUUAGGGCUAUCCACCAUGUACACAUCGUGAGAUGAGGUGGCUAUCCAAUGCCCUAUAGGCGUUGGUUCUUGGUUGUCUCCUGCAUCGUCGUCCAUACCGUCGAUGUCUUCGGAGUCGAAGUCGAGCAUGUCGGUUAAGUCGUCGAUAGUGGCUACAAAUUGGGUGGUGGGUGGGUUUUGAAUUUCUUCAUCAUCCGAAUCCCAUCCUUGCUGACCGUAGUCCGGCCAAGGCUCUCCUGAUAAAGAGAGAGACUUUAGCAAAUUCAGGAUGUCACCGAACAAUACUAGGAAAAGGGCUAUAGAUAGGAUUGAUACUAAUGGCGCACCAUGGAAGCAGUGCGCCACUACUAUAUACUAAUGGCGCACCGGUUGGUCAUGCACCAUUAGUGUGGAAGACACUAAUGGCGCACCAGAAACAGGGUGCGCCACUAGUAUUAGAUUAUUAUUUUUUUCCAUUUUUCCAUACAUACUAAUGGCGCAUCAGGUCGAAGUGCGCCAUUACUAGUUCUAAGUAGUAAUGGCGCACCAAGCAGACAGUGCGCCAUUACUGUAAAAAAAUUUAUUCUUUUUUUUGCAAAACUACUAAUGGCGCAUCGUUUCACAGUGCGCCAUUACUAGUUUAAACUAGUAAUGGUGCACUAUUACCCAGUGCGCCAUUAGUAUAUAUAUUUAUUUAUUUUUACUUUUUUGCAAAACUACUAAUGGCGCACCACCUGCAGGUGCGCCAUUAGUAACCAGGGUUACUAAUGGCGCAUUUGCUGGUGGUGCGCCAUUAGUAACCUGGGACCCCAACAAGAUAUUUUGGACAGCCCCACACCUACCCACUCAUUUUCCCCACUUCAUUCCCUCCACCUCCUUCUCCAAGCUUUUGGCCAUCUCCUCCUCCUCACCUCAUUUCCACCAUAGAUUCAUCAAAAUUAAGUGGUGAAAUUACCAUUUUUUGAUAGGUAAGUAAGGGGAAAGCUAUCUUCACGAUGUAGAUCUACUUUUUUUCUCCCUAGCUCACUCCAACAACGUGCACAUGCACUUUUUGUGGCCUAGCUAGAUCUAUGUAUGUUUGUGGUGUUGCAUGUGUUUGUGGUGUUGCAUAUAUGUUUGUGUUUGAAGGUACCGGUAUUUUAAAUGCGAUAGUUGCCAAUAUUUUGCCGGAAUGUUUUGAUUCAUUUCCGUUUCGGCGAGAAUUUUGGCACUAUGCAUUCUUUUUGGUCCUAUUUUUAGGGAAGGUCAUGCCAAAUUUUUUCUUGGUUCUAAAAUAUCGUUUUGCUCUACGCCGCAGGCGACCAUGGUCCGCACGAUGACUGAAGGCAUCGUGAAUAGGUUUUUGAGCUCCGCGAAGGCUGAGAUGCUUCAAAAGAACGAGACGGAGAUAAGAUGUCCGUGUCGAAGAUGCAAGCUGAAGAGCCUUAUUGCGGACCCGUAUUCCGGGCAGGUGCGGGACCACCUGCUCUUGCGUGGUUUCAUGGAUGGCUAUCGGUGGCAAGGUGAUGAAGAUGACUAUGAAGUCGUCCAUGGGGGCCGGGCAAGAAAUGAAGAAGGGCAACAAGACAAGUACCACCGCAGCGAGGGCGGGCGAGAAGACGAAGAAUCUCCAGGACAUGAUCACGACGGUGAUGCUAUACACAGUCAUCAUGUAGAAGAUGUCGUACACGAUGAUGAGGAAGAUCAAGACGAAGGGCAUGAUCAUGAAGAUGAAGAAGCCGGAGCAGACAACGAUGGAGGCUGGGUGCAGGACCCUCAUAUUCAAGAGCUGCUUCUCAAGCAGACGGAUAACGCAAGAGCUGACACCCGAGAGAAAGCCAAGCUGGAUCAACUGGAGAUAGACACGGUUACCCCAUUGUAUGAAGGAUGCAGGCCCAAGGAUACCCGCCUGAAAGUAAAGCUCAUGGCUCUGGAAAUGAAGGUAAAACACAAAAUGACCGACACAUGCUUCGAUGAGAACAUGUCAUUCUGGCACGAACGUCUUCCCAAGGGGAACAAGUGCCCGACCAGUUUCGACGCGGGGAAGAUAAGCAGAUACCUAGACCCAGCGAAGCAGAAGUUCAGCGGGAUGAAGUCUCACGACUGUCACGUGCUGAUGAUGCAGAUACUUCCAGUUGCAAUCCAUGGGAUCAUGGACGCGCACAUCCGUGAAACGCUAUUUGGCCUAUGCAACUUUUUCGACGUCAUCUCUCGGAAGUCGAUUGGUGUGAGGCAACUCAGAAGGCUACAGGAAGAGAUCGUGGUGAUACUAUGCGAGCUUGAGAUGUACUUCCCGCCCGCAUUCUUCGACGUUAUGGUGCAUCUACUGGUCCAUAUCGUGGAGGAUAUCAUCCAGCUCGGGCCGACGUUCCUACACAACAUGAUGCCGUUCGAAAGGAUGAAUGGUGUCAUCAAAGGAUACGUUCGCAAUAUGUCAUGUCCAGAGGGAAGUAUAGCUAGGGGCUUUCUGACCGAAGAGUGCAUCUCCUACUGCACAAAUUAUCUAGGCAUCGAGAACCCCGUUGGUCUGCCCGUCAACAGGCACCUCGGCAGGCUCGCUGGAUGGGGUCACCAUGAGGGUCGCCGCGAAUUGCAUGUCGACUUCGAGGGUCGACUCGCCGACUUUGAAAGAGCUAACCUAGUCGCGCUACAACACAUAGACGUGGUCGAUCCUUGGGUGGUAGAGCACAAAACCUUUAUUGAGAAGACGUACAAUGACCGAGGCCAACAGAGGACGGACGGAGAUAUACUCAAAGAGCACAACUCAUGUUUCACGCGUUGGUUCAAGCAGAAGCUUCUGUCGUACCCUUUACAUGAAGAUUCUUCCGCGGAAGAACAACUCAUAUUCUUCUUGUCACAGGGCGCCGAGCACAACCUGAUGACCUAUGAGGCGUACGAUAUCAACGGCUACACAUUCUACACCGAGGACAAGGACAUGAAGAGCGAUGGUUAUCAGAACUCCGGGGUAACGAUGGAAUCCUACCCCGGUAACGACAAGGACAGAUACUAUAGAAGGAUCGAGGAGAUCUGGGAGCUGAGCUAAGCUGGAGAGAAGGUCCCGAUGUUCCGUGUCAGAUGGGCCAAGAGCGUCCUAAAAGAAGACCGGUAUUUCACCACCAUGGUUAUACCCGAAGCCAAAUCCAAGACCGCGGGCGCAAACUUCAUCGCGAAAAAUGAGCCAUGGGUACUGGCUUCCCAAGUGGACCAAUGCUUCUUCAUUACCGACCCGUCAAAUCCCAGUCGUGUUGUCGUGAGGAGAGGCAAAAGGAAGAUCAUCGGAAUGGAUGGAGUAGCCAAUGAGCAAGACUUCGACAAGUACGGCGACCCGAAGAUCGAACAUGACGAUAACGAUGAAGUAGCAACACACACCACAAGAAGAAGCAGGACCACCCUACCUAAAGGACGUCCGUUCCAUAGAAGAACUCCAUUUGUGAAAAAGAAGGGCAAGAAGAUUGUGAACAGAUAGCUAGCUAAGAUCGAUUGUAUUUAAAUCGUAGUCUUCAUUUCUCGAUUGUAUUUCAUGGGCACUUUUUGAUAUCAUGAAUAUUUUUAAAUUUCAUGGGCACUUUUUGAAUUCAUGAGGACACUUGAUCUCGAUCCCCCUCCAUCUCGAUCUCGAUUCCCCCUCCAUCUCGAUCUCGAUCCCCCUCCAUCUCGAUCCCACCCGCACCCUCCCCCGCUAGCUCCACCGCCGCCGACGACCCACCGCAACCCUCCCCCGCUCCACCNNNNNNNNNNNNNNNNNNNNNNNNNNNNNNNNNNNNNNNNNNNNNNNNNNNNNNNNNNNNNNNNNNNNNNNNNNNNNNNNNNNNNNNNNNNNNNNNNNNNNNNNNNNNNNNNNNNNNNNNNNNNNNNNNNNNNNNNNNNNNNNNNNNNNNNNNNNNNNNNNNNNNNNNNNNNNNNNNNNNNNNNNNNNNNNNNNNNNNNNNNNNNNNNNNNNNNNNNNNNNNNNNNNNNNNNNNNNNNNNNNNNNNNNAUUGGUGCUCCUGCAUAUUGUUUUUUGUCCUUAUAAAUUGUUCAGUAGUGUUCCUGGAGGAUGACUAAGGAAUUAGUGCUUUGUUAUGAUUUCUUGAUAGAAUUGUCGAACUACUGUCCUAUGUAUUAGUACUGAUUAUUUGGGUCCUUAUCCUUGCUUCAAAGGAUGCUGGUAGGUAAAUCGGUGGCCUUAUUAACCAUGCUAUGCAAUUGUUAGCUGUAUUAGUACUGAUUAUUUGGUUAGCUGUAGUAGGAGAGUGCCUGCUGAUUAGUGUUUAUUUGCUUUUUUUGGCACUUAAUUGGUUAUUUGUCUGAAGAAGUGUUAGUUCUGAUCAUGAUUGUUGUGCUUAUGGCUUUAGAAAAUGAUAAACUGUUUGAAUCUGAUAGGCAGGUGUCCCUUUAGAUUUUGUUGGUAAAUCUGUUAUAUUCAAUGGUUAUUGACAGUAGAUUAUCAUUCCUAUUUUAGGAAGGUCUGUUCCUGCAAUAUCAUUGUUACCUUUUAUUUGGACUACUACUGCUAGGACUUGCUCCAGAUUUUAGGAUUUCUUUUCUUUUAGGAUUUAUUUUCUUCUAGGACUAGGUUUUUAUUAUUUUUCUGUUGUGAUUGUUUUUUGAGCUCUUUCUUUUUCAUUUCCUACUAUCCUUAUCCUAAUUAUCUUAAAUUGUUAUGAUGUGUGUAACAUGAUUAGAUCUUGGAUUUGCUAGUGGACUUUGGGAGUUUCUUAGCCAGCUUGGUGACUCCAUAUUUUUUACUAUUUCAACAAGUCUUUUGUAAGCAUUAAACUUUCAGCACUACAUUUCUAUCUUAUGUGUACAUCUGUUUGCUUCCAAUUGCUAUAUAUGUAUUGUUGUUACUAAAAAUGAUGAAGCUCCUGUCAAUUGCUAUACAUAUAUAUGUGUAUGAUGAUCCUCCUUUCCUGCAGUAGUAUAACUAGGAUAUAAAGCACAUUGAACUAACAAUCUUGUAUGGUGCCUAAACUACAAUGAUUCAGGAACAUCAGAUGACUCGAGGGUUGCAGUACAUGGAAUGCAUUUGCAAAUGCAGCCAAAACCUGAUAUAUACCAAAAAAGAUUGUUAUAUUCCUCCCUGGUACAAUAAAUAAUGAACUAAAAUAGUUCCUGGUACAAAAAGAAUAAACUAUACAUAGUUAAUUUCUUCUCUUCAGCAUCUUUCUGAAUGACCCUAAUUGUCACUGACAAUAUCUGGACAGAUUGAAAACAAUUUAACUUCAGUACUUCAAGUAAUUUGCAUGAAGGAUUUUUGAAGUCCAACUUCUGAAUCCAGAAUUUGAUUAGUUCCAUAAAUUUGUAUGACCACAGAUUUAGAAAAUUUUCAGAGAUUUGUAUGACCAAAGAUACAGUUCAGAUUUGAUUAGUUCCAUAAAUUUGUAUGACCAAAUAUAUAUUUCAGAUUUGUAUAGUUUUAGAGAUUUGUAUGACCAAAGAUACAGUUCAGAUUUGAAUUGUUUCAGAAAUUGGUAUGACCAAGGAUGCUAUUGUAUAUAAAUGGGCUGCUGUAGAACUGUUCUUCAUCUUUACAGUGCUGUUGUAUAGAAAUAUGUUGAAUUUUCUGCUCUGAUUGUUGCUCAAAGAAAUUUAGCAAAAAAAUGGGGUCCUGGGAGACGCCGCUGCUGCUUGAGGCCCUUGAGAGGCCCUUCGUGUCGUGAUGAUUUUGCAGGUACCCCGAGAGGCCCUUGAGUUUGCCGGAAUGUCGAUUAACUUCUGUUCCGGCAAAUUCGGGUGCUCCAUAUGUCCUAUUUUCAGCAAAGGUCAUGCUGAAAUUUUCCGUGAAUUUUAGCAUGACUUUGCUAAAAAUCGGACAUAUGAGGUACUUGCUACUAAUGCAUGGGCCGGGGUAUCUUAGUACUUAAUUAAGUAGGAUCAACUGCCCCUUUAUUCUUGUUGUAUUAAACCAUAGGUGGCAAUAGAGCCAAGUGAUUAGUGCCAAGUGAUUAGGCCCAACCUAGGGUGCCUCGGCAUCGAUAAACCCUAAAUGAUGAAAACUUAACUUGGCUCCCCCGGAUGCCUCGGUGUCGAUGAGAACCUAAAUGAUGUACGCUUAGGCUUUUAGGGUGCCUCGGCAUCGACAAACCCUAAAUGAUGAAAGCUUAGGCUUUUAGGGUGCCUCGGUGUCGACAAACCCUAAAUGUGUUGGGUUUCGUAGUAAUUUCAAAAAUUUUCCUACGCGCACACAGGAUCAUGUGAUGCAUAGCAACGAGAGGAGAGUGUUGUCUACGUACCCAACGCAGACCGACUGCGGAAGCGAUGACACGACGUAGAGGAAGUAGUCGUACGUCUUCACGAUCCAACCGAUCAAGCACCGAAACUACGGCACCUCCGAGUUCGAGCACACGUUCAGCUCGAUGACGAUCCCCGGACUCCGAUCCAGCAAAGUGUCGGGGAAGAGUUUCGUCAGCACGACGGCGUGGUGACGAUCUUGAUGAACUACAGCAGCAGGGCUUCGCCUAAACUCCGCUACAGUAUUAUCGAGGAAUAUGGUGGCAGGGGGCACCGCACACGGCUAAGGAAUCGAUCACGUGGAUCAACUUGUGUCAACUUGUGUGUUUAGAGGUGCCCCUGCCUCCGUAUAUAAAGGAUGGAGGAGGAGGAGGCCGGCCAAGGCAAAGGUGCGGCCAGGAUAGGGAGUCCUACUAGGAUUCCAAGUCCUAGUAGGAGUCCACCAAGAGGGGAGGAAGGGAGAAGGAAUAGGAGGAGAAGGAGAGGUGGCCGGCCCCCUUUUCCCUAGUCCAAUUCGGACCAAAGGGGAGGGGGGGCGCAGCAGCCUUUUUCCUCUUCCCACUAAAGCCCAUCAAGGCCCAUUACUUCUCCCGUAACUACCCGGUACUCCGAAAAAUACCCGAAUCACUCGGAACCUUUCCGAUGUCCGAAUAUAGUCGUCCAAUAUAUCGAUCUUUACGUCUCGACCAUUUCGAGACUCCUCGUCAUGUCCCCGAUCUCAUCCGGGACUCCGAACUCCUUCGGUACAUCAAAAUGCAUAAACUCAUAAUAUAACUGUCAUCGUAACCUUAAGCGUGCGGACCCUACGGGUUCGAGAACAAUGUAGACAUGACCAAGACACGUUUCCGGUCAAUAACCAAUAGCGGGACCUGGAUGCCCAUAUUGGCUCCUACAUAUUCUACGAAGAUCUUUAUCGGUCAGACCGCAUAACGACAUACGUUGUUCCCUUUGUCAUCGGUAUGUUACUUGCCCGAGAUUUGAUCGUCGGUAUCCAAUACCUAGUUCAAUCUCGUUACCGGCAAGUCUCUUUACUCGUUCCGUAAUACAUCAUCUCACAACUAACAUAUUAGUUGUAAUGCUUGCAAGGCUUAUGUGAUGUGUAUUACCGAGAGGGCCCAGAGAUACCUCUCCGACAAUCGGAGUGACAAAUCCUAAUCUCGAAAUACGCCAACCCAACAUCGACCAUUGGAGACACCUGUAGUACUCCUUUAUAAUCACCCAGUUACGUUGUGAAGUUUGGUAGUACCCAAAGUGUUCCUCCGGUAAACGGGAGUUGCAUAAUCUCAUAGUCAUAGGAACAUGUAUAAGUCAUGAAGAAAGCAAUAGCAACAUACUAAACGAUCGGGUGCUAAGCUAAUGGAAUGGGUCAUGUCAAUCAGAUCAUUCUACUAAUGAUGUGACCUCUUUAAUCAAAUAACAACUCAUUGUUCAUGGUUAGGAAACAUAACCAUCUUUGAUUAACGAGCUAGUCAAGUAGAGGCAUACUAGUGACACUCUGUUUGUCUAUGUAUUCACACAUGUAUUAUGUUUCCGGUAAAUACAAUUCUAGCAUGAAUAAUAAACAUUUAUCAUGAUUAUAAGGAAAUAAAUAAUAACUUUAUUAUUGCCUCUAGGGCAUAUUUCCUUCAGUCUCCCACUUGCACUAGAGUCAAUAAUCUAGAUUACACUGUAAUGAAUCUAACACCCAUGGAGCUUUGGUGCUGAUCAUGUUUUGCUCGUGUAAGAGGCUUAGUCAACGGGUCUGCAACAUUCAGAUCCGUAUGUAUCUUGCAAAUCUCUAUGUCUCCCACCUGGACUAGAUCCCGGAUGGAGUUGAAGCGUCUCUUGAUGUGUUUGGUCCUUUUGUGAAAUCUGGAUUCCUUUGCCAAGGCAAUUGCACCAGUAUUGUCACAAAAGAUUUUCAUUGGACCCGAUGCACUAGGUAUGACACCUAGAUCGGAUAUGAACUCCUUCAUCCAGACUCCUUCAUUUGCUGCUUCCGAAGCAGCUAUGUAUUCCGCUUCACAUGUAGAUCCCGCUACGACGCUUUGUUUAGAACUGCACCAACUGACAGCUCCACCGUUUAAUGUAAACACGUAUCUGGUUUGCGAUUUAGAAUCGUCCGGAUCAGUGUCAAAGCUUGCAUCAACGUAACCUUUUACGAUGAGCUCUUUGUCACUUCCAUAUACGAGAAACAUAUCCUUAGUCCUUUUUCAGGUAUUUCAGGAUGUUCUUGACCGCUGUCCAGUGAUCCAUUCCUGGAUUACUUUGGUACCUCCCUGCUAAACUUAUAGCAAGGCACACAUCAGGUCUGGUACACAGCAUUGCAUACAUGAUAGAGCCUAUGGCUGAUGCAUAGGGAACAUCUUUCAUAUUUUCUCUAUCUUCUGCAGUGGUCGGGCAUUGAGUCUUACUCAAUUUCACACCUUGUAACACAGGCAAGAACCCUUUCUUUGCUUGAUCCAUUUUGAACUUCUUCAAAAUUUUGUCAAGGUAUGUGCUUUGUGAAAGUCCAAUUAAGCGUCUUGAUCUAUCUCUAUAGAUCUUAAUGCCUAAUAUGUAAGCAGCUUCACCGAGGUCUUUCAUUGAAAAACUUUUAUUCAAGUAUCCCUUUAUGCUAUUUAGAAAUUCUAUAUCAUUUCCAAUCAGUAAUAUGUCAUCCACAUAUAAUAUCAGAAAUGCUACAGAGCUCCCACUCACUUUCUUGUAAAUACAGGCUUCUCCGAAAGUCUGUAUAAAACCAAAUGCUUUGAUCACACUAUCAAAACGUUUAUUCCAACUCCGAGAGGCUUGCACCAGUCCAUAAAUGGAUCGCUGGAGCUUGCACACUUUGUUAGCUCCCUUUGGAUCGACAAAACCUUCUGGUUGCAUCAUAUACAACUCUUCUUCCAGAAAUCCAUUCAGGAAUGCAGUUUUGACAUCCAUUUGCCAAAUUUCAUAAUCAUAAAAUGCGGCAAUUGCUAACAUGAUUCGGACGGACUUAAGCAUCGCUACGGGUGAGAAGGUCUCAUCGUAGUCAAUUCCUUGAACUUGCCGAAAACCUUUUGCGACAAGUCGAGCUUUGUAGACAGUAACAUUACCAUCAGCGUCGGUCUUCUUCUUAAAAAUCCAUUUAUUCUCAAUUGCUUGCCGAUCAUCGGGCAAGUCAACCAAAGUCCAUACUUUGUUCUCAUACAUGGAUCCCAUCUCAGAUUUCAUGGCUUCAAGCCAGUUUACGGAAUCUGGGCUCACCAUCGCUUCUUCAUAGUUCGUAGGUUCAUCAUGAUCUAGUAGCAUGACCUCCAGAACAGGAUUACCGUACCACUCUGGUGCGGAUCUUACUCUGGUUGAUCUACGCGGUUCAGUAGUAUCUUGAUCUGAAGUUUCAUGAUCAUUAUCAUUGGCUUCCUCACUAACUGGUGUAGGUGUCACUGAAACAGUUUUCUGUGAUGAACUACUUUCCAGUAAGGGAGCAGGUACAGUUACCUCGUCAAGUUCUACUUUCCUCCCACUCACUUCUUUCGAGAGAAACUCCUUCUCUAGAAAUGAUCCAUUCUUAGCAACGAAUGUUUUGCCUUCGGAUCUGUGAUAGAAGGUGUACCCAACAGUUUCCUUUGGGUAUCCUAUGAAGACACAUUUCUCCGAUUUGGGUUCGAGCUUAUCAAGUUGAAGCUUUUUCACAUAAGCAUCGCAGCCCCAAACUUUUAAGAAACGACAACUUUGGUUUCUUGCCAAACCACAGUUCAUAAGGCGUCGUCUCAACGGAUUUUGAUGGUGCCCUAUUUAACGUGAAUGCGGCCGUCUCUAAAGCAUAUCCCCAAAAUGAUAGCGGUAAAUCAGUAAGAGACAUCAUAGAUCGCACCAUAUCUAGUAAAGUACGAUUACGACGUUCGGACACACCAUUACGCUGUGGUGUUCCGGGUGGCGUGAGUUGCGAAACUAUUCCAUAGUUUUUCAAAUGUACACCAAACUCGUAACUCAAAUAUUCUCCUCCACGAUCAGAUCGUAGAAACUUUAUUUUCUUGUUACGAUGAUUUUCAACUUCACUCUGAAAUUCUUUGAACUUUUCAAAUGUUUCAGACUUAUGUUUCAUUAAGUAAAUAUACCCAUAUCUGCUUAAAUCAUCUGUGAAGGUGAGAAAAUAACGAUAUCCGCCACGAGCCUCAAUAUUCAUCGGGCCACAUACAUCGGUAUGUAUGAUUUCCAACAAAUCUGUUGCUCUCUCCAUAGUACCGGAGAACGGUGUUUUAGUCAUCUUGCCCAAGAGGCACGGUUCGCAAGUACCAAGUGAUUCAUAAUCAAGUGGUUCCAAAAGUCCAUCGGUAUGGAGUUUCUUCAUGCGCUUUAUACCGAUAUGACCUAAACGACAGUGCCACAAAUAAGUUGCACUUUCAUUAUCAACUCUGCAUCUUUUGGCUUCAACAUUAUGAAUAUGUGUAUUACUACUAUCGAGAUUCAAUAAAAAUAGACCACUCUUCAAAGGUGCAUGACCAUAAAAGAUAUUACUCAUAUAAAUAGAACAACCAUUAUUCUCUGAUUUAAAUGAAUAACCAUCUCGCAUUAAACAAGAUCCAGAUAUAAUGUUCAUGCUCAACGCUGGCACCAAAUAACAAUUACUUAGGUCUAAUAUUAAUCCCGAAGGUAGAUGUAGAGGUAGCGUGCCGACUGCGAUCGCAUCGACUUUGGAACCAUUUCCUACGCGCAUCGUCACCUCGUCCUUUGCCAGUGCCCGCUUAUUCUGUAGUCCCUGUUUCGAGUUGCAAAUAUUAGCAACAGAACCAGUAUCAAAUACCCAGGUGCUACUGCGAGCUCUAGUAAGGUACACAUCAAUAACAUGUAUAUCACAUAUACUUUUGUUCACCUUGCCAUCCUUCUUAUCCGCCAAAUACUUGGGGCAGUUCCGCUUCCAGUGACCAGUCUGCUUGCAGUAGAAGCACUCAGUUUCAGGCUUAGGUCCAGACUUAGGUUUCUUCUCUUGAGCAGCAACUUGUUUGCCAUUCUUCUUGAAGUUCCCCUUUUUCUUCCCUUUGCCCUUUUUCUUGAAACUAGUGGUCUUGUUAACCAUCAACACUUGAUGCUCCUUCUUGAUUUCUACCUCCGCAGCUUUCAGCAUUGCGAAGAGCUCGGGAAUAGUCUUGUUCAUCCCUUGCAUAUUAUAGUUCAUUUACGAAGCUCUUGUAGCUUGGUGGCAGUGAUUGGAGAAUUCUGUCGAUGACGCAAUCAUCCGGAAGAUUAACUCCCAAUUGAAUCAAGUGAUUAUUAUACCCAGACAUUUUGAGUAUAUGCUCACUGACAGAACUGUUCUCCUCCAUCUUGCAGCUAUAGAACUUAUUGGAGACUUCAUAUCUCUCAAUCCGGGCAUUUGCUUGAAAUAUUAACUUCAACUCCUGGAACAUCUCAUAUGCUCCAUGACGUUCAAAACGUCGUUGAAGUCCCGAUUCUAAGCCGUAAAGCAUGGCACACUGAACUAUCGAGUAGUCAUCAGCUUUGCUCUGCCAGACGUUCAUAACAUCUGGCGUUGCUCCAGCAGCAGGCCUGGCACCCAGCGGUGCUUCCAGGACGUAAUUCUUCUGUGCAACAAUGAGGAUAAUCCUCAAGUUACGGACCCAGUCCGUGUAAUUGCUACCAUCAUCUUUCAACUUUGCUUUCUCAAGGAACGCAUUAAAAUUCAACGGAACAACAGCACGAGCCAUCUAUCUACAAUCAACAUAAACAAGCAAGAUACUAUCAGGUACUAAGUUCAUGAUAAUAUUUAAGUUCAAUUAAUCAUAUUAUUUAAGAACUCCCACUUAGAUAGACAUCCCUCUAAUCCUCUAAGUGAUUACGUGAUCCAAAUCAACUAAACCAUAACCGAUCAUCACGUGAGAUGGAGUAGUUUUCAAUGGUGAACAUCGUUAUGUUGAUCAUAUCUACUAUAUGAUUCACGCUCGACCUUUCGGUCUCCGUGUUCCGAGGCCAUAUCUGCAUAUGCUAGGCUCGUCAAGUUUAACCUGAGUAUUCUGCGUGUGCAAAAACUGGCUUGCACCCGUUGUAGAUGGACGUAGAGCUUAUCACACCCGAUCAUCACGUGGUGUCUGGGCACGACGAACUUUGGCAACGGUGCAUACUCAGGGAGAACACUUCUUGAUAAUUUAAUGAGAGAUCAUCUUAUAAUGCUACCGUCAAUCAAAGCAAGAUAAGAUGCAUAAAAAAGAUAAACAUCACAUGCAAUCAAUAUAAGUGAUAUGAUAUGGCCAUCAUCAUCUCGUGCUUGUGAUCUCCAUCUCCGAAGCACCGUCAUGAUCACCAUCGUCACCGGCGCGACACCUUGAUCUCCAUCGUAGCAUCGUUGUCGUCUCGCCAAUCUUAUGCUUUCACGACUAUCACUACCGUUUAGUAAUAAAGUUAAGCAUUAUAUCGCGAUUGCAUUGCAUACAAUAAAGCGACAACCAUAUGGCUCCUGCCAGUUGCCGAUAACUUGGUUACAAAACAUGAUCAUCUCAUACAAUAAAAUUCAGCAUCAUGCCUUGACCAUAUCACAUCACAACAUGCCCUGCAAAAACAAGUUAGACGUCCUCUACUUUGUUGUUGCAAUUUUUUACGUGGCUGCUACGGGCUUAAGUAAGAACCAAUCUCACCUACGCAUCAAAACCACAACGAUAGUUUGUCAAAUAGACUCCGUUUUAACCUUCGCAAGGACCGGGCGUAGCCAUACUUGGUUCAACUAAAGUUGGACAGACAGUCGCCCGCAAGCCAUCUCUGUGCAAAGCACGUCGAGGGAACCGGUCUCGCGUAAGCGUACGCGUAAGGUUGGUCUGGGUCGUCUCAUCCAACAAUACCGCCGAACCAAAAUAUGACAUGCUGGUAGGCAGUAUGACUUGUAUCGUCCACAACUCACUUGUGUUCUACUCGUGCAUAUAACAUCAACAUCAAUAACCAGGCUCGGAUGCCACUGUUGGGUUUCGUAGUAAUUUCAAAAAUUUUCCUACGCGCACACAGGAUCAUGUGAUGCAUAGCAACGAGAGGAGAGUGUUGUCUACGUACCCAACGCAGACCGACUGCGGAAGCGAUGACACGACGUAGAGGAAGUAGUCGUACGUCUUCACGAUCCAACCGAUCAAGCACCGAAACUACGGCACCUCCGAGUUCGAGCACACGUUCAGCUCGAUGACGAUCCCCGGACUCCGAUCCAGCAAAGUGUCGGGGAAGAGUUUCGUCAGCACGACGGCGUGGUGACGAUCUUGAUGAACUACAGCAGCAGGGCUUCGCCUAAACUCCGCUACAGUAUUAUCGAGGAAUAUGGUGGCAGGGGGCACCGCACACGGCUAAGGAAUCGAUCACGUGGAUCAACUUGUGUCAACUUGUGUGUCCAUGGGGUGCCCCUUGCCUCAGUAUAUAAAGGAUGGAGGAGGAGGAGGCCGGCCAAGGCAGAGGUGCGGCCAGGGUGGGGAGUCCUACUAGGACUCCAAGUCCUAGUAGGAGUCCACCAAGAGGGGAGGAAGGGAGAAGGAAUAGGAGGAGAAGGAGAGGUGGCCGGCCCCCUUUUCCCUAGUCCAAUUCGGACUAGAGGGGAGGGGGGGCGCAGCCUUUUUCUCCUCUUCCCACUAAAGCCCAUCAAGGCCCAAUACUCUUCCCCGUAUUCCCGUAACCCCCCGGUACUCCGAAAAAUACCCGAAUCACUCGGAACCUUUCCGAACUCCGAAUAUAGUCGUCCAAUAUAUCGAUCUUUACGUCUCGACCAUUUCGAGACUCCUCGUCAUGUCCCCGAUCUCAUCCGGGACUCCGAACUCCUUCGGUACAUCAAAACUCAUAAACUCAUAAUAUAACUGUCAUCGAAACCUUAAGCGUGCGGACCCUACGGGUUCGAGAACAAUGUAGACAUGACCAAGACACGUUUCCGGUCAAUAACCAAUAGCGGGACCUGGAUGCCCAUAUUGGCUCCUACAUAUUCUACGAAGAUCUUUAUCGGUCAGACCGCAUAACAACAUACGUUGUUCCCUUUGUCAUCGGUAUGUUACUUGCCCGAGAUUCGAUCGUCGGUAUCCAAUACCUAGUUCAAUCUCGUUACCGGCAAGUCUCUUUACUCGUUCCGUAAUACAUCAUCUCACAACUAACAUAUUAGUUGUAAUGCUUGCAAGGCUUAUGUGAUGUGUAUUACCGAGAGGGCCCAGAGAUACCUCUCCGACAAUCGGAGUGACAAAUCCUAAUCUCGAAAUACGCCAACCCAACAUCGACCAUUGGAGACACCUGUAGUACUCCUUUAUAAUCACCCAGUUACGUUGUGACGUUUGGUAGUACCCAAAGUGUUCCUCCGGUAAAUGGGAGUUGCAUAAUCUCAUAGUCAUAGGAACAUGUAUAAGUCAUGAAGAAAGUAAUAGCAACAUACUAAACGAUCGGGUGCUAAGCUAAUGGAAUGGGUCAUGUCAAUCAGAUCAUUCUACUAAUGAUGUGACCUCGUUAAUCAAAUAACAACUCAUUGUUCAUGGUUAGGAAACAUAACCAUCUUUGAUUAACGAGCUAGUCAAGUAGAGGCAUACUAGUGACAUUCUGUUUGUCUAUGUAUUCACACAUGUAUUAUGUUUCCGGUAAAUACAAUUCUAGCAUGAAUAAUAAACAUUUAUCAUGAUUAUAAGGAAAUAAAUAAUAACUUUAUUAUUGCCUCUAGGGCAUAUUUCCUUCAAAAUGAUGAGACCAUGAUCUUGUUCCUUGACAAUAACCAACUUUUUACCAAACUUUUUUCCUAUUUAGAGCGAAACAUGGCCCACAACAAUGAGGCCGGUGGUUCGGGCGGCAAGCAAUUCUGGGAGCUGUCCCAGGAGAUGGAGGAACAACCUCACCGCUAUGAGGACGCCGCGGAAGACACUGAUCCUGAUUACACAACCCCUAGUGGCGUCGGGGAUAACACCACUAAUGGUGCCGCCGAGGAUGCCACCACUGAUGAUGGCGGCGCACACACAGAUGGCAGCCAACCGAAGAAGCAAAGGAAGGACCGGCGCCCGAAUGCGCUCCGCACCGUCAAGGAGGAAUUCACUCAAGUGGACUCCGACGGGAAUCCAACGGAGCCCAAACAUAUAGUCAAGGGGUACUCGGUUCAGCUCGGGUGCAUUCUCCGGAGCACCGUCUCGAUCAACACCGAGAACCUUAGGCAUAAGGACCGAGGGAAUUUGCGCAACCUCCUCUUCACGAAGCUGCACGAAUGAUACAAGUUCCCCGCCGAAUUUGAAAACACACGCCUCUCAGGGAAUAAAGUGAACAGUGCUGCCCUCACGAAGAUGAGCACGACCCUGUCUACUUGGAAAAGCGCGGUGAAGAGAAUGAUUGAUAAAGGUGAUAGUUAUGAUAAGAUCAAGGCGAAAUAUCCUUUGAUGAGCGAAGAUGAGUACAAGGAAUUCAAGAUCAAGUGCGACAGCAGUGCAACCUCUGAAUCAAGUCAGUGGGGGAAAGAAAUGCGGGAGUUGAACUUAGGGGAACACAAACUCGGUCCCGGCGGUUACAGAGUGGCGGAGCCUAUAUGGGACAAGGAGGACGCGGAGCGUGCCGAGCAAGGCCUACCGCCCCGCUUCGAGAAAUACAGCGGUCACAAGCAGACCAGGAACUAUGUGAGGGCCCGAUACAAGGAGGACCCGAUAACAAAGGAGCUUACCACGGAUCCAAAGACCAGGGCGCUUGAGCUUCUUCUGGUAAGGAAUACACCCCCGCGUAAUUAGCUCCAUAUGGUUGCACUCUAAUUAAUCCCCAAUAUUUCUAAAUGGUUCACGUUCCUUUCGCAGGACACUGAAAGCAGUAGCGCCGGGUCGUCUAAGAGCUCCCCUUUCGACACCCCUUUAAAUAGGGCGUUGAACGUAAUGAAAAACAAGGAUAAGCUCACUAAGCCGACGUCAGCUGGUCGUGUGGCCGGCAAAGGCUUGUCCACAAAAUGGGGGUCAUACUAUACCGCUGGUGUGCGGAAGGAGAAAAAGACCAGCUCGGAAAGCCAGACGCGCGAGGUUGAAGAACUCAAGGCACAAGUGGCGCGGAUUCCGGAGCUUGUCCAAGAGCAAGUGCAACAGCAACUUGGAAUGACGCUCAAUGCCAUGGUGCCUAUGUUGAUUCAUGGGCUGACAACGUGGAUUACGGGCGACCAACAGGGGCCUCCCCCGGUUCCCAGCUUCACGGCCAGCAACUCGCACAGCGCGCAUGCGGCUCCAUUGGUGUCUCCGGCGGCGCCAUUGGUGUCUCCGGCGGAGGCGGUAUUCGUGUCUCCGGCGCCGGCACGGGCAUUGGAGCUUAAUGCACCCGGGUGUACGCCAGCCGGCACCUCGCUAGCAAGCGCCCCCUCCGUCAGUUGCACGCCCGCCGUUGGCGGUGCCUCGACAUUAGCCGAGCUCGAUGGCAUCACGGUAACUAAGCCUCUCGGCCGAUGACUUCAUCUCCUUGCCUUUGACUGGGCAUCCCUGACGCCCUAUACAUGUUUUCGCAGGGCACCGCCGACGUUCCUUGCACUCUUCUGCACUUCGUGGGAGCCGAGUUGGUCGAUGUCGCCAAGGGCAGAAUCGUUCAACCGGGCAACCCCAUGUUCCACGGUAAUCCGAUGCCACCCACAAUGUAUAGGGUUGAAGUGGUUCGGGUGCUGCCAGGCUGCGACGAGCUGUUACCUCCGAUUUGACCCGCUGGGGCCGACGAAGAAGAUGAGAUGACCCUCAGCACCUGCGUAAACUGGCCCCUGCUUUGGCCGAAGAGCCAGAUUCGUUUGGGGGCGGGGGACACCACCCCACAGAGAAGACCGCCAGUCGUGCCGGUGCCAAGCCAUGGCAAGAACGCCGCAACGCUACCGGACCUGCCGGACAUCCCUAUGGCACAGGAUCCGGACAGCCCUAUGGCACAGGAUCCGGACGGCGACGACAACGACGACGGUACAUUUACCAAAGUUGAUAAGUACUUUGCCGAACAUGGGUACGCUCACGAGUUCUGCGGGCCUCUUUCUCAAGAACCCAACCAAGACGACCGCGAUCUAGCUGGUACAACGGAGAAAUCCAAUUGCAACAGGCAUCGUCUGGCAUUCAGUUCUCAGGACACGCCUCCAGCUCCCGCCUUCACCGAGCCUCAGAUAGCUGAGGUGCGGAAUAUUAUCAGCCCCAACACGCUCAAGAAGGCGGUCUGUGAGCAGAACUCGGUCCCAUUACAGGAGAUCAAGAAGAAGGGAUGGAAACAAAAGACUAACAAGGGCGCCGGUGCGAGCCAGCUGGCACCGAGUUCGAUCCGUGCUCAGGACGGGCCACCUUCACCUAAGGAUAUCUCGAGGAGGGUGCAUGUGGCGGGUAGGGCGAUGCUACCGCCAAAUAUGCUGAAUGCUGCAACCGGUGCUAUGCGGAGUCUUCACGACAUUGUUCUUUCUUUGGAGAAGCGGCGUCUCAGAGAGAAGGAUGUGGCAUACCCGGUUUUCAUGGCCAAGGUGCCAGAGGGCAAGGGCUUUGUGGAUGGCGAUAUCGGGGGUACGAUCGUCCUGCGGUUUGAUGACAUCUUUGCUAUGUUUAACCUUCAUCCGCUGCACUACACCUUCGUCGACUGUUUUCGCUGAGUAUGGAGAUGUGGAUCAUUAGAGACAAGACCCCAGACAUCGUGAUAGUCGACCACUUCGACAUGCGUGCCAAGCACUUGAGCAGCGCUGGGGACCGCCAAGUUGCGAGUUCACACCUCGAAGGCGUCAUUCUGGCAAACCCAGAUAAGGAUAACUUCCUUGUGGCUUAAUUUCCCGAGUAAGUCAUCCCUUAACCGCCCCGUAACAUAUGAUUUCUUAGAUUUCGAUCGUUCUUUUUUUCUAACAUUCCGUGUUCUGUGCAGUGACACACAUUGCACACUCAUCGUCUUAAGCCCGAAAUAUUCCAUGGCCAUGUAUUUAGACCCGAACCGUAACUCCAAGAUAGACUACACAAAUGUCAAGAAAGUUCUUGAUGAUGUUCUCCCUGCCUACGCCAAAUAUGGAGGCACCUUCACUAGGGCAGUUCGUAAGUACGGCAAGCACAUGUUCUCACACAAUACGAAGUUCUGCUGCAUCAAGUAGCCGCCUGGCGGUCAGAAGGAUGCCUACUACGCCCUCCAUCACAUGCGGGCGAUCGUAAGGGACCAUCAUCAACUUCUGCUACCAGAUAAUCUCAAAGAUUGGGCCGCGAGCUUGUCGGUAGUCCAGGAUGCGGACCUCAGACACGAAUUCUUUCGCAUCCAGUCGGAGUUUGCGGACAUCAUCCAUCAAGAUGUCCUUCAUACCUCGGGGCAGUUCUUCCUCAGAUAUCAACCGUCCAACAGUGAGAUAGAUGAAAUGCUACAAAUGCAGGGUGACAACGACCGCGAUUUCAUGACCAUCUCGACAGACGGCGGCUUCAUCCACGUUCCUGUCCGAUGAGUCGAGUCAAAAGUAGUGAUGUGUAGUUCUGAAACAUUGAUUGGCUCAUGUUGUAAUUAUACUUUAUUGAAUUCGUAUGUCUCUUUGGUUUGGAAAGUCGUUCAACUUAGAUGUAAUCGAUGCUAUUUAUUAGUAGGACCAUGAAUCGUGCUAUUAAUGUCUUGUUUUUCUCUUCCGAUCCUUUUGUUGCAUACUUACAUAUUGCUUAUGUAUUGUCUGUUGUUUGGCUUGUGCAUAGAGAUGCCGUCGUAUGUCGUGUACAAGGGUAAGGUUUCCGGAGUCUACGAUGACUGGGAGGAGUGUCGGAGACAGGUUCACCGUUUCAGCGGUAACAGUUACAAAGGGUACACCACUAGGGCGGAGGCUGAAUGUAGAUACGCCCGCUAUCUAGAGGGAGAGAGGAGGGAGCAUUGGAGGAAUAGGAUGAAGACCAGUUUGAUCGGGAUGAUGCUCAUCGUGAUGACCACAGCUCUCUUCUAUGUGAUGGUAGUUUAGAUGAUCGAUAUCGACUUGUAAUGUGAAGGCAAACUCGAUACUCGCGGUCUUGAGACUUGUAAUGUUUUAUCUUUGUUCGGUCUUUUGAAUUCGGAGACUAAUAUGAUGAAUUGUAUUCGGAGGCUAAUCUUCUAUUGUAUUCGAUGAAUCUGAUGUUGCUGUGUGCUGCUGUCUAUAUUCUGUCCAAUAAUAUAUUUUGUAACCUGUGCAAAAAUCAGAAAAGCAAAAAAAAUAAAACCUAAUAUUCAUACUAAUGGCGCACUGUGAUCAUCACACUAAUGGCGCAUUAACUGUUGGUGCGCCAUUAGAAUGCCAAUGCACAUGGGUACAUAUGGCCCCUUGGGAGGCAUUCUAAUGGCGCACUGCAGGCUAUACUAAUGGCGCACUACAUGGUGCGCCAUUAGAACACCAGAUACUAAUGGCGCACCGGUGGUGCGCCAUUAGAAUUUAAUUGUAAUGGCGUGAUGCCAGUGGCGCACCGGUAGCGCGCCAUUAGAAGGCAAAUUCGGUGCGCCACUAGCAUGCCUUUUCCUAUUAGUGGAAGGGCGAGUGCUGAAAGAUGUCUGCGGCGGUGAACUCCAUUAUCGGCGCCCAAUCAGAUUCGAUCGGCAGGGGCGCGGGGGGCUCGGAGUUCAAAAAGGAAUCCGGCUCCUCGGAGUCACGGGCCAUGCGGAGUGCGGGGCUGGAGUUCGGCUCGAUUGCCUCUAAGAUCGCAGCCCCUGAGGCAGCGUCCAACCGCUGAUCCUCGAUUGGCGCAGUAGGCUCCAAAUCAAUGGUCGGAAUCGAUGCGUGUGCGGCCUCCAAGGCGCUGUUCGGCGGCAGAGCUAUAUCAUGCCCAUCGAGACAGUGCGGCGCGCUUGGCUGUGGCUCGAAUCCGUCGAAGAUCAAGUCCCCGCGGAUGUCAGUCGUGUAGUUUAGGCUUCCAAACCUGACCUGAUGGCCAGGGGCGUAGCUUUCGAUCUGCUCAAGGUGGCCAAGCGACUUGGCCCGCAGUGCGAAGCCGCCGAAGAUGAAGAUCUGUCCGGGGAGAAUAGUCUCACACUGGACUGUAUCGUUGUUGAUGAUCGAAGGAGCCAUCGGGCCUAAAAGCGAUGACACAGAGGAACUCUCAAUGAAAGCAACAAUGUUGGUGUCAAAACCGGCGGAUCUCGGGUAGGGGGUUCCGAACUGUGCGUCUAGGCUGGAUGGUAAUAGGAGGCAAGGAACACGAUGUUUUACCCAGGUUCGGGCCCUCUUGAUGGAGGUAAAACCCUACGUCCUGCUUGAUUAAUAUUGAUGAUAUGGGUAGUACAAGAGUAGAUCUACCACGAGAUCAAGGAGGCUAAACCCUAAAAGCUAGCCUAUGGUAUGAUUGUUGUAUGAUGAAGUUGUCCUAUGAACUAAAACCCUCCGGUUUAUAUAGACACCGGAGAGGGUUAGGGUUACACAAAGUCGGUUACAAUGGUAGGAGAUCUUGAAUAUCCGCAUCGCCAAGCUUGCCUUCCACACCAAGGAAAGUCCCAUCCGGACACGGGACGAAGUCUUCAAUCUUGUAUCUUCAUAGUCCUGGAGUCCGGCUGAAGGUAUACUCCGGCUACCCGAACACCCCCUAAUCCAGGACUCCCUCAGUUACCCUUAAUAAUAUGCUAGCACAUCUUAUAAAUUUCUGCUAGGAAACCAUCCAAUCUUGGUUCCUUUUUAUUCUUCGUCCGAGAUAUCGCCUCAAACACCUCUUUUUCCAUGAAUGGUUUGGAUAGAAUCUCAUUCUUGUUUGUCUCGGGUUGACAAAUAUCCCCUACCAAGUGUCUGUCGAGAGACACAAAAUUGUCCUCAGGAGCACCAAAAAGUUGUUUAUAGUUGUUGGAGAUGUACAAUUUUUGGUUCUCAUGUCCGACAGUUGUACCAUCAUCCUGCUCUAGAUGGAAAAUUUUCUUCAUUACGUGUUUAACAUUCACAAUCAAAUGAAAAAAGUGAGUGUUGUCGUCCCCUUGGACCACCUACCUCACGUUGGAUCUAAGUGCCCACUUCAUCUCUUCUUCUCACAGAAGAUCACAUAAUUUCUACUCAGCCUCCGUCUUAGAUGCCUGUGCACCUGCAUCUAGUAAAAUGGAUUCGGCAUUUAGAUCAAGUCAUUUAUAAGGUGAAUAAGCCUAUCUUUUUCCACCUUAUAAAUCCCGCUCUCAUUUUAUCCCAUUCCCUUAGGAACUGCCACAACUGCCUAAUCUUAGUUUGCCAUUGCUCAAUAUUCGACCUCCCUCCUGUGACCUUAGCCCAUUCUCGACCUAUCAGACCAAAGAAGCCCUCUCUCUCAAACCAGGCUAGUUCAAAAGAGAAGACUUUAUUGUUUUCCACAUGUCUCAAUUCCCCGGAGUCAACAAGCAAAGGAGUGUGGUCUGAAAUUCCUCUCUGCUAAGCAUGCACCAUCACCAAAGGAAACUUCUGUUCCCACUCAAUAUUGGUGAUGAAUCGAUCCCAACUUCUAAUAGGUUCAUUCAGCUAUGAGUUGGCCCAUGUGAAUUGUCUACUUGUGAGGCCUAUCUAGAUCAGGUCCAGACUUUCAAUAAUGGUAUUAUACAUCUAUGACCAUCUACCAUCAAAGUUAUCAUCAUUUAUUCUUCUCUCCUUCUAAUAAUUUUAAAAUAACUUCCAACUAUUAUUGGUAGACUCUGAUAACCGACAAGUAUAGGGGAUCACAACAGUUUUCGAGGGUAGAGUAUUCAACCCAAAUUUAUUGAUUCGACACAAGAGGAGCCAAAGAAUAUUCUCAAGUAUUAACAGUUGAGUUGUCAAUUCAACCGCACCUAAAAGACUUAAUAUCUGUAGCAAAGUAUUUAGUAGCAAAGUAAUAUCAUAGUAGUGGUAACGGUAGCAAAAGUAACAGUAUUGGUUUUAUAGUGAUUGUAACAAUGGCAACGGAAAAGUAACUAAGCAAAGAUCAAUAUGUGAAAAGCUCGUAGGCAAUGGAUUAGUGAUGGAUAAUUAUGUUGGAUGUGAUUCCUCAUGCAACAGUUAUAGCAUAGGGUGACACAAAACUAGCUCCAGUUCAUCAAUGUAAUGUAGGCAUGUAUUCCGAAUAUAGUCAUACAUACUUAUGGAAAAGAACUCGCAUGACAUCUUUUGGCCUACCCUCACGUGGCAGCGGGGUCCUAUAGGAAAAUAAGGGAUAUUAAGGCCUCCUUUUAAUAGAGUACCGGACCAAAGCAUUAACACUUAGUGAAUACAUGAACUCCUCAAACUACGGUCAUCACCGGUAAGUAUCCCGAUUAUUGUCACUUCGGGUUUAACGGAUCAUAAGACAUAAUAGGUGACUAUAGACUUGCAAGAUAGAAUCAAGAACUCACAUAUAUUCAUGAAAACAUAAUAGGUUCAGAUCUGAAAUCAUGGCACUCAGGCCCUAGUGACCAGCAUUAAGCAUAGCAACAUCAAUCUCAGAACAUAAUGGAUACUAGGGAUCAAUACCUAACAAAACUAACUCGAUUACAUGAUAAAUCUCAUCCAACCCAUCACCGUCCAACAAGCCUAUGAUAGAAUUACUCACGCAGGGCGGUGAGCAUCAUGAAAUUGGUGAUGGAGGAUGGUUGAUGAUGACGAUGGCGACGGAUUCCCCACUCUGGAGCCCCGAACGGACUCCAGAUCAGCCCUCCCGAGAGAUUUUAGGGCUUGGCAGCGGCUCUGUAUCGUAAAACGCGAUGAAUCUUUCUCUCUGAUUUUUUCCUCUCCGAAAGUGAAUAUAUGGAGUCAAGGUUGAGGUCGGUGGAGCAUCAGGGGGGCCAUGAUGCAAGGGGCGCGCCCAGGGGGUAGGGCGCGCCCCCCACCCUCGUGGACAGGUGGUGGCCCCCCUGGCCUUGAUUCUUUCGCCAGUAUUUUUUAUAUAUUCCAAAAAUAUUCUCCGUUCAUUUUCAGGUCAUUCCAAGAACUUUUAUUUCUGCACAAAAAUAACACCAUGGCAAUUCUGCUGAAAACAACAUCAAUCCGGGUUAGUUCUAUUCAAACCAUGCAAGUUAGAGUCCAAAACAAGGGCAAAAGUGUUUGGAAAAGUAGAUACGAUGGAGACGUAUCAACUCCCCCAAGCUUAAACCUUUACUUGUCCUCAAGCAAGUCAGUUGAUAAACUUAAAGUGAUAAAGAAAAACUUUUACAAACUUUGUUUGCUCUUGUUGUUGUAAAUAUGUAAAGCCAUCAUUCAAGUUUUCAGCAAAGAUUAUGAACUAACCAUAUUCACAAUAACAUUUAGGUCUCAUGUUUACUCAUAUCAAUGACAUAAUCAACUAGCGAGCAAUAAUAGUAAAUCUCGGAUGACAACACUUUCUCAAAACAAUCAUAAUAUGAUAUAACAAGAUGGUAUCUCGCUAGCCCUUUCUGAGACCGCAAAAAAUAAAUGCAGAGCACCUAUGAAGAUUAAGGGCUGACUGGAAAUUGUAAUUCAUGGUAAAAGAGAUCCAGUCACAGUCAUACUCAAAGUGAAGUAAUAAUAAUACAUGCAAAUGACAGCGGUGCUCUCCAAGUAGUGCUUUUUAAUAAGAGGAUGAUGACUCAAUAUAAAAGUAAAUGGAUAGGCCCUUCGCAGAGGGAAGAAGGGAUUUGUAGAGGUGCCAGAGCUCGAUUUUGAAAUAGAGAUAAAUAAUAUUUUGAGUGGUAUACUUUAAUUGUCAACAUAACAACCGAGAGAUCUCGAUAUAUUCCAUGCUACACACAUUAUAGGCGGUUCCCAAACAGAAUGGUAAAGUUUAGACUCCCCCUACCACCAACAAACAUCAAUCCAUGGCUUGUACGAAACAACAGGUGCCUCCAACUAACAACAAUCCUGGGUGAGUUUUGUUUGCAAUUAUUUUGAUUUGAUUUGAGCAUGGGACUAGGCAUCCAGGUUACCAGCCAUUUUCUCGUGAGUGAGGAGCGGAGGCCACUCCUCUUGAGAAUAACCUGCCUAGCAUGGAAGAUAUAGACAACCCUAGUUGAUACAUGAGCUAUCGAGUAUACAAAACAAAGUUUCAUUUGAAGGUUUAGAGUUUGGCACAUACAAAUUUACUUGGAACAGCAGGUAGAUACCGCAUAUAGGAAGGUAUGGUGGACUCAUAUGGAAUAACUUCUGGGGUUUAUGGAGUUGGAUGCACAAGCAGUAUUCCCGCUUAGUACAAGUGAAGGCUAGAAAGAGACUGGGAAGCGACCAGCUAGAGAGCGACAACAGUCAUGAACAUGCAUUAAAAUAAAUCAACACUGAAUGCAAGCAUGAGUAGGAUAUAAUUCACCAUGAACAUAAAUAUCAUGGAGGCUAUGUUGAUUUUGUUUCAACUACAUGCGUGAACAUGUGCCAAGUCAAGCCACUCGGAUCGUUCACAGGAGGAUACCACCCUAUCAUACCACAUCGCAACCAUUUUAAUAGCAUGUUGACACGCAAGGUAAACCACUAUAAAAUCCUAGCAAAUUAAGCAUGGCAUGAGCAACUAUAAUCUCUAAUUGUCAUUGCAAACAUGUUUCAUUCAUAAUAGGCUGAAUCAGGAAUGAUGAACUACUCAUAUUUACAAAAACAAGAUAGGUCGAGUUCAUACCAGCUUCUCUCAUCUCAAUCAGUUCAUCAUAUAUCGUCAUUAUUGCCUUUCACUUGGACAACCGAAUAGUGUGGAUAAAAAUAAUUGUGCACGUGCAUUGGACUAAGCUGGAAUCUGCAAUCAUUCAAUACAAGGGAGAAGACAAGGUAAUAUGGGCUCUUGGUUAAAUCAACAAUAAUGCAUAUGAGAGCCACUUCAACAUUUUCAUCAUGGUGUUCUCCUUUGGACCCCCAAAGAAAAGAGAAGCAAAGAAAAGAAAACAAAACUAUUUACACGGGAAAGCUCCCAACAAACAAAAGAAGAACGAGAAAUCUUUUUGGGUUUUCUUUUAAUUACUAAUACUACAAUCAUGGAGAGUAAACUAGCUAAAAGCUACAACUUUUUUUUUCUUAAGGUUUUUCAAACACACAAGAAGAAGGCUUAAAAAGAAAAUAAACUAGCAUGGAUAGUAUAAGGAAAAAGCAUGGGAACUGACAACUGGCAUGAGUGUAUGAAUACGAAUGUAAUGUCGACGAGAAAUAUGUACUCCCCCCAAGCUUAGGCUUUUGGCCUAAGUUGGUCUAGGGCCACGGCUGGCCUGGUGGAUAUCCAAAGUUGAAGAUGGGAUCGUACUGAGAUGCAGCAGCUACUGCCUGAAGAGCUACAGCUUUGAGGUAGCUACCUCCGUCCUCCUCUCGCACUCAUUCGCCUCCUACCCAGUUAUAGCAUAUCUCCCUUUUGUCUGAAAGUGAAAGAAAGCAGGAGCAGGGAGAGCAACAUGGAAAGUGCGACGCCUGUCAAAGAUUAGUCGAUACUGGAGAGGUUGUUCAUUCCUCUCAAUAAACUAAUGGUGAACCCUAUCAUUAAAAUCUAGAUAAGCAGGAGGCAACUCCAUAUCAUUUUCAUGUACGGGUACCUCAAGAAAAUUAUCUAAACGGGUUGCAUAAAUUCCACCAAACAAAUCUCCACUUAAACUAUUAAGAUGCAACCUACGUGCAACAAUAACCCCCAAGUUAUAUUGUUUAUCUCCUAAUACAGCACUCUUGAGAACACUAAGAUCGGGACCACACAUGUGACAUGCCUCAUCCUUACCAUUGAUGCAUCUACCUAUAAAGAGAGCAAAAUAAUGUAUGUCAGGAAAGUGAAUGCUCCCUAUGGUAGCUUGUGUUAUUUCUCUAGAUUCCCCCAUAGUGAUACCAGCNNNNNNNNNNNNNNNNNNNNNNNNNNNNNNNNNNNNNNNNNNNNNNNNNNNNNNNNNNNNNNNNNNNNNNNNNNNNNNNNNNNNNNNNNNNNNNNNNNNNNNNNNNNNNNNNNNNNNNNNNNNNNNNNNNNNNNNNNNNNNNNNNNNNNNNNNNNNNNNNNNNNNNNNNNNNNNNNNNNNNNNNNNNNNNNNNNNNNNNNNNNNNNNNNNNNNNNNNNAGUAUUAAAAUCUUCUAAGUCCAUGGUAUAAGAUUUAUCAUAGAGAUCAAAUACACUACAAGAAAUAUGUCAACUUGUGACCUUCUGUUAGUGACCCUGGAAGAAUUGGUCAUAGAUCUAUGACCAUUUCAGACCAAUUGGUCAAAAGUUGUUCGGGGGCUCCAAAACCUAAACUAUAACGACCAUUUUGGUCAGAAAGGUCGUAAUUUCCUUACACGAAAUGGUCAUAAAGCAGAUAGCACUGUUCUGCUGCCUUAUUUCUAGCUGACCAUGACCAAUAUAGAUGGUCAUAACCUUGUAAAUUGUGGUGGGUUGCUAUGACUAGGCGCCCCCUCAUCAGUUUUGCCUAUGUGUCAUGUCCGUGUGGCAGUUUUUGCCCUAGGUUGUGAAGCAACCUAUAUUUCUGUCAUUCCCAAAAUUCCCAAAAAAAUCUCAUAAAUUCUUUGGGUCAUAUCUUCAUCAAAUAUGUAAAAAUCCUUCCUUGCCUAGUUCAAAACUAAUUCAACAAUAUUCAUUUUCCUAUUCUGUUCACGACAACACUUUAUGAAGGAAGUGCUAUUUAUAUAUUCUUGAUUGCCCUCAAAAUUUUUGGGCACUCUUUCCUAUCCAAAUCAUUACCGCAUGACAAAAUUCAGCUCCACUUGCCUAGCAAAUCUUCCUCGGCAAAUUUCCAAAGUUUUUGUCCACCUAGAAGCAUUAUGAAGGAAGUACCUUUUCUAUAUAUCGAAAUGACAUGAAAUUUAUACAGUUCCUUCAUAUGCCCAAAUUAUCAUCCUCCUCCAAAUUGCAGCUCAGUCAAAUCAUCUAUGUGAGCGCAAGUUCAAUUUAUAUUUUAUGGCCAAAUUGGCACGUUGCAAAGCAAGUGUUAUCUAGACCCCUCCUAUUACCCUCAAACUUUUCGGGCACUCUUCCAUACCCAAAUCAUUGCCACAUGAUAAUAUUCAGCUCAAUUUUCCUAGUAAAUCUUUCUCAGGAAAUUUUCAAAGUUUCUACCUCAAGAGAAGCUUUGUGAAGUAAGUACUAGCUAGGAUUACCCAAAUGAUCUGAAAAUUUACCAGCGCAUGACCAUACCUAUGUAACUUACCUACACCAAUUUUUAGCUCAUUUCAUUCAUCCAAUGUCUCUCACUAGUUUUCCCAAGUUUCUAUCCAUAGAAGAGAAUUAUGAAGGAAGUACCACUUUGGCAUUUCCAAAUAGUAUCCAUUUUCUAUAGUGGUUUCCUAUGCCCAAAUAACCAUCCUCCACCUAAUGCCAGCUCAAUCCGUUCAUUAUUUUGAGCCGAGCUUCAACAUUCGUAGUUAUGUCCAGUGUGGUAGUUCGCAAAGCAAGUACCACCUAGGCUCCUCCUUUUGAGCUGAAAAUUUGUGAAGACGGUCUUCUUAGUAACUGAUCAUCCUGAGCCAAAACUCACGCCCAUUAGCCAUGUACAUUUCCCGUACCUCUAAUCAAACACUUGGCUGUUAAUUCAUGUUUGAACAUCGAUCGGUCUCCUCGUGAGAAUCUUAUGUUGUAAUUUUCUUCCUAGCACCAACCUGGGGAGUGCCCAACCCACUAGACAUGCCUAGGCCGCCCAGAACGCAUGGCAACGCCACGGUCACGCGGUGACCACGCGACGGGCAUGCGAGUUUACGCGCUCUAGAGUUGGGGCCCUCGGCCACGACCCCAAACCUCUACGUAUCACCACCAAACCAUGUAUUUAUAAUUAAAUAGGUCCUUAUGUAACUAGAAAUGAUUUCUGGAAAAAAUAAAUAGCAAACUAUGAGGCAGCUGUAGUUCAAAUUUGACCCGCUUCCUACUGAAUCGAUGGAAAUUUGUCUUUUUCACGAGAGGUGGAUCAAAACAAUUUACACCCAACCAUUUUGUCAAUUAUGCAUUAAAUAUGGCCUAGUAUUUUAUAAAAAUGAUUUGGUCCAAUUUUGCAACAAUUAUUUGGUAGUUCCCUCACAAAAAAACCUCCUUUUGGGCACUCGAAAAAUGGAAAAUGGUUUUUUCGUCCAACGAAAAUGAAAACUUCCUUAGGCAACAUUGUUUGUCAUUCCAAUAUGCACCCUUGUGAACAAUAUGAGAUCAUUUGAACAAACUAUGCCAUGAAUGUGGCCAUAAGAUUGAUCAUUUGGCUUGAAAGCCAUUGACCUUCACACAUGAUAGCUCAUUUCUGAGAACACUUUUUUAAAAUAAUUAUCGUAUUACAAGUUUAUUAUUUUUCCCGGAAACUUAAUCACAUAUAAUGAUACAAUGCGAAGGUUUUCCAAUUUUUUGAUUUUUUUUGAAUUUUUUAUGCCCGUUUCAAAAUGUGGUCAAAACGGCGGGCUUGACCGUUCCUAGGUAGAGGUUGAAUCUUGGAAUUUUUUUGGUGUUUCUCUGAUUAAAUAGAUACUUAUGUACCUAUAAAUAAUUUUUGGAAAAAAUAAAGAGCAAACUACGAGGUAGCUACAGUUCAAAUUUGACCCGCUUCCAACUGAAUCAGCGGGAAUUUGUCUUUUUCACCAGACGUGGAUAAAAACUUUUUACAACCAACCAUUUUGUUAAUUGUGCAUUAAAUAUGGCUUAGUAUUUUAGAAAAAUGAUUUGGUCGAAUUUUGCAACAAAUAUUUGGGUGGUCCUUCACAAAAAAAACUCAUUUCGGGCACUCGGAAAAUGGAAAAUGAAUUUUCCGUGCAAAGAAAAUGAAAACUCCCUUAGGCAACAUUGUUUGGAAUUCCAAGAUGCUCCCUUGUGCGCAAUAUGAGAUCAUUUGAACAAACUAUGCCAUGAAUGUGGCCAUAAGAUUGAUCAUCUGGCUUGAAAGCCAUUCAUCUCCACACAUCAUAGCUCGUUUCUGAGAACACUUUUUUAAAAGAAUUGCCGUAUUACAAGUUUAUUAUUUUUCCUGGUAACUUGGUCACACAUAAUGACACAAUGCGAAGGUUUUCCAAUUUUCUGAUUUUUUUUGAAUUUUUUAUGCCCGUUUCAAAAUGCGGUCAAAACGGCGGGAAUGACCUUUCCUAGCUAGUUGUUGAAUCUUGAAAAAAAAUUGGUGUUUCUGUAAUUAAAUAGAUACUGUUGUACCUAGAAAUGAUUUUUGGAAAAAAAUAAAUAACAAACAAUGAGGAUGUUGCAGUUCAAAUUUGACCUGUUUCCUGCUGAAUGAGCGGAAAUUUGUCUUUUUCAUGAGAGGUGAAUCAAAAAAUUUGACUCCCAAUCAUUUGGUCAAUUGUGCAUUAAAUAUGUCCUAGUAUUUUAGAAAUUUGAUUUGGUACAAUUUUGCAACAAAUAUAUGGUAGGUCCUUCACAAAAAAGGCAUUUUGGGCACUCGGAAAAUGAUUAAAACUAGCUAGAAAGAUCAGAAAUGCAUAGAAAUUGGUCCUUAUCCAUAAAAUGUGGUCUAACUCUAGUGAAAAUUUGUGUGGUGCCAUUUUGCAAAAUAUUUUUUAUAGAUACUUCACAAAAUCCCUCUAUUUUUAGUACUUAGACACUUUUUUUAAAUCACUGGUUUUUCGAACCAAUCAGGACUCUUCCCACGGAUCGAUGACAUGGCGCCCAUCCAUCCAUCCAUCCAUCUCUCCAUCCCACAUCCAUUCAUCCACCUAUCUACAGAAAAAAGUAAAAAAAUGACAAAGAGAUACCCCCACCCACAGCCGAAACCCUAGGUCAGAUCCCAUCCACUCCCCCCCAUCGCACCCCUCCUCUCCUCGCAGCCGCCGCCACCUCCUCCCUCGAUCCAGUCCUCUCCCCGGCCUCCUUUCCCCGAUCUGUAGAUGUAUGUCCCGGCGCCGCCGCCCCCACCUUCUCCUUCCUCUCCCCGAUCGGUUGAGAACCGCCGUGUGAUUUCCCCGGCUCCCGCGUCGCCGCACGACCUCGCCGGAACCCCGCCAGCACAGCGGCCACCACCGCCCCUCUUCCCACGCAGGGAGAUUGGGGAGAUUGUCGUCUCCCACGGCCAUGGCGUGCUCCUCUGCUGACGAGGCCGCCGUCUCUCUUCCCUACUCGAGGCUGCCGUCGACCAUGGCCAUGCUCGAGGUCUGCUGCUCCCUUCCCUGCCCUCUGCGCCGCCGUGAUCUAGUGCACUGCUGUGCUCCCCGACGUGCCCGUGGCCGUGGGCCCCCAGCCGCCGCCGCCGUCCGCGGGGCUCCGGGCGAGGUCCAUGGCCACCUUCACCCGCACGUGAGCGCCCCCUUCCCUACCCUUUCUGCCCAGAUCCGCUACCCCUGAAUUUGAGUGGUCUCUCGGUUGAAUCUGUGUCGUAGGAAGCCCCACGUCAAAGAAGGACCAGGAGGGCGUCGACGUCUUCGACAGCAUCUAGAAAAAGGCAUCUGGAAGAAGGUGACCCCUCUGCAUUUUCUGUAGCUUGCAUGUUUGUUCCAUUAGAACAUAGAAAAAAUGUAAGUGCUAUGUAUGUAGGUAUCGUAGUUACCAUUCCUGGAACCAAGCUCCAGCUAAUCCUUCUACUCUUAAUUGAUACUGGCAAGUUUGUUCCUCAUCAUGUGGCAAUUCUAGGUGGUGUAGUGUGCACAACCAGCCACUCGUAAAUUGCUCUUGUCCUGGUUGUUCCCUGUAGAAAGUAGAAAUGGUACUGCUAUUGUGCCGUUUGUGCAGAGACCUGGGAGAUGGGUUAAACAAAGAUUUAAGUAUAUGAGCCACCUUCUCUUUUUCUAACCAUUGUGUUAAAAUCAGAUAAGAGAACAUGCAAGUGGUUUAGAACUUUAGAUGACUGAUAUAUCAUAAAUCAGUUGGCCUCUGAAAUUUAGUUUCAUUAGGUAUAUCAUGCAUUAAGCUUCAGGGGAUAGGUUAAAGAAAAAUCUCUUAUAUGUGUGGCUUCCUUUUUCUUUUUCUAAUGAUUACAACUUAGUAGAUUAUUUUGUCAAAAUCAGACAGGAACAUCAUCAGAAUACGCAAGACCAGGUACUUAUGAUAAGGCUAUUCAAUGAAAACGAAGAAGCGUAAAACCAAGAAGCUCAAGGUCAAGGGCCUCGAUUUGGGCUGAUUUGCUGAUUUGGUUUCGUCUACUGGUGAUGCUUGUUCCUGAAGGCGCUGGCCAAGGAGCUGGUGCAGUCCAGGAAGGCGGUCAACCACCUCUACGAGAACAAGGCCCAGCUCAACUCCAUGUCCAUGCACCUCGGCAAGAUCGUCGGUAAUGGACACCACCUGCAUCAUAUCUAUCUUUCUAGAUAGCAUUUAGUAUGGUAACAUUUAGUAAUUUACAGCUGCUGUUCAUGAUGCUUUUACAAACUCUGAAAUCUGGUACUUUAGUCAAAUGUGCUUCCUUUCUGAACAACUGUGCACCUUGGCGAGCUCGUCGGUAGCAAACAAUUUCUACUGGCCUCGUAUCAUUCUAUACUAGUAUGGAUAUAUAGCAUCCAAGUUUGUUGUCUACUGACCUCUGCUAGUGUCUUGAAAUGCUUGGGAAUGCCCCGUCCGUCUGGACAUGCAGUUAGUCUGAAUCUGUUUUGGCAGCUAACAUGCCUCGUCAUUCUGACUACCUACUUUCUCACUUCAUGGCACUUGACAACAUUCAUGUUCUGUUUUAUUCAUUCUCACAUUCUGGCAUCUAUUACUACAACGAUCUCACAAUGGCGGUUUAGGACAUGCUUAUCCUUGCAAAAAAUUGAGCUCAGACAAUACUAAUGUUUAUAUCUAUCAUUCAGUACUAUUGUUUAUAUCUAAUCAAGAUCUUAUGAUUUACACAGGGAGGGUUGUCGCAGGUUCCAUGGAGCCCUCCUCCCCUCGUCAAGCUCAGUGCCAAGAGCGAGGAGCUGCUCUUCACCUCGCCUCGCCUCGCACAAGCAACAUCGUAUUCAUUUCUGCUCUUUCACUAGUGUCGACGCUUGCUUUCGUUGUUAAUAAUACACGCAUGCUCCACAACUAAUAUAGAAGAUGCAUUGCCAUCCCAUCUAGUAGGUGCUGACUUGAUGCAAACAAAUAAAAUAAAAUUAGUAGGUGUUGACUGCUCACACCCCAUAUAUGUUGAACGAUGCUAGCUAUUGUACCAAUGUGAUGUUGCUUGCUUGAUUGAUGACUUGUUGUCAUUAACUAGAAAAAAUAAGAAGAAAACCUUGUCAAUUUAUUUGAGGAGAAUCCUGUAUCCCAUUCAUUAGACAACCAGUACUACUUGUAUUUGCAUGUUUGCUUGCUUGCUUGCUUGUAGCACUAUCAAGUGUGAGGAAAUCCAGUACUAGGAUGUGUGGAGAUGGGACGCUGUUGGAUCAUUAGCACUUGUAGCACUAUCAAGUUUGUACUAAUUGCAGAUAUAAAACCUUGUAAUUUUGUUUCCGUAAGCUAAACUUUGUGAUUUAAUUUCUGGAAGCUAAACAUUGUAAGUCUAUUAAGAAACUUGAGCAAAAUCAGCCCACAAGUUAGUUGAAGUCACAAGUGCCUUUUAUUGACAAAGUCUUCUGGCAGGGCGAAUGCUAUAUUCAAAACCACUUCUAAUCACUUUGUGUUUUCUUUUUUAAUAUUUUGUUGUGUCUUGCUUGGUGGGAAUUGAUCCAGUUAAGUGGCUGACUGGGAAUAUUAUGCUGUCAAGUUCGUGUCUUAAUGCGUCUGAGAAUGUUGUUUCUUUCUUUCUUCCUUUUGUUGCAAACCUGAAAAGAAAGUGCAAUGUGAACCUGGAAGGUGCAUGUAUUGCUGCUACUUUCGUGUGCCAACUGCUAUACUAGUUGGUUUGUGAUGAUCCAAACAAGUCGACAGCAGUAGUACUGUUGGCAGUUGGUGUUUAAUUUCAUUGCUGUCAUGGUAUUUAUUCUUUCAGCAUGUCAUGUAUAUGCUGGUGUUUAAUUUUGUGAUGUUAGUAUGCUUGUGCUGACUAGUUUUUUUAGAUCUUGCCAGUUGAAUGGAUGGUCGUGUUAGUAGAAUGGUAUUUUGUUUUAGGCGCAAUGUGUUGCAGUGAAGUUUUUUGCACGACUUGCACUUGAGCCGUGCAUAUUCAUAUCAUGUAUCUGUUUUCUUGUAUGAAUGGGUAUCUCAUUUUCACUAGUUGGAGGACAAAAAGCAUGGCACUAACUCAAUUUGUGUUAUCAUUUUAAAUAAAUGUCAUUUUCUUGAAUGGUUUGUUCAUAAUAUAUUUGCCCCAAUGUUUCUGAUUCUUCUCUCAUUCAUGUAACAGGGUGACAGAGGAAGCCAUGUUGCAGUUUUGUUUGUUCCCAACCCUGACUACGGUCGUCUAGCGAGUUUGGCAUGUUGUUCAUCUGACUACGGUCGUCGAGCGAGUCUGCCAUGUUGUUCACCUGACUACGGUCGUCCAGCGAGUCUGGCAUGUUGUCAUUUUCUUGUAAAGCAAUACUGUAUUACACUUGUAGAGCUCGUUACACUUGUAGAGCUUGAAAGUACUAUAUUACACAUGGUCAUGUAUUGGCACAUAUAGAGAUUGUUAUUGUGAUUUCCAUUGUAUUAGAUUGUUAUUGUGAUUGCUAUUGUAUUAGAUGAUCUGGUUGCUCUUAUUUGAAACAUCAUGUGUGCUUUUUGUCUGGCAAUUUAAAUACUGGUUCAAAUAUGAAGAAUAUGAGCCUGAUAGAUGGGACCCACUUAUCUGACUAGUGGACCCUUCUUUUGGGAAAAAAAGAAAAGCUAAAUUCGUUUAGACAAAAAGGCCACAACCCAACAAUAAAACAGGCUGCAAUGUUGGGCUUGGCCCAUGAAGCUGAUCAAAAAUUGAUAGAAAAAUACAUUAAAAAGGCCGAAUUGUUGGCCUAGGCCCAUGUAGAAAAUCAAAUUGGACCGUGCUGAAUCUUGUGCCACAUCAGAUUGCCACGGUGGAUGCCUACGUGGCCUGGGGAGGUUGCUAGUGACCAAAACGCCACAGUAGACGUAUUUUGGUCAUAAACGUCUUCGACCAUUCCAGAAGAAAGGUCGCUAUAGUCAGUUUAUGACGGCCAGCUUUUGACCUUAUGUUUUUUGUCACAAAAAGGUCACAAAUGGAAAUUUGUGACCAUUCAGUGACCAAUAGUGGUGGUCACAAGUUGACAUAUUUCUUGUAGUGAUAGGACAGUGUGAGAAAUGCGUGAUGAUGUAAAUUUAAACUUUCUAACAAAGGAAUCAGUUCGGUGAUAAUAUUGGGAGCACUUAUCUGACAUGACGCCCUCAAGUUCAGCAUUACGCACAUACGCGUCAAAUUCCUGCUUGGACCAUAAAACCUUCUGACGGCCAUUCACAAGGCCGCACUUGAGCUUCUAUUGGUAGUUCAUAGUCCGGCUCAUGUAUCGCGAGCCUAGAUCCUUGCUUCUUUGAGGAAUCACCUUGGUACGUUUUCCUAAACAUAUUUCUUUCUCUAGAAAAUUUCUGAAAUUUUUAGUAACUCAAAAAUAAAAGUGAACCAAACUCAACAAGAUUGAUAGAAACUACUCCCACAAGUGCCUAGAGGCCAUAUCAUGCAAUAGAACUACUUAGGACCAAAUAAAUUUGAAAUGCAAGCUCAAAAACAGGGUCACCUAAGCAGCAAAAAUUUGCAAUAAAUAAAGCACUAGAACAAAAACUAAUUGUACCAUUGGAGGAGUCACAUACCGGAGAACAAUCCCCCAAAUCAGUUUUGUGAAUGGAGCUUUUAGCAAGGAGAUCGAAAAUGGCAGCAAGAUGAGCUAGAACUCGGGUUUGAGCUGGUGGAUGAUUUCUUUGGAGGAAGACGAAGUGUGUGGGUGCAAGGAUAAGUCGAGGGGGGCCACGAGGGGCCCACGAGGCAAGGGGCGUGCCCAGGGGGGUAGGGCGCGCCCUGCACCCUCGUGGCCAAGUGGUUGCCCCCUCUGGUGUGUUCUUAGUGCCAAAUAUUCUAGAAAAAAUCAUAUUAAAUUUUCGGGACAUUUGGAGAACUUUUAUUUUUGGUGUUUUCUUUUAUUGCAAGUAUAAUUCAGAAAACAGACAGAAAAUACUAUUUUGCUUUAUUAAAUCUAAAUAACAAAAAGUAAAAAGAGGGUACAGAAAGUUGUGUUUUCUAACUUCAUCCAUCUCAUGCUCAUCAAAAGGAAUCCACUAACAAGGUUGAUCAAUUCUUGUUAACAAACUCAUUCCGAAUCGCAAGAAACUGAUUUUUUUUCUUCAAAUAACACUAGGUUACCUCAACGGGGAUAUGCACAUCCACAACAAUAAGAAUAUCAUAUUUCUUCUUGACAGUAGGAAGAGGAAAUUCAAAACCUCCAAUAAUAAUCGUUGAAAUUUUCCAAUAGAAUUGAUACUAUGGACUUGAGGUUGUUUCUUCGGAAAGUGUACCAUAUGCUGUUGUGGUUCUAAGUCUGAUAGUAGAAUGGGGGGUAGGGAUGUAGAGGCAAGAUCCUAGCUAUGGAGGAAUUGUACACGCGAGUUUUACGAGUUCCGGCCCUUCUCAGAGGAAGUAACAGCCCUACGUCUCGGAGCCGAGAGGCGGUCGACUGGAUUAUAUGCGUGUGUGUUACAGGGGGUGCGAACCCCUGUGCAUGUGGAGGGGGUGGCUUAUAUAGAGUGCGCCAGGACCCCAGCCAGCCCACGACACAGAGUAAAUGCUGUGAAUGCCCACAUUAAAGUGCUGCGAAUGCCAAUUAAGCCUAUGAGUAAAUGCUCGACCGUUGCAUAUGCAGAGUGGCUUUAGCUCUUCUGCCCGUCGAGUGACUUCUGCGACGGUCGAGUGACAUCGAUUCUUCCGAGUGGAACAUUUCCGGUCGAGUGGAUGAUGGUACCCUUUGGAUGAUCCUGGCUUUAGUGUGUUGUCCUAGGGGAGGAUGUCUAGGUAAGGUCGAUGACCCUACCCUAGGUACGUAGCUUCAUUAUUAGCCUCCGAAUGGUUCAGGGUUCGAGUGGAGAAGGAGUUGACGAUCCUUCCGAUUUAGCUUUUGUCCUUUGAGAGUGUCUCACCCAGAGGUCGAAUGAACUUUCAUGAUGGCUUCAACUACUUGUUCAGUCGCCUUGAUCCAUUCUUGGUUUUGUCGAGUGAACUUUCGUUGUUAAGUUUCGAGUGUGGAUAUGGAAAAAAUCUUCCGUCUGAAGGGUUCUUCUGCCGCCUGCGGAUUUCGCGGGAUUCGAAUUUUGGGAAGCGCACCGGGUGGGGGAGGCCGCAGUAAUCGGGACGGAUUAGGCAGGCCGCCUCGAUGUCUGCACCAUCUUUUUUGCCACGUAUCGCGCGAGCGACUGUUGCGGGAUUUGAUAAGAUCGUCCGAGCCUACAAGUCAGUCACUCGGAAGCGACUUUAUAUAAGGCGCCGGACCGGGGCCUUUGAAUAGUGUGCCCCCAUUCUUCUUCCUCCUCCUCAGAUUCCUCCGCUGCGCCUGCUUCUGCUCUUGGCAUCGUCGCCCCGCUCGAACUCGAUUCGCUGCCAUGGGGAAGGAGAAGACGGUGGCAUUGGAGCGUGCGAAGAAGGCGACGGUGAAGGCUAAAGGGAAGAAGACCAGCCGGGGCGGAUCUUUGUCGAGGUCCGGCCAGCCGCCUGGCUGGAUCCAGGGCGACUGGAUCUGCUCGACAAUCAGUCAGGAUGACAUUGAUGACCUGGUUGAGGGGGGACUGAUCCCCCACGAAUCGGCACGGCUCCCGGGGAACGAGACUAAGCCGCAGCCGCAGGAGGGUGAGUGCGACCUCGUUGCCACUCAUGUCGACCGCGGGUUUUCUUUGCCUCCCCACCCUUUCUUUCAUGGUUUCUUGAACUUCUUCGGGGCUCAACUCCACCACUUUUCUCCAAACACCAUCGUAUACCUCGCUGCUUUCGUGUCUAUGUGCGAGAAUUUCUUGGGUUGCCGACCACACUGGGGUCUCUUCAAGCACAUAUUCACAUGUCGCUCCCAGACGGUCAAGAAGGCCAACCCAAGUGAUGAGAGGACGCACGUGAUACAGAUGUGCCGGGGUCUUGGAAUCCAAAUGAGGAACAAGAGCACCUUCCCAGCUAUGAUCCUUCCCAACUCGGUCUGUGGCUGGCAUUCAACUUGGUUUUACUGCAAGGACCAGCCAACCCCGGAUCAGUCGACUGGACUUCCCCCCUUUUCCAUGGCUCGAGUGGAGAAGCCCUCCUCCUUGAGAGUGAUCCCGGAAGAGAAGGCGCAGGUGAAGGUGUUGGUCUAGCGGGUCGUCCAACUUGUCCGCAACGGAGUUACUGGUAUGGACCUGCUGGAGGUCUUCCCCAGUCGAUACAUCCAACCACUCCAAGCUCGUGACCAUCCGAUGUGGAUGUACUCGGGACUCAAGGAUUCCACUCGGAUCCACCCGGAGGAUGUUAGUGAGGACACAAUGGAGAAGUGGCUGAGAGGUAUUACCGGCAACAAGGAUAAUCCCCUGGGGUCCAGGAGGGUGGUUCCAUUCGAACAUUUGCGCCAGCCGGAACAGGUAUGAUUCUGCAUUGUCGAGUGUCUUCUUGAUUUACUAUGUAACAUAUUUUUGACGGUCGACUGUGUUUCGUUUGUUCAUUUUCUUUUCAGGCUCUUAUUGAUAUAUACUCGAUGCCCAAUGGAGUGCUGGAGCAAAAUGUCGAGGAAGAGGUGAGCGGGGGCGAGAGUGGCGAGUGGCACUCGAAUGCAGAGGAGGACAAGGAGAGAGAUGACCCAAGUGACGAAGAAGAGGUCGACUCGCCUCCUCGUGGAGAAAGGAGGUCAAAGCACGCUCACGACCCAGAAAACGCCCCUGACCUGGUGGCCGCACCGACUUGGCAGUCUUCAAAGUGCCCUCGGACGUCUUCUCCGGUGCCGACUGAGAAGGGAUCGAAACAGCUUGAUAACCCACAAGUAUAGGGGAUCACAAGAGCUUUCAAGGGUAGAGUAUUCAACCCAAAUUUAUUGAUUCGACACAAGGGGAGCCAAAGAAUAUUCUCAAGUAUUAGCAGCUGAGUUGUCAAUUCAACCACACCUGGAAACUUAGUAUCUGCAGUAGAGUGUUUAGUAGCAAAGUAAUAUGAUAGUGGUGGUAGCGGCAACAAAAGUAAAGACAGCAAAAGUAAUGUUUUUGGUAUUUUUUAGUGAUUGUAACAGUAAAAGCGGGAAAGUAAAUAAGCGUAAACCAGUAUAUGGAAAAACUCGUAGGCACCGGAUCAGUGAUGGAUAAUUAUGCCAGAUGCGGUUCAUCAUGUAACAGUCAUAACAUAGGGUGACACAGAACUAGCUCCAGUUCGUCAAUCUAAUGUAGGCAUGUAUUCCGUAUAUAGUCAUACGUGCUUAUGGAAAAGAACUUGCAUGACAUCUUUUGUCCUACCCUCCCGUGGCAGCGGGGUCCUAUUGGAAACUAAGGGAUAUUAAGGCCUCCUUUUAAUAGAGAACCAGAACAAAGCAUUAGCACAUAGUGAAUACAUGAACUCCUUAAACUAUGGUCAUCACCGGGAGUGGUCCCGAUUAUUGUCACUUCGGGGUUGCCGGAUCAUAACACAUAGUAGGUGACUAUAGACUUGCAAGAUAGGAUCUAGAACUCUCAUAUAUUGAUGAAAAUAUAAUAGGUUCAGAUCUGAAAUCAUGGCACUCGGGCCCUAGUGACAAGCAUUAAGCAUAGCAAAGUCAUAGCAACAUCAAUCUCAGAACAUAAUGGAUACUAGGGAUCAAACCCUAACAAAACUAACUCGAUUACAUGAUAAAUCUCAUCCAACCCAUCACCGUCCAGCAAGCCUACGAUGCAAUUACUCACGCACGGCGGUGAGCAUCAUGAAGUUGGUGACGCGGGAUGGUUGAUGAUGACGACGGCGAUGAAUCCCCCUCUCCGGAGCCCCGAACGGACUACAGAUCAGCCCUCCCGGGAGGUUUUAGGGCUUGGCGGCGGCUUCAUAUCGUAAAACGCGAUGAUUUCUUCUCUCUGAUUUUUUUCUAUCCGAAAGCAAAUAUAUAGAGUUGGAGUUGGCAUUGGAGGGUCAACAGGGGAGCCACGAGGUAGGGGGUGCGCCCUAGGGGGGGGCGCCCCCACCCUCGUGGAAACGGUAUGGGCCCCCUGGUCUUCAUAUUUGGCGAGGAUUUUUUAUUGUUUUUUCUAAGACCUCCCGUGGAGUUUCAGGUCAUUCCGAGAAUAUUUGUUUUCUGCACAUAAAACAACAUCAUGGUAAUUCUGCUGAAAACAGCGUCAGUCCGGGUUAGUUCCAUUCAAAUCAUACAAAAUAGAGUCCAAAACAAGGGCAAAAGUGUUUGGAAAAGUAGAUACGACGGAGACGUAUCACAGCUCAAGACUGCGCCGCCUCCUGCGCCGAAACCAUUGAAGACCACAUCCUCCAAACCGCCGACGGAACCAAACGUCCAACAACCUAAAGAUGCAGGUGGGGCCUCUGUAACUUUUGUUGUCCCAUUGUUGAGUGAGCGCCCUACACCGUCGAUUGUACUAGUGUUUCCUUCAGCCGCCCAACCCCAUGCCUCGGAGCUCCAAGCUGCCGCAUCUGGGCCGCCUGCCCCUUUCUUUACCAACUAUCAUGUUCUGGAAAGCCAGUCAGAUGCUUCUGCAAAGGCUAUCCGUCAGGCUAACGUGAUGAUGGAGCGGAUGAAGACGGUGCACGAGAACAGCCAGUCUGCUUAUGAUGUCAGCGCGGCUCUUCGGGCCAAUGUCCAGGUAAGUUGGCUUUCGACUGACCUUGUUUUAUUAGGAUAUGCUACGUGAAAUAUUUUCUUUCAUACAAUCUCUUAUUGUUUGCAUCGAAUCUGUACACCCACUGGGUGUUUUGUUGUCUUUAGUAUUUGCGCUCUUCCACUCGGCCUGGGCGAGUGGGAUCUGAACCGGUGGGGGCACGCUAAGUGCACCCACUGGGUGUAGUCCCUGAGACCGCAGUCGGCAGUCGACUGGGUCUGAGUACUUUUCACUUUCCUUUCUUCCACUUGACCCGGGCUGACCGGCCGAGUGGGAUCUGAACCAGUGGGGGCAUGUCAAGUGGACCCACUGGGUGUAGUCCUCGAGACCGCGGUCGACUGCUGGCAGUCGGCCGGGGUCUGAAUAGUUCUUCUCUAUUUCUUCUCUUUUUUUACUCGACCCGGGCGGACCGGUCGAGUGGGGUCUGAAUCAGUGGGGGCACGCCAAGUGCACCCGCUGGGGUCUGAGUAAACUUUUAAGUUUUAUUCACUCGAAAGUAAAUAAUCUUUGAUCUUGUCGAUUGCCAUGUCUUUUACCUUCUGCAGAAAUCUUGUACUCUCAUUUCUAAGUUCGCCGAAUUUGAGGAGAAGCAAAGGCAACUCAACCUUGACUUGGAGCUGGCCCAACGAAAGUGGAAGAAAGCUCAAGAUGAAGCUGCUGGUAUGGAAGGUAACUGCCUGUCGACUGUUCACGUCGAUCGUCCUUUAAAAUAUUUCUUCGAUCUCUUAUUUGAUCUGAUUGCCUAUUUUGCAGAGAAAAUGUGGUUGGCUCUGGAGAAGAAGGACUUGGACCUUGCACCUGCGCAGAAGGAGGCUUAAGAUAAGACUGCUCUUGCAGACAAGAAGCUGGCUUCGGUCGGAGUGCUGGAAGAAGAAGUAAGCAAUCUGAAGUCCUCUCUCACUGAAUCCAAUCGAGAGGUAACUCGUCUGAAGAAGGAUAAGAUGGCUCUGAAUGAGAAGAUGGAAUCCGCGGCUCAUAAGAGAAAUGACGUGGAAGCUUAUCUGAGAAGUCUUGCCAAGAAGAUUUUCUUAUGAUGGAAGGUACUCCUUUUGAUCCGACUACUCUACUGCUUGCGAGUUAGUCUAGUCCAGUCGACUCACUAACUCCUUGACUGCAGAAUUCUACCAAAACUUUGACGAGGAGACUGGACGGAUCAAGACGGGUCGGGACCCUAUUGUUUCUCCAGUCGGCGACGAGGCUGCCAUGAAUGUGCUUCGACUGGAAUCCCGUGUCGCCAGUGUUACAAGUUACCUCGAUCGUCUGAAGGUGGCAGUUUCACGGAUCGACUCAUUACUCUGGCCAAGGGCGACGCUUCAAAAUGACCUCGAGUCUCUGAUGACUCGGCUCAACGAGGUCCCUGGUCGAGUGCAAGAGUGGAAGAAGUCCUCUGCCCGGUGUGGUGCUGACGUGGCGUUGUCCUUGGUAAGAGCCCACUGCAAGGAAGCCCGCGAAGAUAAGCUAGCGGCCAUCAAGGUCGCCAACACCAAAAGACACGAUUUCCAAUCCUUUCUGGAGACUUUCAUAUCUUCCGCCACUUGGAUUGCAGAUGGAAUCGACUUGGACGAAUUCGUUGAACCUGCCAGCCCUCCUCCUGCCGAAUGAACAAACUUUGAGAUUUAAACUUGCCUUAAAUUUGCCUCGGGAUGCCGAGUGGUUGCUGUAACCAUUAAAGUCCUUCGGGCUUGAUGCUCGAAUACUUUUGAUCCGUCGCCUGGAAUUUUUAGGAUCUAUCUGAACUUGGCUUGUUUCUGAAUAUGUUCGUAUUUGCCUUCGCAUGGAAUUUUCUCUUUGGGAUGUAGCCCUGAAGUGGAGAGUUCAAUGGACCUGCGCCUCGUCAUCCCUGCUGGCAGGGAUGGGGCGCAUGUUGUAUUUGUGGCAUAGCUCGGAGAAUAAGGCCGGGGUCGACCUGCACCUCGUCGUCCUUGCGGAUGGGGAUGGAGCGUACGUUGUACUUGUGGCGUAACUCGGAGUAGAAGGUCGCGGUCGACCUACACCACGUCAUCCUUGCGGAUAGGGAUGGAGCGUACGUUGUACUUGCGGUGCAGCUCCUAAGGGGAAGGUUGCAGUCGACCUGUACCUCGUCGUCCUUGCAGACAGGCACAGAUUUUAAACCUUAGGCGAAUACUGGACUGCAGCUAAGCCUCCGAGUGGGAGGGCUGAUCACCACUCGGUAGGAUUUUUUAAACUUAGGCGAGUAUUGGACUGCAGCUAAGCCUCCGAGUGGGAGGGUUGCUCACCACUCGGUAGGAUUUUUUAAACUUAGGCGAGUACUGGACUGCAGCUAAGCCCCCGAGUGGGAGGGUUGCUCACCACUCGGUAGGAUUUUUUAAACUUAGGCGAGUACUGUACUGCAGCUAAGCCCCCGAGUGGGAGGGUUGCUCACCACUCGGUAGGAUUUUUUAAACUUAGGCGAGUACUGGACUGUAGCUAAGCCCCCAAGUGGGAGGUUGCUCACCACUCGGUAGGAUUUUUUAAACUUAGGCGAGUACUNNNNNNNNNNNNNNNNNNNNNNNNNNNNNNNNNNNNNNNNNNNNNNNNNNNNNNNNNNNNNNNNNNNNNNNNNNNNNNNNNNNNNNNNNNNNNNNNNNNNNNNNNNNNNNNNNNNNNNNNNNNNNNNNNNNNNNNNNNNNNNNNNNNNNNNNNNNNNNNNNNNNNNNNNNNNNNNNNNNNNNNNNNNNNNNNNNNNNNNNNNNNNNNNNNNNNNNNNNNNNNNNNNNNNNNNNNNNNNNNNNNNNNNNNNNNNNNNNNNNNNNNNNNNNNNNNNNNNNNNNNNNNNNNNNNNNNNNNNNNNNNNNNNNNNNNNNNNNNNNNNNNNNNNNNNNNNNNNNNNNNNNNNNNNNNNNNNNNNNNNNNNNNNNNNNNNNNNNNNNNNNNNNNNNNNNNNNNNNNNNNNNNNNNNNNNNNNNNNNNNNNNNNNNNNNNNNNNNNNNNNNNNNNNNNNNNNNNNNNNNNNNNNNNNNNNNNNNNNNNNNNNNNNNNNUUUGGCGAGUACUAGACUGCAGCUAAGCCCCCGAGUGGGAGGAUUGCUCACCACUCGGUAGGAUUUUUUAAACUUAGGCGACUACUGGACUGCAGCUAAGCCCCCGAGUGGGAGGAUUUCUCACCACUCGGUAGGAUUUUUUAAACUUAGGCGAGUACUGGACUGCAGCUAAGCCCCCGAGUGAGAGGAUUGCUCACCACUCGGUAGGAUUUCUUAAAUUUAGGCGAGUACUGGACUGCAGCUAAGCCCCCGAGUGGGAGGAUUGCUCACCACUCAGUAGGAUUUUUUUUCGAACUUAGGUGAAACGGAUNNNNNNNNNNNUAGGCGAGUACUGGACUGCAGCUUAGCCCCCGAAUGGGAGGCUUGCUCACCACUAGGUAGGAUUUUACAAACUUAGGCGAGUACUGGACUGCAGCUAAGCCUCCGAGUGAGAGGCUUGCUCACCACUCGGUAGGAUUUUACGAACUUAGGCGAAAUGGAUUCGCAGCUAAGCCCCCGGGGGAGAGACUUGCUCACCAGUCGGUAGGAUUUUACAAACUUAGGCGAGUACUGGACUGCAGCUAAGCCCCCGAGUGAGAGGCUUGCUCACCACUCGGUAGGAUUUUUUAUACUUAGGAGAAACGAAUUCGCAGCUAAGCCCCCGAGUGAGGGGCUUGCUCACCACUCGGUAGGAUUUUCUUUUGAACUUAGGCGAAACGGAUUCGCAGCUAAGUCACCCACUGGGGGAUUUCAGACGCAAAUGAAAGCAACAACAAUCGUUCAAGGGGACUGUAAAACUCUUGUCUUUGAUAAACAAAUUACAAAGGUAUUUCUUAUUACAUUUUAUUCGAAUGAGUACUUAAGUAUAAAAGGGGCAGAGCAGCUCUGCAUUCCACACCCGUGGCUCGUCCUUCUUAUGCUCGACAUUGUAAAGGUGGUAUGCUCCAUUGUGGAGCACUCUGGUGACAAUGAAGGUACCUUCCCAAGCCGGGGCCAGCUUGUGUGGUUUCUGCUGAUCCACUCGAAGAACCAAGUCACCCUCUUGAAAGGCUCGACCCUUCACGUGUCUAGCAUGGAAUCGACGCAAGUCUUGCUGAUAAAUGGUCGAGCGGAUCAAGGCCAUCUUUCUUUCCUCCUCUAGGAGGUCCACUGCGUCUUGCCGAGCUUGUUCUGCUUCAUCUUUAGAGAAGAGCUCAACUCUGUUGGGGAACGUAGCGGAAAUUCAAAAUUUUCCUACGUGUCACCAAGAUCUAUCUAUGGAGAGACCAGCAACGAGGGGAAGGAGAGUGCAUCUACAUACCCUUGUAGAUUGCUAAGCGGAAGCGUUCAUGAGAACGGGGUUGAAGGAGUCGUACUCGUCGUGAUCCAAAUCACCGGAGAUCCUAGUGCCGAACGGACGGCACCUCCGCGUUCAACACACGUACAGCCCGGUGACGUCUCCCACGCCUUGAUCCAGCAAGGAGAGAGGGAGAGGUUGAGGAAGACUCCAACCAGCAGCAGCACAACGGCGUGGUGGUGAUGGAGGAGCGUGGCUAUCCUGCAGUGCUUCGCCAAGCACCACGGGAUAUGAGGAGAAAGAGAGGGAGGGCUGCACCAUCAGGCAGAGAUCAAAUCGUGUGUUAUGGGCAGCCCCAUGCCUCAAUAUAUAUAGGGGAGAGGGAGGAGGGUGCGCCCCCUCUAGGGUUCCCACCCCUAGAGGGGCGGCAGCCCUAGAUGGGAUAAAGGGGGAGGCGGCCAAGAGGGGAGAGAGGGGAGGCGCCCACUAGGUGGGCCUUAAGGCCCAUCUGGACUAGGGUUUGCCCCCUCCCACUCUCCCUUGCGCCUUGGGCCCCUUGUGGGGGGCGCACCAGCCCACCUAGGGGCUGGUCCCCUCCCACACUUGGCUCACGCAGCCUUCUGGGGCAGGUGGCCCCACUUGGUGGACCCCCGGGACCCUCCCGGUGGUCCCGGUACAUUACCGAUAUCGCCCGAAACUUUUCCGGUGACCAAAACAGGACUUCCCAUAUAUAAAUCUUUACCUCCGGACCAUUCCGGAACUCCUCGUGACGUCCGGGAUCUCAUCCGGGACUCCGAACAACAUUCGGUAACCACAUACAAGCUUCCUUUAUAACCCUAGCGUCACCGAACCUUAAGUGUGUAGACCCUACGGGUUCGGGAGACAUGCAUACAUGACCGAGACGUUCUCCGGUCAAUAACCAACAGCGGGAUCUGGAUACCCAUGUUGGCUCCCACAUGUUCCACGAUGAUCUCAUCGGAUGAACCACGAUGUCAAGGACUCAAUCGAUCCCGUGUACAAUUCCCUUUGUCUAGCGGUAUUGUACUUGCCCGAGAUUCGAUCGUCGGUAUACCGAUACCUCAUUCAAUCUCGUUACCGGCAAGUCUCUUUACUCGUUCCGUAACACAUCAUCCCGUGAUCAACUCCUUGAUCACAUUGUGCACAUUAUGAUGAUGUCCUACCGAGUGGGCCCAGAGAUACCUCUCCGUUUACACGGAGUGACAAAUCCCAGUCUCGAUUCGUGCCAAUCCAACAAACACUUUCGGAGAUACCUGUAAUGCACCUUUAUGGCCACCCAGUUACGUUGUGACGUUUGGUACACCCAAAGCAUUCCUACGGUAUCCGGGAGUUGCACAAUCUCAUGGUCUAAGGAAAAGAUACUUGACAUUAGAAAAGCUUUAGCAUACGAACUACACGAUCUUUGUGCUAGGCUUAGGAUUGGGUCUUGUCCAUCACAUCAUUCUCCUAAUGACGUGAUCCCAUUAUCAACGACAUCCAAUGUCCAUGGUCAGGAAACCGUAACCAUCUAUUGAUCAACGAGCUAGUCAACUAGAGGCUUACUAGGGACAUGGUGUUGUCUAUAUAUCCACACAUGUAUCUGAGUUUCCUAUCAAUACAAUUAUAGCAUGGACAAUAAACGAUUAUCAUGAACAAGGAAAUAUAAUAAUAACCAAUUUAUUAUUGCAUCUAGGGCAUAUUUCCAAUAGUCUCCCACUUGCACUAGAGUCAAUAAUCUAGUUCACAUCGCCAUGUGAUUAACACUCACAGGUCACAUCGCCAUGUAACCAACAUCCAAAGAGUUUACUAGAGUCAAUAAUCUAGUUCACAUCACUAUGUGAUUAACACUCAAUGAGUUCUGGGUUUGAUCAUGUUGCUUGUGAGAGAGGUUUUAGUCAACGGGUCUGAACCUUUCAGAUCCGUGUGUACUUUACAAAUCUUUAUGUCAUCUCCUAGAUGCAGCUACCACGCUAUUUGGAGCUAUUCCAAAUAACUGUUCUACUUGGAGCUAUUCUAAAUUGUUGCUCCAUUAUACGUAUCCGGUAUCUCUACUCAGAGCUAUCUGGAUAGGUGUUAAGCUUGCAUCGUCGUAACUCUUUACGUCGAACUCUUUAUCACCUCCAUAACCGAGAAAAUUCCUUAGUCCACUAGUUACUAAGGAUAACUUUGACCGCUGUACUGUGAUCCAUUCUUGGAUCACUCUUGUACCCCUUGACUGACUCAUGGCAAGUCACACUUCAGGUGCGGUACACAGCAUAGCAUACUGUAGAGCCUACGUCUAAAGCAUAGGGGACGACCUUCGUCCUUUCUCUCUUUUCUGCCGAGGUCGAGCUUUAAGUCUUAACUUCGUACCUUACAACUCAUGCAAGAACUUCUUCUUUGACUGAUCCAUCUUGAACACCUUCAAGAUCAUGUCAAGGUAUGUGCUCAUUUGAAAGUAUUAUUAAGCAUUUUGAUCUAUCCUUAUAGAUCUUGAUGCUCAAUGUUCAAGUAGCUUAAUCCAGGUUUUCUAUUGAAAAACACCUUUCAAAUAACCCUAUAUGCUUUCUGGAAAAUCAUUUCUAAUCAUCAACAUGUCAACAACAUAUACUCAUCAGAAAUUCUAUAGUGCUCCCACUCACUUCUUUGGAAAUACAAGUUUCUCAUAAACUUUGUAUACACCAAAAUCUUUGAUCAUCUCAUCAAAGCGCACAUUCCAACUCUGAGAUGCUUACUCCAGUCCUUAGAAGGAUUGCUGGAGCUAGCAUACCUUUUAGCAUCCUUAGGAUCGACAAAACCUUUCUGAUUGUAUCACAUACAACCUUUCCUUACGAAAGUUGGCAAGGAAACUCGUUUUGACAUCCAUCUGCCAGAUUUCAUAAAUGCAGCUUAUGCUAACAUGAUUCCGACGGACUUAAGCAUCGCUACGGAUGAGAAAAUCUCAUCGUAGUCAACUCCUUGAUCUUGUGAAAAACUCUUCGCCACAAGUCGAGCUUCAUAAAUGGUGACAUUACCAUCCACGUCCGUCUUCUUCUUAAAAGAUCCAUUUAUCAAAUGGCUUGCCGAUCAUUGGGCAAGUCCGCCAAAGUCCAUGCUUUGUUCUGAUACAUGGAUCCUAUCUCGGAUUUCAUGGUUUCUUAACCAUUUGUCGGAAUUUGGGCCCACCAUCGCUUCCCCAUAGCUCGUAGGUUCAUUGUUGUCUAGCAACAUGACCUUCAAGACAGGAUCACCGUACCACUCUGAAGUAGUACGCAUCCUUGUCACCCUACGAGGUACGACAGUGACUUGAUCCGAAACUUCAUGAUCACUAUCAUAAGCUUCUACUUCAAUUGGUGCAGGUGCCACAUGAACAACUUCCUGUGCCCUGAUACACACUGCUUGAAGUGACGGUUCAAUAACCACAUCAAGUCUCCACCAUCCUCCCACUCAACUUUUCGAGAGAAACCUUUCCUCGAGAAAGGACCCGAUUCAAGAAACAGUCCAUAUUGCUUUCGGAUCUGAAUUAGGAGGUAUACCCAACUAUUUUGGGUGUCCUAUGAAGAUGCAUUUUAUCCGCUUUGGGUUCGAGCUUAUCAACCUGAAACUUUUUCACAUAAGCGUCGCAGCCCCAAACCUUUAAGAAAUGACAGCAUAGGUUUCUCUAAACCGGUGUCAUCUCAACGGAAUUACGUGGUACCCUAUUAAAGUGAGUGCGGAUGUCUCUAAUGCCUAACCCAUGAACGAUAGUGGUAAUUCGAUAAGAGACAUCAUGGUACCCACCAUAUCCAAUAGGGUGCAACUAUGAUGUUCGGACACACCAUCACACUAAGGUGUUCCAGGCGGUAUUAAUUGUAAAACAAUUUCCACAAUGUCUUAAUUGCGUGCCAAAACUCGUAACUCAGAUAUUCAUCUCUAUGAUCAUAUCAUAGACAUUUUAUCCUCUUGUCACAAUGAUCUUCUACUUCACUCUGAAAUUACUUGAACCAUUCAAUAAUUCAGACUUGUGUUUCAUCAAGAAAAUAUUCUCAACAUCUACUCGAAUCAUCUAUGAAGUAAGAACAUAACGAUAUUCACUGCAUGCCUCAGCACUCAUUGGACUGCACACAUCAAAAUGUGUUACUUCCAACGAGUUGCUAUCUUGUUCCCUCUUACUAAAACGAGGCUUUCAGUCAUCUUGCCCAUGUGGUAUGAUUUGCAUGUCUCAAGUGAUUCAAAAUCAAGUGCGUUCAAACGGUCCAUUUGCAUGGAGUUUCUUCAUGCAUAUACACCAAUAGACAUGGUUCGCAUGUCUCAAACUUUUCAAAAAUGAGUGAGUCCAAAGAUCCAUCAACAUGGAGCUUCUUCAUGCAUUUUAUACCGAUAUGACUUACGUGGCAGUGCCACAAGUAGGUGGUACUAUCAUUACUAUCUUUUGGCAUGAACAUGUGUAUCACUACGAUCGAGAUUUCAAUGAACCAUUCAUUUUAGGUGCAAGACCAUUGAAGGUAUUAUUCAAAUAAAUAGAGUAACCAUUAUUCUCUUUAAAUGAAUAACCGUAUUGCGAUAGUCAUAAUCCAAUCAUGUCUAUGCUCAACGCAAACACCAAAUAACAAUUAUUCAGGUUUUAACACCAUUCUCGAUGGUAGAGGGAGCGUGCGAUGCUUGAUCAUAUCAACAUUGGAAACACUUCCAACAUAUAUCGACAGCUCACCUUUAGCUAGUCUCCGUUUAUUCCGUAGCUUUUAUUUCGAGUUACUAACACUUAGCAACCGAACCGGUAUCUAAUACCCUGGUGCUACUAGGAGUACUAGUAAAGUACACAUCAACACAAUGUAUAUCCAAUAUACUUCUAUCGACCUUACAGCCUUCUCAUCUACCAAGUAUCUAGGGUAAUUCUGCUCCAGUGGCUGUUCCCUUUAUUACAGAAGCACUUAGUCUCGGGUUUGGGUUCAACCUUGGGCUUCUUCACUAGAGCAGCAGCUGAAUUGCCGUUUCAUGAAGUAUCACUUUGUUCCCUUGCCCUUCUUGAAACUAGUGGUUUCACCAACCAUCAACAAUUGAUGCUCCUUCUUGAUUUCUACUUUCGCGGUGUCAAACAUCGCGAAUAUUUCAAGGAUCAUCAUAUCUAUCCCUGAUAUGUUAUAGUUCAUCACGAAGCUCUAGCAGCUUGGUGGCAAUGACUUUUGGGUAACAUCACUAUCUCAUCUGGAAGAUCAACUCCCACUCGAUUCAAGUGAUUGUUGCACUCAGACAAUCUGAGCACAAGCUCAACGAUUGAGCUUUUCUCCCUUAGUUUGCAGGCUAAGAAAAUCGUCGGAGGUCUCAUACCUCUUGACGUGGGCACGAGCCUGAAAUCCCAAUUUCAGCCCUUGAAAAAUCUCAUAUGUUCCGCGAUGUUUCGAAAAUGUCUUUAGUGCCUCAACUCUAAACCGUUUAACUGAACUAUCACGUAGUUAUCAAAACGUGUAUGUCCGAUGUUCGCAACAUCCACAAACGACGUUUGGGGUUCGGCACACUGAGCAGUGCAUUAAGGACAUAAGCUUUCUACUGUCCGCAUAAUUGCUACUUUCAACUUUCAACUAUAUUUUCUCUAGGAACAUAUCUAAAACAGUAGAACUAAAGCGCGAGCUACGACAUAAUUUGCAAAAUCCUUUUGACUAUGUUUAUAUAAUUAAGUUCAUCUUAUGAACUCCCAUUCAGAUAGACAUCCCUCUAGUCAUCUAAGUGAUUACAUGAUCCGAGUCAACUAGGCCGUGUCCGAUCAUCACGUGAGACGGACUAGUCAUCAUCGGUGAACAUCUUCAUGUUGAUCGUAUCUACUAUACGACUCAUGCUCGACCUUUCGGUCUCCGUGUUCCGAGGCCAUGUCUGUACAUGCUAGGCUCGUCAAGUUAACCCUAAGUGUAUUGCAUGUGUAAAUCUGUCUUACACCCGUUGUAUGUGAACGUAAGGAUCUAUCACACCCGAUCAUCACGUGGUGCUUCAAAACGACGAACUGUAGCAACGGUGCACAGUUAGGGGAGAACACUUCUUGAAAUUGUUGUAAGGGAUCAUCUUAUUUACUACUGUAGUUCUAAGUAAACAAGAUGCAUAAACAUGAUAAACAUCACAUGCAAUCAAAUAGUGACAUGAUAUGGCCAAUAUCAUUUCUCUCCUUUUGAUCUCCAUCUUCGGGGCUCCAUGAUCAUCAUCGUCACCGGCAUGACACCAUGAUCUCCAUCAUCAUGAUCUCCAUCAUCGUGUCUUCAUGAAGUUGUCUCGCCAACUAUUACUUCUACUACUAUGGCUACCGGUUAGCAAUAAAGUAAAGUAAUUACAUGGCGUUGUUCAAUGACACGCAGGUCAUACAAUAAAUAAAGACAACUCCUAUGGCUCCUGCCGGUUGUCAUACUCAUCGACAUGCAAGUCGUGAUUCCUAUUACAAGAACAUGAUCAAUCUCAUACAUCACAUAUAUUCAUCACAUUCUUCUUGGCCAUAUCACAUCACAAAGCAUACCCUGCAAAAACAAGUUAGACGUCCUCUAAUUGUUGUUUGCAUGUUUUACGUGGCUGCUAUGGGUUUCUAGCAAGAACGUUUCUUACCUACGCAAAACCACAACGUGAUAUGUCAAUUGCUAUUUACCCUUCAUAAGGACCCUUUUCAUCGAAUCUGUUCCAACUAAAGUGGGAGAGACUGGCACCCGCUAGCCACCUUAUGCACCAAGUGCAUGUCAGUCGGUGGAACCUGUCUCACGUAAGAGUACGUGUAAGGUCGGUCCGGGCCGCUUCAUCCCACAAUACCGUCGAAACAAGAUUGGACUAGUAACGGUAAGCAUAUUGAACAAAAUCAACACCCACAACUACUUUGUGUUCUACUCGUGCAAAGAAUCUACGCAAUAGACCUAGCUCAUGAUGCCACUGUUGGGGAACGUAGCAGAAAUUCAAAAUUUUCCUACGUGUCACCAAGAUCUAUCUAUGGAGAGACCAGCAACGAGGGGAAGCAGAGUGCAUCUACAUACCCUUGUAGAUUGCUAAGCGGAAGCGUUCAUGAGAACGGGGUUGAAGGAGUCGUACUCGUCGUGAUCCAAAUCACCGGAGAUCCUAGUGCCGAACGGACGGCACCUCCGCGUUCAACACACGUACAGCCCGGUGACGUCUCCCACGCCUUGAUCCAUCAAGGAGAGAGGGAGAGGUUGAGGAAGACUCCAACCAGCAGCAGCACAACGGCGUGGUGGUGAUGGAGGAGCGUGGCUAUCCUGCAGGGCUUCGCCAAGCACCACGGGAUAUGAGGAGAAAGAGAGGGAGGGCUGCACCAUCAGGCAGAGAUCAAAUCGUGUGUUACGGGCAGCCCCAUGCCUCAAUAUAUAUAGGGGAGAGGGAGGAGGGUGCGCCCCCUCUAGGGUUCCCACCCCUAGAGGGGCGGCAGCCCUAGAUGGGAAAAAGGGGGAGGCGGCCAAGAGGGGAGAGAGGGGAGGCGCCCACUAGGUGGGCCUUAAGGCCCAUCUGGGCUAGGGUUUGCCCCCUCCCACUCUCCCUUGCGCCUUGGACCCCUUGUGGGGGCGCACCAGCCCACCUAGGGGCUGGUCCCCUCCCACACUUGGCUCACGCAGCCUUCUGGGGCAGGUGGCCCCACUUGGUGGACCCUCGGGACCCUCCCGGUGGUCCCGGUACAUUACCGAUAUCGCCCAAAACUUUUCCGGUGACCAAAACAGGACUUCCCAUAUAUAAAUCUUUACCUCCGGACCAUUCCGAAACUCCUCGUGACGUCCGGGAUCUCAUCCGGGACUCCGAACAACAUUCGGUAACCACAUACAAGCUUCCUUUAUAACCCUAGCGUCACCGAACCUUAAGUGUGUAGACCCUACGGGUUCGGGAGACAUGCAGACAUGACCGAGACGUUCUCCGGUCAAUAACCAACAGCGGGAUCUGGAUACCCAUGUUGGCUCCCACAUGUUCCACGAUGAUCUCAUCGGAUGAACCACGAUGUCAAGGACUCAAUCGAUCCUGUAUACAAUUCCCUUUGUCUAGCGGUAUUGUACUUGCCCAAGAUUCGAUCGUCGGUAUACCGAUACCUUGUUCAAUCUCGUUACCGGCAAGUCUCUUUACUCGUUCCAUAACACAUCAUCCCGUGAUCAACUCCUUGAUCACAUUGUGCACAUUAUGAUGAUGUCCUACCGAGUGGGCCCAGAGAUACCUCUUCGUUUACACGGAGUGACAAAUCCCAGUCUCGAUUCGUGCCAACCCAACAGACACUUUCAGAGAUACCUGUAAUGCACCUUUAUAGCCACCCAGUUACGUUGUGACGUUUGGUACACCCAAAGAAUUCCUACGGUAUCUGGGAGUUGCACAAUCUCAUGGUCUAAGGAAAAGAUACUUGACAUUAGAAAAGCUUUAGCAUACGAACUACACGAUCUUUGUGCUAGGCUUAGGAUUGGGUCUUGUCCAUCACAUCAUUCUCCUAAUGACGUGAUCCCGUUAUCAACGACAUCCAAUGUCCAUGGUCAGGAAACCGUAACCAUCUAUUGAUCAACGAGCUAGUCAACUAGAGGCUUACUAGGGACAUGGUGUUGUCUAUAUAUCCACACAUGUAUCUGAGUUUCCUAUCAAUACAAUUAUAGCAUGGACAAUAAACGAUUAUCAUGAACAAGGAAAUAUAAUACUAACCAAUUUAUUAUUGCCUCUAGGGCAUAUUUCCAACAAACUCGUGGUGCAUUAUGAAGCAAGUCACUCGGUAGAACAGCUUCAGCCGCAUAGACCAAGAAGAAUGGAGUUCGGCCAGUCGACCGAUUGGGAGUUGUCCUCAAUCCCCAAAGAACUAAUGGAAGAUCAUCAACCCAGGUGCCCGCUGCGUGCUUGAGAUCUCGCAUUAGUCGGGGUUUCAGUCCUUUGAGAAUCAGGCCAUUUGCUCUUUCUGCUUGUCCAUUCGACUGGGGAUGGGCGAUUAAAGCAUAGUCAACUCGUGUGCCUUGUGAGGCACAGAAGGUUCUGAACUCAUCAGAAUCGAAGUUUGAUCCGUUGUCAGUGAUGAUGUUGUGCAGAACCCCAUAUCUGAAUGUCAACUCUCUGAUGAAGCUGACAGCAGUACUAGCUUCAAGAUUCUUAAUAGGCUUGGCUUUGAUCCAUUUGGUAAACUUGUCGACUGCUACAAGCACAUGAGUGAAGCCACUCCUACCAGUCCUCAGUGGAUCAACCAUGUCCAAUCCCCAAACAGCAAAGGGCCAGACGAGUGGAAUGGUCUUCAGGGCUGAUGCAGGUUUGUGCGACAUAUUGGAGUAGAACUGGCAGCCUUCACAUCUGUCGACUAUAUCUUCCGCCAUUUCAUUUGCUCAUGGCCAAUAAAAUCCAGCUCGGUAUGCUUUAACCACAAUGGUCUGAGAGGACGCAUGGUGACCACAGGUCCCCGGAUGGAUGUCAUGGAGGAUCACUCGACUUUCUUCUGGCGUUAUGCAUUUCUGGCUGACCCCAAUUGCACUUUCUCUGAACAAUUGUCCUCUUAUUAUAGUAAAGGCCUUGGAUCGACGGACGAUCUGUCGAGCCUCUUCUUCAUCCUCGGGGAGCUAUUUCCUAAGGAUAUAUGCAAUGUAUGGCACUGUCCAGUCGGGAGUGAUGACCAAUACCUCCAUGAUCAAGUCGACCACGGCUGGGACCUCGACUUCGGUCGGAUCUGUGGCACUCUUAGGCUGCGGGGGCUCUUCAGCGAAGGAUCUUCGUGAACUGAAGGUGCAUGAAUAUGCUCCAGGAACACAUUACUGGGAAUAGCUUCUCUCUUGGAGCCUAUCUUUGCUAAAUCAUCUGCUGCUUGAUUUUUCAGUCGGGGUACAUGAUGGAGCUCUAACCCCUCAAACUUCUUUUCCAACUUCCUCACCGCGUUGCAGUAACCAGUCAUGGCUGGGCUUCUGACAUCCCACUCCUUGAUCACUUGAUUGACUACCAAAUCUGAGUCGCCAUAGACCACGAGGCGACGGACGCCGAGUGAGAUGGCCAUACGCAACCCAUAAAAAAUUGCUUCAUAUUCUGCUUCGUUAUUGGAGGAAUCAAAGUGAAUCUGGAGAACAUAUAUGAGCUUGUCUCCUCAGGGGGGGUACCAGUACCACGCCAGCACCGGAACCAUUCAGCAUCUUGGAACCAUCAAAGAACAUGGUCCAGUGCUCCGAGUGAACUUGAGUCGGCAGUUGUUGUUCAAUCCACUCGGCAAGGAAAUCCGCUAUUGCUUGGGACUUGAUAGCUUUCUUUGCCUCGAACUUGAUAUCUAAGGCAAGGAGUUCAAUCGCCCACUUUGCCACUCGACCAGUUGCAUCUCUAUUGUUCAGAAUAUCUGAUAAUGGAGCGUCGUUGACGACUGUAAUGGAGUAAUCAGAGAAGUAAUGUGCAACCUUCUUCGUGGUCAGAUAAAUCCCAUAAACAAGCUUCUGAUAAUGUGGAUAUCUUUGCUUUGAUGGAGUCAAAACAUCAGAGACAUAGUAUACUGGGCGCUGAACUUUGUAGGCUUUUCCUUCUUCUUCCCGCUCGACCGUAAAUACUGUACUGACGACUUGUCCAGUGGCUGCAACGUAAAGCAGUAAAGGCUCUUUGCUGAUUGGAGCGGCAAGCACCGGCUGGGUGGAAAGCAGGGCUUUAAGCUCUGUAAAUGAUGCAUCAGCUUCAGGAGUCCACUCGAACUUAUCUGACUUCUUCAUCAGUCAGUAAGAGGCAGUGCCUUUUCACCGAGGCGAGAAAUGAAUCGACUUAGGGCGGCCAAACAACCAGUAAGCUUCUGGACAUCAUGCACACGCACAGGGAGUUUCAUCCGGAGUAUGGCACCCACUUUCUUUGGGUUAGCGUCGAUCCCUCGUUCAAAAACGAGAAAACCGAGUAAUUUUCUGCCUGGAACUCCAAAUGUGCACUUUGAUGGAUUAAGCUUGAUAUCAUACCUUUUGAGGUUGGCAAAGGUUUCAGCAAGGUCAGCCAGUAGGUCGGAACCUUUAUGUGACUUCACCACAAUGUCAUCCAUGUAUGCUUCCACAUUCUGACUAAUCUGAGUGAGCAAGAACUUCUGAAUCAUCCGCAUGAAUGUGGCUCCAACGUUCUUCAAACCGAAUGGCAUAGUGACAUAACAGAAGCACCCAAAUGGGGUGAUGAAAGCUAUUUUUAUCUCAUCGGGUCCAUACAGACGGAUCUGAUGAUACCUGGAAUAAGCAUCCAAAAAGGACAAACGCUCACACCCCGCAGUCGAGUCGACUAUUUGGUCGAUGCGAGGGAGAGGAAAGUGAUCUUUCGGGCAGACCCGAUUGAUAUGUUUGAAGUCGAUGCACAUGUGAAGUGAGUCGUCCUUCUUUGGGACCAUGACAACAUUAGCUAACCACUCGAAGUGGUAAAUCUCUCGGAUAAACUCAGCUGCCAGAAGCCGAGCCACUUCUUCACCGAUUGCCUUCCUCUUCUGUACGGUGGACCGUCGAAGAUGUUCUUUGACUGGUUUCACCUUUGGGUCGACUCGUAAACGAUGCUCAGCCAGUCCCCUGGGAACACCUGGCAUGUCAGAAGGUUUCCAUGCAAAGAUGUCCUAGUUCUCACGGAGGAACUAGAUGAGCGCUUCUUCCUAUUUGGAGUCGAGUGUUGUUGAAAUGUGAGUCGGAGCAGCAUUGGGAUCCGUUGGAUGAAUAUGAAUCGGCUUUGUUUCACCAGAUGACUGGAAUGCUGAAUCUGUGGCAGGCUUCUUAGCUCGCAACAAAUCACUCGGAUCUGCAUUUUUUUGAUACUCCUGCAACUCCACUACUGCCAUCUGUGCAUUGGCGAUCUUUGAGCCCUUCUGGAAGCACUCUUCUGCCUUCUUUCGACUACUAGUGAUAGUGAUCACCCCUUUAGGACCAGGCAUCUUCAAUUUGAGGUACACGUAACAUGGUCGAGCCAUAAAACGUGCAUAAGCUGGCCUGCCUAGAAUAGCAUGAUAAGCACUCUGGAAAUCCACAACUUCAAAUGUCAACUUUUCUUUGCGGUCAUUCUUGGAAUCACCGGAAACUACAUCACGGGCGAUCUGACCGAGUGACGCAGCCUUCUUGCCAGGAAUAACUCCAUGGAAACUCAUAUUACUUUCACUGAGUCUGGACAUUGGAAUGCCCAUUCCUUUCAACGUCUCUGCAUAUAGUAUAUUUAGACCACUGCCACCAUCCAUCAGAACCUUAGUCAAUCGAGUGCCUUCGACUACUGGGUCGACCACCAGCGCUUGCCUCCUAGGGGUGGCUGUGUGCGCUGGGUGAUCGGACUGGUCGAAGGUAAUGGCAGUCUGUGAUCACUUCAAAUAACUGGGUGUCACCGGAGUGACCAUGUUCACUUCUCUGUUGAUGACUUUCAGUCGACUCUUACUCUCAACAUCAGCGAAAAUCAUCAGAGUGGAAUUGACGUGGGGGUAACCAUCGUCGUCCUCCUCCUCAUCCUCAACUUUGUCCGCUUCCUUCUCGUUUUCCUUGGGCUGUUUCUCUCGAAAUUGCUGGAUUAGGAGUCGACAUUGUCGAGUGGUAUGCUUCGGGUAAAUGAAAUUACCCUCUUCAUCUUUUUUGGUGUGAAUGUGGCAUGGUAAAUCUAGCACAUCAUUUACAUCUUGAUCUUUUACUUUCUUGGGGUUCCAUGGCCCUUUGAACUUUCCUUGAGUCACGGCUAAGGCUUCACCGGGAGCGGCUGGCUCGGCUUUGCGCUUCUACUUCCGAAUGGAGUUCUCUCCUCCGGUUUCGUGGGCGACUAUUUUGUGCUUGCCACUCCGGAGUCGGUCUUCUUCUUCACCAUUGGCGUAAUUGGUGGAAAUCUCCAUCAUCCGAGUCAGAGUCAUAUCUCCUGUCCGACCGAAUUUCAGAUUCAACUCUUGAUACUUAACACCUUCUUUGAAGGCACAAAUUGCCUGGUGAUCCGACACAUUCUCCACUGUGUGGUGCAACGUGAUCCAUCUCUGAAUAUAAUCUCUCAAAGUUUUAUUCAGUUUCUGAACGCAACACUGCAAUUCUGUCAGCCCUGCUGUCCGUUUGCAAGUACCUUCAAAUGUUCUAACAAAUACUCGGGCAAGAUCUUCCCAAGUAUAAAUACUACCAGGCGCUAACUGAUUCAGCCACGCUCUGGCCGAGCCCUCCAACAUCAAAGGAAGGUGCUUCAUGGCCACUUCGUCGUUGCCACCACCAAUCUGUACAGCCACUCGAUAAUCCUCAAGCCAAGCGUCAGGCUUGGACUCGCCAGUGAAAUUACUGACUCCAGUAGCCAACCUGAAGUUGGGAUGAAUCACCGCAGCCGUGAUGGCUCUGUUCAAGCACUCUGGACCAGAGACAUGCACCCUGUUGCUGGUUGGGAAAUCUCUGUCGUGACCUUCUCUGUGAGCUCUGUUUCUGUCGACCAGACCCUAAACGAGAAUAGAUCUCACAUCAAAGCCCGGCUCCCUGGGGUCAGCUGGAAUCCUUCGCCCACCAUUAUGAGGACGUCUGUCAUCAUGCUGCCGAGGCACGUAUGACCCACUCCUUGGGGGAGGCGUGGGCACUCGACGACGAUCAUCAUGAUCGAGUCGGUGAUCAUACUGCUCGCGGUUUCUGUACUAAUCUCACCGGUCCCCACGUCCUUCAUGCCUCGGGGGCGAUCUCGGGCUGUGAGUCGACUGGACUAUGUCUGCAACCAUGGAUCUGCUAUGGAUCCUCUUCCGCGACUGAGAUACUGUUGUAUUCUGCUCUCCCGCCGCACGGAGCAAAGCCCGGAUCUGCACCAAACCUCCACCAGCUUCUGACUAGGAAGGUUGGAUUGACUCCGCUAUUCGGGCCGCAGCUGCGAGAUUCUGGAUCGGAGUUCAGUAUACAUGAGUCGGAGGCGGAAAAAGUUGGCAUCGACUGGACUCGGGGAUACGCUGCUGAGCACGCUCGUCGAGUGCGCGCUGGAGGUUCUCCAGUCGAGUGCGCUCAGCCAAGUUGGCCAGGCGCGCCUCCUCCAAGUCCUGGGCCUCAGGGGUUUCUCCAACGAUAGGAGUGUGAAGCACAUCCAUGUUCCGGCGACGAAGUUCUUCCCUUCCCUGCGAAGAGAGGGGUUCGGGGCGGUACUCUUCGUGAACACGCGACGGAUCACCGUCCCCAUCGCCUCUAUCUUCACGGGUGAAGCCAGGAGGACUGCAUGGUCCAUUGACCAUCAAAACUUCUGCCGCGGGGUCGCUGCUGUCGCACUCGGAUGCAGUCUCUACGGAGCCAGUCGACGGGUCAAACAUGCCAUAGAGAGUUUCGUCGGGCUCGAUUGCUGCGACUUGGGGGGUGGCCGACUGGAGAGCCACCGCAUGCCUCACCCACCGCUGAAGCCUCGAUCGACCGGAAUGUUUGCUCCGGCGGGCUGCAGGGAGGGAAGUCAGCACAAGAGCCGACCGAUACUGAGUCGACGGCUGCCGCAGGAGGACGCCACGGAUGCACACACGAAAGUGCGUUGCCCCGCGGACGGGGAGCGCCUCGACGUCAAGUGGCGCUUCCUGGAGCCAAGCGGAGUCGUCGGCGAUGAACACGAGCGCACCGAGACGGAUCUCGUGGCCCUCGGCCAAACCUCCGCCUGAAACCAUGUUGAUGGGGAUUGGGAAAAUCGCUUCUUCUCCAACAAGUCGCUAAGACACCUGCCCCACAAUGGGCUCCAACUGUCGUGGUUCUAAGUCUGACAGUAGAAUGGGGGGUAGGGAUGUAGAGGCAAGAUCCUAGCUAUGGAGGAGUUGUACAUACGAGUUUUACGAGUUCAGGCCCUUCUCAAAGGAAGUAACAUCCCUACGUCUCGGAGCCCGGAGGCGGUCGACUGGAUUAUAUGCGUGUGUGUUACAGGGGGUGCGAACCCCUGUGCCUGUGGAGGGGGUGGCUUAUAUAGAGUGCGCCAGGACCCCAGCCAGCCCAUGACACAGAGGGUUUAAGGUACAUUGAAGAGAGAACGUUACUGUUAACGCCCACAUUAAAGUGCUGCGAAUGCCAAUUAAGCCUAUGAGUAAAUGCUCGACCGUUGCAUAUGCAGAGUGGCUUUAGCUCUUCUGCCUGCCGAGUGACUUCUGCGACGGUCGAGUGACAUCGAUCUUCCGAGUGGAACGUUUCCGGUCGAGUGGAUGAUGGUACCCUUUGGAUGAUCCUGGCUUUAGGGUGCUGUCCUAGGGGAGGAUGUCUAGGUUAGGUCUAUGAUCCUACCCUAGGUACGUAGCUUCAUCAUAUGCUCAUUGCCAUUAACAUGAAAAGUGACAUUUCCUUUGUUGCAAUCAAUAACAGCCCCUACAGUAUUCAGAAAGGGUCUACCAAGAAUAAUAGAAAAACUAUCGUCCUCGGGAAUAUCAAGAAUAACAAAGUCCAUUAAAAUAGUAACGUUUGCAACCACAGCAGGCACAUCCUCACAAAUACCGACAUGUAUAGCAGUUGAUGUAUCAGCCAUUUGCAAAGAUAUUUCAGUAGGUGUCAACUUAUUCAAUUCAGGUCUAUGAUAUAAAGAGAGAGGCAUAACACUAACACCGGCUCCGAGAUCACAUAAAGCAGUUUUAACAUAGUUUCUUUUAAUGGAGCAUGGUAUAGUUGGUACUCCGGGAUCUCCUAGUUUCUUUGGUAUUCCACCUUUAAAAGUAUAAUUAGCAAGCAUGGUGGAAAUUUCAGCUUCCGGUAUCAUUCUUUUAUUUGUAACAAUAUCUUUCAUAUACUUAGCAUAAGGAUUCAUUUUAAGCAUAUCAGUCAAACGCAUACGCAAAAAGAUAGGUCUAAUCAUUUCAGCAAAGCGCUCAAAAUCGUCAUCAUCCUUUUUCUUGGAUGGUUUAGGAGGAAAAGGCAUGAGUUUCUUAACCCAUGGUUCUCGUUCUUUACCGUGCUUCCUAGCAACGAAGUCUCUCUUAUCAUAAUGUUGAUUCUUUGAUUGUGGGUUAUCAAGAUCAACAGCAGGUUCAUUUUCUACAUCAUUGUUAUUGCUAGGUUGAGCAUCAACAUGAAUAUCAUCAUUAAUAUUAUCCCUAGGUUCAUGUUCAUUACCAGAUUGUGUUUCAGCAUCGGAAAUGGAAAUAUCAUUGGGAUUCUUAGGUGUGUCAACAACAGGUUCACUAGAAGCAUGCAAAGUCCUAUCAUUUUUCUUUUUAAUCUUCUUAGAAGAACUAGGUGCAUCAACAUUAGCUCUGUGAGAAUCUUGCUCAAUUCUAUUAGGGUGGCCUUCGGGAUACAAAGGUUCCUGAGUCAUUUUACCACCUCUAGUCACAACUCUAACAUCAUUAUCAUUUUUCUUAUUAUUUAAUUCAUUGAGCAAAUCAAUAUGAGCUUUAAGCACUUGUUCUACUUGAGUGGUAACCAUAGAAGCAUGUUUACUAAUAAGUUUAAGUUCACCUUAACUCUAGACAUAUUAUCACUCAAGUGUUCAAUCAUAUAAGCAUUACAUUUCAAUUGUCUACCAACAUAAGCAUUGAAGUUUUCUUGUUUAACAAUAAAAUUAUCAACUCAUCUAAGAAUUGGCUAGCAGACUUAUAACGAGGGAUAUCACCUUCAUCAAAUCUAUAGAGAUAAUUUACCUUUACUACCUGUGUCAGUUUAUCAAGACCAUGUAUUUCUUUAAUAGGUGGUAAAUUCUUAACAUCUUCAGCUUUAAUACCCUUUUCCUGUUGGAAAUAUGCCCUAGAGGCAAUAAUAAAAGUAUUAUUAUAUUUCAUUGUUCAUGAUAAUUGUCUUUUAUUCAUGCUAUAACUGUAUUAUCCGGAAAUCGUAAUACACGUGUGAAUACUUAGACCACACUAUGUCCCUGGUAAGCCUCUAGUUGACUAGCUCGUUGUGAUCAACAGAUAGUCAUGGUUUCCUGACUAUGGACAUUGGAUGUCGUUGAUAACGGGAUCACAUCAUUAGAAGAAUGAUGUGAUGGACAAGACCCAAUCCUAAGCAUAGCAUAAAAGAUCGUGUAGUUCGUUUUGCUAGAGCUUUGCAAGUGUCAAGUAUCUCUUCCUUCGACCAUGAGAUCGUGUAACUCCCGGAUACCGUAAGAGUGCCUUGGGUGUAUCAAACGUCACAACAUAACUGGGUGACUAUAAAGGAGCAUUACAGGUAUCUCCGAAAGUAGCUGUUGGGUUGACACGGAUCGAGACUGGGAUUUGUCACUCCGUAUGACGGAGAGGUAUCUCUGGGCCCACUCGGUAAUGCAUCAUCAUAUUGAGCUCAAUGUGACCAAGGUGUUGGACACGGGAUCAUGCAUUACGGUACGAGUAAAGUGACUUGCCGGUAACGAGACUGAACAAGGUAUUGGGAUACCGACGAUCGAGUCUCGGGCAAGUAACGUACCGAUUGACAAAGGGAAUUGCAUACAGGGUUUGAUCGAAUCCUCGACAUCGUGGUUCAUCCAAUGACAACAUCGAGGAGCAUGUGGGAGCCAUCAUGGGUAUCCAGAUCCCGCUGAUGGUUAUUGACUGAGAGCGUCUCGGUCAUGUCUGCAUGUCUCCCGAACCCGUAGGGUCUACACACUUAAGGUUCGGUGACGCUAGGGUUAUGAAGAUAUGUAUAUGCAGAAACCCGAAUGUUGUUCGGAGUCCCGGAUGAGAUCCCGGACGUCACGAGGAGUUCCGAAAUGGUCCGGAGGUAAAGAAUUAUAUAUAGGAAGUGCUAUUUCGGGCAUCGGGACAAGUUUCGGGGUUAUCGGUAUUGUACCGGGACCACCGGAAGGGUCCCGGGGGUCCACCGGGUGGGGCCACCUGUCCCGGGGGGCCACAUGGGCUGUAGGGGGUGCGCCUUGGCCAUCAUGGGCCAAGGGCACCAGCCCCUAUAGGCCCAUGCGCCUAGGGUUUCCCCCUAGGAGGAGUCCUAGUGGUGGAAGGCACCCCUAGGUGCCUUGGGGGGGAGGGAAACCUCCCCUAGGCCGCCGCCCCCCCUAGUAGAUCUCAUCUACUAGGGCCGGCGCCCCCCCUUGGCACCCCUAUAUAUAGUGGGGGGGGGAGAGGAGGAGAACACACCAGCCCCUGGCGCCUCCACCUCCCCCCGUUACGUCUCUCCCUCGUAGUCUCGGCGAAGCCCUGCUGCUGUGACGCCCUGCAUCCACCACCACGCCGUCGUGCUGCUGGAUCUUCAUCAACCUCUCCUUCCCCCUUGCUGGAUCAAGAAGGAGGAGACGUCUCCCGUCCCGUACGUGUGUUGAACGCGGAGGUGCCGUCCGUUCGGCGCUGGUCAUCGGUGAUUUGGAUCACGUCGAGUACGACUACAUCAUCACCUUGCAAGCUUCCGCACGCGAUCUACAAGUGGUAUGUAGAUGCAAACUCUCUCCCUAGACUCGUUGCUUAGAUGAACUCAUAGAUGGAUCUUGGUGAAACCGUAGGAAAAUUUUAAUUUUCUGCAACGUUCCCCAACAGUGGCAUCAUGAGCUAGGUCUAUGCGUAGUUCUCUUUGCACGAGUAGAACACAACUUUGUUGUGGGCGUGGAUUUUGUCAUCUUACUUGCCUCUACUAGUCUUUUCUUGCUCAACGGUAUUGUGGGAUGAAGCGGCCCGGACCAACCUUACACGUACACUUACGUGAGACCGGUUCCACCGACUGACAUGCACAAGUUGCAUAAGGUGGCUGGCGGGUGUCUGUCUCUCCCACCUUAGUUGGAGCGGAAUCGAUGAACAGGGCCCUUAUGAAGGGUAAAUAGAAGUUGACAAAAUCACAUUGUGGUGAUUCGUAGGUAAGAAAACGUUCUUGCUAGAACCCAAUUGCAGCCACGUAAAAGAUGCAACAACAAUUAGAGGACGUCUAACUUGUUUUUGCAGCGAUUGAUCAUGUGAUGUGAUAUGGCCAGAAGUUGUGAUGAAUGAUGAAUUGUGAUGUAUGAGAUCAUGUUCUUUGUAAUAGGAUUCACGACUUGCAUGUCAAUGAGUAUGACAACCGGCAGGAGCCAUAGGAGUUGUCAUUAUUUUUUUGUAUGACCUGCGUGUCAUUGAAUAACGUCAUGUAAACUACUUUACUUUAUUGCUAAACGUUAGUCAUAGAAGUAGAAGUAGUCGUUGGCGUGACAACUUCAUGAAGACACGAUGAUGGAGAUCAUGAUGAUGGAGAUCAUGGUGUCAAGCCGGUGACAAGAUGAUCAUGGAGCCCCGAAGAUGAAGAUCAAUGGAGCUAUAUGAUAUUGGCCAUAUCAUGUCACAACUAUAUAAUUGCAUGUGAUGUUUAUUAUGUAUUAUGCAUCUUGUUUACUUAGGACGACGGUAGUAAAUAAGAUGAUCCCUUAUAAAAUUUCAAGAAGUGUUCUCCCCUAACUGUGCACCGUUGCUACAGUUCGUCGUUUCUAAGCACCACGUGAUGAUCGGGUGUGAUGGAUUCUUACGUUCACAUACAACGGGUGUAAGACAGUUUUACACAGCGAAAACACUUAGGGUUAACUUGACGAGCCUAGCAUGUGCAGACAUGGCCUCAGAACACGGAGACCGAAAGGUCGAACACGAGUCGUAUAGAAGAUACGAUCAACAUGAAAAUGUUCACCGAUGAUGACUAGUCCGUCUCACGUGAUGAUCGGACACGGGCUAGUCGACUCGGAUCGUGUAACACUUAGAUGACUAAAGGGAUGUCUAAUCUGAGUGGGAGUUCAUAAUUUGAUUAGAACUUAAUUAUCAUGAACUUAGUCUAAAACCUUUGCAAAUAUGUCUUGUAGAUCAAAUGGCCAACGCUCAUGUCAACAUGAACUUCAACGCGUUCCUAGAGAAAACCAAGCUGAAAGAUGAUGGCAGCAACUAUACGGACUGGGUCCGGAACCUGAGGAUCAUCCUCAUAGCUGCCAGGAAACAAUAUGUCCUAGAAGGACCGCUAGGUGAAGCUCCCGUCCCAGAGAACCAAGACAUUAUGAAUGCUUGGCAGUCUCGCGCUGAUGAUUACUCCCUCGUUCAGUGCGGCAUGCUUUACAGCUUAGAACCGGGGCUCCAAAAGCGUUUUGAGCAUCACGGAGCAUAUGAGAUGUUCGAAGAGCUGAAACUAGUUUUUCAAGCUCAUGCCCGGGUCGAGAGAUAUGAUGUCUCUGACAAGUUCUACAGUUGUAAGAUGGAGGAGAACAGUUCUGUCAGUGAGCACAUCCUGAAGAUGUCUGGGUUGCACAACCGUAUGACCCAGCUGAACAUUAACCUCCCAGAUGAGGCGGUCAUUGACAGAAUCCUCCAGUCGCUCCCACCAAGCUACAAGAGCUUUGUGAUGAACUACAACAUGCAGGGAAUGGAAAAGACCAUUCCUGAAGUGUUCUCGAUGCUGAAGUCAGCAGAGGCUGAAAUCAAGAAAGAACAUCAAGUGUUGAUGGUCAAUAAGACCACUAAGUUCAAGAAGGGCAAGGGUAAGAAGAACUUCAAGAAGGACGGCAAAGAUGUUGCCGCGCCUGGUAAGCCAGUUACCGGGAAGAAGUCAAAGAAUGGACCCAAGCCUGAGACUGAGUGCUUUUAUUGCAAGGGGAAGGGUCACUGGAAGCGGAACUGCCCCAAAUACUUAGCGGAUAAGAAGGCCGGCAACACCAAAGGUAUAUUUGAUACAUGUGAUUGAUGUGUACCUUACCAGUAAUCGUAGUAACUCCUGGGUAUUUGAUACCGGUGCCGUUGCUCAUAUUUGUAACUCACAGCAGGAGCUGCGGAAUAAACGGAGACUGGCGAAGGACGAGGUGACGAUGCGCGUCGGGAAUGGUUCCAGAGUCGACGUGAUCGCCGUCGGCACGCUGCCUCUACAUUUACCUACGGGAUUAGUUUUGAACCUUAAUAAUUGUUAUUUAGUGCCAAGUUUGAGCAUGAACAUUGUAUCAGGAUCUCGUUUAAUACGAGAUGGCUACUCAUUUAAGUCUGAGAAUAAUGGUUGUUCGAUUUAUAUGAGAAAUAUGUUUUAUGGUCAUGCUCCGAUGGUCAAUGGUUUAUUCUUAAUGAAUCUCGAACGUAAUAUUACACAUGUUCAUAGUGUAGAUGCCAAAAGAUUUAAAGUUGAUAACGAUAGUCCCACAUACUUGUGGCACUGCCGCCUUGGUCACAUUGGUGUCAAGCGCAUGAAGAAGCUCCAUGCCGAUGGACUUUUAGAGUCUCUUGAUUAUGAAUCGUUUGACACGUGCGAACCAUGCCUCUUGGGCAAGAUGACCAAGACUCCGUUCUCCGGAACAAUGGAGCGAGCAACCAACUUGUUGGAAAUCAUACAUACCGAUGUGUGCGGUCCAAUGAGCGUUGAGGCUCGCGGAGGAUAUCGUUAUGUUCUCACUCUCAUAGAUGACUUGAGUAGAUAUGGGUAUGUCUACUUAAUGAAACACAAGUCUGAGACCUUUGAAAAGUUCAAGGAAUUUCAGAAUGAGGUGGAGAAUCAACGUGACCGAAAGAUAAAAUUCUGACGAUCAGAUCGUGGAGGAGAAUACUUAAGUCACGAAUUUGGUACACACUUAAAGAAAUGUGGAAUCGUUUCACAGCUCACGCCGCCUGGAACACCUCAGCGAAACGGUGUGUCCGAACGUCGUAAUCGCACUCUAUUGGAUAUGGUGCGGUCUAUGAUGUCUCUUACCGAUUUACCGCUAUCAUUUUGGGGAUACGCUCUAGAGACAGCUACAUUCACUUUAAAUAGGGCACCGUCUAAAUCCGUUGAGACGACACCGUAUGAAUUAUGGUUUGGAAAGAAACCUAAGCUGUCGUUUCUAAAAGUUUGGGGAUGCGAAGCUUAUGUCAAGAAACUUCAACCUGAAAAGCUCGAACCCAAGUCGGAAAAAUGUGUAUUCAUAGGAUACCCUAAGGAAACUGUAGGGUAUACCUUCUACUUAAGAUCCGAAGGCAAGAUCUUUGUUGCCAAGAACGGAUGCUUUCUGGAAAAAGAGUUUCUCUCGAAAGAAGUAAGUGGGAGGAAAGUAGAACUCGAUGAAGUACUACCUCUUGAGCGGGAUAGUGACGCAGCACAGGAAACCGUUCCUGUGAUGCCCACACCAACUGAAGAGGAAAACCAUGAUAAUGAUCAAGGUACUUCGGAUCAAGUUAUUGCUGAACUUCGUAGGUCCACAAGGACACGUUCCGCACCAGAGUGGUACGGCAACCCUGUCCUGGAAAUCAUGUUGUUAGACAACAAUGAACCUUCGAACUAUGAAGAAGCAAUGGCGGGCCCGGAUUCCAACAAAUGGCUUGAAGCCAUGAAAUCCGAGAUAGAAUCCAUGUAUGAAAACAAAGUAUGGACUUUGACAGACUUGCCCGAUGAUCGGCGAGCGAUAGAAAACAAAUGGAUCUUUAAGAAGAAGACGGACGCGGAUGGUAAUGUUACCAUCUAUAAAGCUCGACUUGUCGCUAAGGGUUAUCGACAGGUUCAAGGGAUUGACUACGACGAGACAUUCUCUCCUGUAGCGAAGCUAAAGUCUGUCCGAAUCAUGUUAGCAAUUGCCGCAUACUAUGAUUAUGAGAUAUGGCAGAUGGACAUCAAAACAGCAUUCCUUAACGGGCAUCUUAAGGAAGAACUGUAUAUGAUGCAGCCAGAAGGUUUUGUCGCGCUAACAAAGUAUGCAAGCUCCAGUGAUCCAUUUAUGGACUGGUGCAAGCAUCUCGGAGUUGGAACAUUCGCUUUGAUGAGAUGAUCAAAGCAUUUGGGUUUAUGCAGACUUAUGGAGAAGCCUGCGUUUACAAGAAAGUGAGUGGGAGCUCUAUAGCAUUUCUCAUAUUAUAUGUAGAUGACAUACUCCUGAUGGGAAAUAAUAUAGAAUUUCUGGACAGCAUUAAGGCCUACUUGAAUAAGUGUUUUUCAAUGAAGGACCUUGGAGAAGCUGCUUAUAUAUUAGGCAUCAAGAUCUAUAGAGAUAGAUCGAGACGCCUCAUAGGUCUUUCACAAAGCACAUACCUUGAUAAGAUUUUGAAGAGAUUCAGAAUGGAUCAGUCCAAGAAGGGGUUCUUGCCUAUGUUACAAGGUAUGAGACUGAGCUCAGCUCAGUCACCGACCACGGCAAAAGAUAAAAAAGAGAUGAGUGUCAUCCCCUAUGCUUCAGCCAUAGGAUCUAUUAUGUAUGCCAUGCUGUGUACCAGACCCGAUGUAAACCUUGCCGUAAGUUUGGUAGCAAGAUACCAAAGUAAUCCCGGUAAGGAACACUGGACAGCGGUCAAGAAUAUCCUGAAGUACCUGAAAAGGACAAGGGACAUGUUUCUCGUUUAUGGAGGAGACGAAGAGCUCGUCGUAAAGGGUUACGUCGACGCUAGCUUCGACUCAGAUCUGGAUGACUCUAAGUCACAAACCGGAUACGUGUAUAUGUUGAAUGGUGGAGCAGUAAGCUGGUGCAGCUGCAAGUAGAGCGUCGUGGCGAGAUCUACGUGUAAAGCGGAGUACAUGGCAGCCUCGGAGGCAGCACAUGAAGCGAUUUGGGUGAAGGAGUUCAUCACCGACCUAGGAGUCAUACCCAAUGCGUCGGGGCCGAUCAAACUCUUCUGUGACAACACUGGAGCUAUUGCCCUCGCAAAGGAGCCCAGGUUUCACAAGAAGACCAGGCACAUCAAGCGUCGUUUCAACUCCAUCCGUGAAAAUGUUCAAGAUGGAGACAUAGAGAUUUGCAAAGUGCACACGGAUCUGAAUGUCGCAGAUCCGCUGACUAAACCUCUCUCGCGUGCAAAACAUGAUCAACACCAGAACUCUAUGGGUGUUCGAUUCAUCACAAUGUAACUAGAUUAGUGACUCUAGUGCAAGUGGGAGACUGUUGGAAAUAUGCCCUAGAGGCAAUAAUAAAAGUAUUAUUAUAUUUCAUUGUUCAUGAUAAUUGUCUUUUAUUCAUGCUAUAACUGUAUUAUCCGGAAAUCGUAAUACACGUGUGAAUACUUAGACCACACUAUGUCCCUGGUAAGCCUCUAGUUGACUAGCUCGUUGUGAUCAACAGAUAGUCAUGGUUUCCUGACUAUGGACAUUGGAUGUCGUUGAUAACGGGAUCACAUCAUUAGGAGAAUGAUGUGAUGGACAAGACCCAAUCCUAAGCAUAGCAUAAAAGAUCGUGUAGUUCGUUUUGCUAGAGCUUUGCAAGUGUCAAGUAUCUCUUCCUUCGACCAUGAGAUCGUGUAACUCCCGGAUACCGUAAGAGUGCCUUGGGUGUAUCAAACGUCACAACAUAACUGGGUGACUAUAAAGGUGCAUUACAGGUAUCUCCGAAAGUAGCUGUUGGGUUGACACGGAUCGAGACUGGGAUUUGUCACUCCGUAUGACGGAGAGGUAUCUCUGGGCCCACUCGGUAAUGCAUCAUCAUAUUGAGCUUAAUGUGACCAAGGUGUUGGACACGGGAUCAUGCAUUACGGUACGAGUAAAGUGACUUGCCGGUAACGAGACUGAACAAGGUAUUGGGAUACCGACGAUCGAGUCUCGGGCAAGUAACGUACCGAUUGACGAAGGGAAUUGCAUACAGGGUUUGAUCGAAUCCUCGACAUCGUGGUUCAUCCGAUGACAACAUCGAGGAGCAUGUGGGAGCCAUCAUGGGUAUCCAGAUCCCGCUGAUGGUUAUUGACUGAGAGCGUCUCGGUCAUGUCUGCAUGUCUCCCGAACCCGUAGGGUCUACACACUUAAGGUUCGGUGACGCUAGGGUUAUGAAGAUAUGUAUAUGCAGAAACCCGAAUGUUGUUCGGAGUCCCGGAUGAGAUCCUGGACGUCACUAGGAGUUCCGGAAUGGUCCGGAGGUAAAGAAUUAUAUAUAGGAAGUGCUAUUUCGGGCAUCGGGACAAGUUUCGGGGUUAUCGGUAUUGUACCGGGACCACCGGAAGGGUCCCGGGGGUCCACCGGGUGGGGCCACCUGUCCCGGGGGGCCACAUGGGCUGUAGGGGGUGCGCCUUGGCCAUCAUGGGCCAAGGGCACCAGCCCCUAUAGGCCCAUGCGCCUAGGGUUUCCCCCUAGGAGGAGUCCUAGUGGUGGAAGGCACCCCUAGGUGCCUUGGGGGGGAGGGAAACCUCCCCUAGGCCGCCGCCCCCCCUAGUAGAUCUCAUCUACUAGGGCCGGCGCCCCCCUGGCACCCCUAUAUAUAGUGGGGGAGAGGAGGGACUUCAUACACCAGCCCCUGGCGCCUCCACCUCCCCCCGCUACGUCUCUCCCUCGUAGUCUCGGCGAAGCCCUGCUGCUGUGACGCCCUGCAUCCACCACCACGCCGUCGUGCUGCUGGAUCUUCAUCAACCUCUCCUUCCCCCUUGCUGGAUCAAGAAGGAGGAGACGUCUCCCGUCCCGUACGUGUGUUGAACGCGGAGGUGCCGUCCGUUCGGCGCUGGUCAUCGGUGAUUUGGAUCACGUCGAGUACGACUACAUCAUCACCUUGCAAGCUUCCGCACGCGAUCUACAAGUGGUAUGUAGAUGCAAACUCUCUCCCUAGACUCGUUGCUUAGAUGAACUCAUAGAUGGAUCUUGGUGAAACCGUAGGAAAAUUUUUAAUUUUCUGCAACGUUCCCCAACAUUUCCUUCAUAGAUUUCUUUGCCUCUUGCAUAUCUCCAGGACUAGAAAUAGAAUACCCCUUUUCUUCGGAGUUGGCUUUGGAGUUGGUUUAGGAAGUGUCCAAUCAUUUUCAUUACUCAACAUAUUAUUCAAUAGCAAUUCAGCUUGAUCAACAGUUCUUUCCCCGAAAACACAACUAGCACAACUAUCCAGGUGGUCUCUCGAAGCAUCAGUUAGUCCAUUAUAAAAGAUAUCAAGUAUUUCAUUUUUCUUGAGAGGAUGAUCUGACAAAGCAUUAAGUAAUUGGAGAAGCCUCCCCCAAGCUUGUGGGAGACUCUCUUCUUCAAUUUGCACAAAAUUAUAUAUUUCCCUUAAGGAAGCUUGUUUCUUAUGAGCGGGGAAAUAUUUAGCAGAGAAGUAAUAAAUCAUAUCCUGGGGACUACGCACACAACCAGGAUCAAGAGAAUUAAACCAUGUUUUAGCAUAACCCUUUAAUGAGAACGGAAACAACUUAAGGACAAAGUAAUAGCGAGUUUUCUCAUCAUUAGUGAAUGGGGUGGCUAUAUCAUUUAAUUUAGUAAGAUCUGCCACAACAGUUUCAGUUUUAUAGCCAUAAAAAGGAUCAGAUUCAAUCAAAGUAAUUAACUCAGGAUCGACAGAGAAAUCAUAAUCCUUAUCAGAAAUAUAGAUAGGUGAAGUAGCAAAAGCAGGGUCAUAUUUUAUUCUAGCAUUCAAAGAUUUUUCUUUAACCUUAGCUAAUAAUUUCUAAAGAUCAUAUCUAUUGCAAGCUAAAAAGUCUCUAGCAGUUUCUUCAUCCAUAACGUAACCCUUAGGCACAACAUGCAAUUCAUAUCUAGGGGGAUAAUCUUCAUCAUCACUUUCAUCAAUAUUAUCAGUUUCAAUAAUUUCAUUCUCUCUAACCCUAGCAAGUUGUUCAUCAAGAAAUUCACCUAGUGGCACAGUAUUAUCAAGCAUAGAAGUUGUUUCAUCGUAAGUAUCAUGCGUAGCAGAAGUGGCAUCAUCAAUAACAUGCGACAUAUCAGAAUGAAUAGCAGGAGUAGCUGUCGCAAGUUUACUCAAAACAGAAGGUGAAUCAAGUGCAGAGCUAAAUGGCAGUUCCUUACCUCCCCUCGUAGUUGAGGGAAAAAUCUUGGUUCUUUCAUCUUUCAAGUUCUUCAUAGUGAUCAGCAGAUAUAAAUCCCAAGUGACUCAAAUAAUAGAGCUAUGCUCCCCGACAACAGCGCUAGAAAAUAGUCUUGAUAACCCACAAGUAUAGGGGAUCGCAACAGUUUUCGAGGGUAGAGUAUUCAACCCAAAUUUAUUGAUACGAUGCAAGGGGAGCCAAAGAAUAUUCUCAAGUAUUAACAGUUGAGUUGUCAAUUCAACCGCACCUGAAAGACUUAAUAUCUGCAGCAAAGUAUUUAGUAGCAAAGUAAUAUGAUAGCAGCAGUAAUGGUAGCAAAAGUAACAAUAUUGGUUUUGUAGUGAUUGUAACAGUGGCAACGGAAAAGUAACUAAGCAAAGAUCAAUAUGUGAAAAGGUUGUAGGCAAUAGAUCAGUGAUGGAUAAUUAUGUCGGAUGUGAUUCCUCAUGCAACAGUCAUAACAUAGGGUGCCACAGAACAAGCUCCAGUUCAUCAAUGUAAUGUAGACAUGUAUUCCGAAUAUAGUCAUACGUGCUUGUGGAAAAUAACUUGCAUGACAUCUUUUGUCCUACCCUCCCGUGGCAGCGGGGUCCUAUUGGAAACUAAGGGAUAUUAAGGCCUCCUUUUAAUAGAGUAUCGAACCAAAGCAUUAACACUUAGUGAAUACAUGAACUCCUCAAACUACGGUCAUCACCAGUAAGUAUCCUGAUUAUUAUCACUUCGUGGUUAAUGGAUCAUAACACAUAAUAGGUGACUAUAGACUUGCAAGAUAGGAUCAAGAACUGACAUAUAUUCAUGAAAACAUAAUAGGUUCAGAUUUGAAAUCAUGGCACUCGGGCCCUAAGCAUUAAGCAUAGCAAAGUCAUAGCAACAUCAAUCUCAGAACUUACUGGAUACUUGGGAUCAAAGCCUAACAAAACUAACUCGAUUACAUGAUAAAUCUCAUCCAACCCAUCACCUUCCAGCAAGCCUACGAUGGAAUUACUCACGCACGGCAGUGAGCAUCAUAAAAUUUGUGAUGGAGGAAGGUUGAUGAUGACGAUGGUGACGGAUUCCCAUCUCCAGAGCCCCGAACAGACUCCAGAUCAUCCCUCCCAAGAGAGAUUAGGGCUUGGCGGCGGCUCCGUAUCGUCAAACGCGAUAAAUCCUUCUCUCUGAUUUUUUUCUCCCCGAACAUGAAUAUAUAGAGUUGGAGUUGAGGUCGGUGGAGCACCAGGGGGCCCACGAGGCAGGGUGCGCACCCAGGUGGGUAGGCGCGCCCCCACCCUCGUGGACGGGGUGUGGGCCCCAUGGCCUUUAUUCUUUUGCCAGUAUUUUUUAUAUAUUCCAAAAUAUUCUCCGUUGAUUUUCAGGUCAUUCCGAGAACUUUUAUUUCUGCACAAAAAUAACAUCAUGGCAAUUCUGCUGAAAACAGUGUUAGUCCGGGUUAGUUCUAUUCAAACCAUGCAAGUUAGAGUCCAAAGCAAGGGCAAAAUUGUUUGGAAAAGUAGAUGCGAUGGAGACGUAUCAGCCUCUCAUCCCGGCAAACCCGCACAAGGUCAACUAGGAAAUCAGGUUUAAUUCCGGUAGAGUGGCCCCAUAAACAUCAACUAGCACCCACCUGAACCCAUCUACCUUGGAACACCCUGCAUUUGACUACAAAGUCAUCAAGCACGACAUUCACCACUUCUAGCAUCUCACACUUGACCCCAAGUAAAAUCCUACCGGAUCUUCCUCUUUGUGGUAGACAGUGCCAAUCAAAAUCCACACCACUAGAUAAGGUGUUUCGAAAUUGUGACCUAAAAUUAUCCCUUCCUGUUUCAAGUGAGGAAAGAAGUCCAAGUUAUUUUCUAUUGACGCUUCCGCAAGGAACCUUUUUUUAGGCAAGUCUACCAGAUCUCUGCUAUUCCAAAAGAUUCCUUUCAUUUCUCAUUGUGGAAUUUUUGUUUGAACCAAAUUCUCGCGCUUCUGCGAACGCCAGAUGUAGGCAAAACCUACCUCUUCCAGGACCGUUUUUGCUUUAUCAUGCACCAACUCCUGGUCAAAAUAACUGAGGUCUGUCUGCAGGCUCAUUUCUGGUUGCAGUGGGGCCGUAUAAUCUUCUGAAACCGACUCAGAAUCCUCCUCUUCUAACACACUAGUGGGUACUAAAUCCUCACCAUCACUCUAGUGCCCCAACCCCUAGAGCAUUAAUAUCACUACCAUUCAUAGGUUUCACAAAUGCAAUAUUACGAAUCAUCCCUGUUGCUCUAUUAGGUUCUAAGUCAAGCAAGUCAUUUACUGAUUUACGAAUCAUAGGUUUCACAACCACAAUUUGAUUCUUGAGAACUUCAAUGGUCAUAUUUAAUUAGUACGUCUUGUAUCUAGCCAAAAUGGUGUGGCUAGAUAUCUUUUCAACCAGAGUCAAAUUACAUGGCCAUUGCAAGGAAUUGUGAUUAGCUAACAUUGUUGGUGGUAACAUACGGUCUCACAUGCCGCAUAUUUGGUCUAAAUAAGAUCAAAAACACAUAGUACCGUGUCGCCUUGCGGUCUAUAAGUGUAAAUUAGUGAAGUAUUUCCCAUUUGUGGUACUUAGGGUGCCCCAGCGUAUUUCAAGGGACUUCACAUAUAUUUGUGAUCUAUGUGAGGAAUAACUGUGGUAUGGUUGUUACCCGUCAAAUACCUUAACCCUAGCGAGGGAACUAUAUUUGUAGCCUGUGCACUGAUUGCUUAUACAAUAAGGACAUUUUCUGGCAUAGGGGGAGAAAUGUACCACAUGGAAUGCCAUGAAAUGCAUAAGAAAUGUUGUAGGAAUUUUUUCCAUGUACUUAAGAAUCCAAACUAGAGGUUUGGGUAAUGAAACAUUGCAACAUAUUGCAAAUAAUCUGCCUUAUAAAUGUACUUAUUACAAAGGAGUCACUAAAUUCUAGUACCAUAACGAGAGGAGGUACCUCAUAACCACUCGUAUCCCCAGAUGAGAUCAAGAGGGGGAGAAUUCUGGUCAUAUGAGAUUAAGUUCUCAUAUGCUUUCCGUGGAAAUAGAGGAAACGGUCUCCUGAGUCAGUAAAUUUAAUCCAACCUUGAGUUAAAUGACACCUGAUGGAUGUGCAUCAUCCAGAGCCAGUACAGAUGUGCACACAUUUUCUAGUGUUAGGAUAUCGAAACACCUUGACUCGGUUCAUCUCAGAAAUCACAAGGAGUUAAGAGGUAUCACGAGAAUUAAAAAAAUGAUAUUGAUGCAUGGAAAAAAUCUACAUAUGUUGACAUAAAUUUCUCCUUGAGAAUUGCCAAAAUCCCUUUAGUCAAUGAUUCAAAAUCCAUGGAGAGUGUUGUUUCUAAUUAUAUUGGUUCAAAUGAAAGGAAUCAAUUAGGAAGAAUAGCACUCGCUCAUCAAAAGAGAGGUGUUUACCAUAGUAAAAACCUGCAGCUCAUAAGCAUUUGCGUAGAAAAAAGAAAUGAUUUUUCAUUCAGAAACAACAAUAGAUUAGGUGGUGAGAAAGCCAUGCUAGCAGCACAAGGGAUUCCAUAGCGUGACCUGACAUCGGUUACGAUGUAACAUAUCUUCUCGGUAUGAGUGGAAUUAUGUUUCGAUACUGAAUUAGCGGUACAGAUCCAUGCGGUUGAUGUAUGCAGUGACUAGAUACUAACAUAGAUCACUCGGUACGGAAAUGUAUAUUGAAGUCAUUGAAAGGGCUUAAUAUGGUAAAUCGUAACAUGUGUGUGUGUGCGUGUGUGUGUGUGUGUGAGAGAGAGAGAGGCUUCACAAGUCAUUCUAGCACUCUGAUGUGGUCAAAGAGUUGUGUGGUACAACCGGCAAAGCUAGUUACUCCUCGAUAAUUAUUACUCUAAUACUGAUGAUUGUUGAUGUGUAUUCAUGAAGAUAUCCUUCAUUGGAUUUACAUCAUCUUAGUGAUGUGGAUGAUCUUAUCAUCAAUAUCUAGACAAGACAUGUGAGAUACACACAAUCAUUUUAAUAUGGAUAUGUGGGUCAAACGAAAUGAUGCUAAGUUUAGGGCUUGAGCAUAUCUCAGCGGGAAUAAAUUUAUAUCAGUCUUCAGAUAUCUAGAAAUAUUGGAAAAGUUCAAUAUAGAUAUCUUAUCAAAGACACAUAUGGUCAUAUUGUACCAGGCAUGGGAUACAAGCACAUUCACACCGAUGGGAGAUGGUAAAGUGAUAGUGGACAUGAAGUUCCAUAUCUGAUACCGUCGGAGCACUCAUAUAUUUGGCAAAAUACGUCAGGCCUGGCAUUACAUUUGUUGGCAAUCUAUUGGUAAUGUAAUCCCCAACAAAAGCUAUAAUGGUUGGUGUAAGGAAUAUCAUUAGAUAUAUCGAAGACACACAUGGUCUUGUUUUAUUCCAUCAGGAAAAUCAAGAUGAGACAGUAGUUUGAUAUCCUAGGAAUAGCUAAUAAUCUAAUCCCAAUAGUGCCAUAUCGAAGAUUGGAUUUACUGGAAGAGUAUUCAGAGGGAUGCCUUAAGAAUAGACUGUAAAUGGAUCCUUCCAGUCAUCAUUGUACCAUAAUUAAUUUAUGUGAAGCAUCACAAGAUUUGUAUGGCUUCACGGAAUGAGUAGCCACAUGUGAGAUAAUGCCACUUGUAUUGCUUAUGGGUUAUAUUUAUGCUCGCAAAUUACAGAAUUGUUAGAGGAUAAUCUGCAAACUAAUUAAUGUGAUAUUCACAAUGUCUCUACCAAUGUUUGAAUUCUAGAAUUACGUUCGUGGAAUUGGUAAGAAACAACAUUGUUGUUUGUAAAGUUCAUGGGGAGUAAAGUCCCAAGUUAUAACUCGUUGGCGAUCUUUAGAUCAUUUGUAUUUUACUCCUUUUCCCUUUACUCCUUUUCCAUGAUGGUUUCUCAUGUAAGUUUCUUAACGAGAUAAUAUAAAUACAAGUGCAUAAUGCCAUAUUGGGUUCUCCAUAUAUUUUCCCCGCAUGGUUUUAAAGGAGUUUCCGAUGGCAUAGUACUAUAAUAUUCUCCAUAGUUUUUCCGACAAGAUUUCUGGAGUAGUUUUCAGUAAGCAAUGUGUGUGUGUGUGUGUGUGUGUGUGUGUGUGUGUGUGUGUGUGUGUGUGUGUGUGUGUGUGUGUGUGAUGAAUUGAUCAAGGGGAAGUGUUGAGAAAUAAACAUGUGAACAAUUGUAUGGGAUGGAUGCCUGCUAGGAGCUGUCUAUUCGGGAAGAAGUGUCUCCCCCACACACUCCAUCGUGUAUAUAAGUGGGUCUCCCACAUUGCAAUGAAGCUAGUGAAUAAUUUAGACUCUUUAUCUGUCUCUUUUGCUUUCGCCCUACAACACGUUAUAAGCACAUAGCCUCUAACACAGUCGGCCACUAACACAGAGAGAGAGCGAAAGGAAUGAAAAUGAUCAGUCGCGCUCUACAGAGAGAGCAAUCCGGCCACUAACACAGUCGCGCACUACCAUGGCCCUCUCGAACUACGAAGGAAUGAAAAUGAUCAGUUACAACGAGGAGUAUAUGGUGGAGCUCCGCCACCGGUAUCCGAAUCGCGUCAAGGAGAAGCACUGGUAGUUCGAUCUCUACAAGUUGCGGAUGAUUGAUGAGCCGGGCCGUCGAGUGCGCCGGUCAUUUAUCUUUGCUCUAGCGAUGACGACAGCUCCAGAUCCGGCGAUAGUGCGGGCGAGGGCAGAUUAGACAUCGACUAGUUUUUUUAGUUUUUAUGCAAUCUUAGUUUAUAUUUCGUUUGACGUUUUUGUAAAUAUAAUUUGUGCUACCGUUUCAAUCGAGUUCGAAUCAAGUUUGAUCGACUAGUUUCAAUCAAAAUUUGCAUGAAUUUGCGUUUAAUUUCUUAAGGAGUUAACAGUUAGGGGUUCGGUUAGAAAUCACAUUUUUUUAGAGUAAAUUUGGGGAGUAAUAAGGGAUUGUGGUUACAGAUGCUCUAAUAGUGUCAUCCUACAAGCUCUUGAUGUCGGAAAGUCCAUGAACUGCUCGAAAACGAGCUAAAGAGAGUUGCCAGUCUAGGAUAUUAAAUGACAAGGAUUAAGCUGAUGUCCAACAAACAAAUAUAUCCGAAUGCAAUAAAUUAUGCUUGAUCCUUGGAUGGUGGUGGCAGUGCAGAGUUGGUGACGGCUUGACCAAGCACCACGACUGUUUUCUGGAGAUACUCGAGCUUCUCAUCACAAUCUCUCAUAAAGUGGUAUAGCAUGUCAACACUGUGGUAGAGAUCCAUGAUGGACUCCGUCUGAUGUUCAUUGGUUGCUCUUGCUACUUUAUAUUCUUGGGAAGGAGUUGGAAGUACAUGCUUGAUAGAUUUUGUUGCAGACGAGGGCCCUUCUCCUGAUAUUUUUUCUUGCCUGCAUGGUUGCUUCGGUAGCCCAGACACUUUACAGUCUGGUCCACGCAACUCAUCAGUGAAGUUCUCCACAUAUUGCCACUCCGCUUUCUUCUUGACAGCUUGACAAAGCACCAUGACUUUUUUAUGGAGAUUCUCGAGCUUCUCAUCACAGUAGGAGCUUCCUUGUCUUGCUGUGGUAGAGAUCGAUGAUGGACUUCUUGUGAUCGCCAUUGGUUUCUCUUGCUGCUUUAUAUUCUGGCGAAGGAGUUGGAAGUACAUGCUUGAUAGAUAUUGCUGCAAACGACGAUCCUUGUCUUGAUAUUUUGUCAUGCCGGCAUGUUUGCUUCGGUAGCCCAGACACUUUACAGUCUGGUCCAUACAACUCAUCGGUGAAGUUCUCCACAUAUUGCCACUCUACUUUCUUCUUAUUGGACAAUGGAGUAAUCUUUGUAGGAGCUUCCCAUAAACGAUCCAUGAUCUCCUCAUCGGUGGACCAUCCCUCACCGUAAUCCUUUCCCCUGUGAGAGCUGCCGCAGUCCCAUAGAACUUCAAGGUUAUGUGAUGAAGUCUGCAAAGAAUCCAAGGGAGGUACCUAUUUCGUUGAAAGUGAGAUUAUCAGGGUUCUCAUUUUCAAUGAAAUUUCAACAAAGUUCUGGUGAUUACAACAUUAAAUCAGGCAUUAACAUUCAAAGUAGAUUAUGCUUAUCUUCAAAUAAAAUUGAUGCCAAAAAAAUAAUGUCAUUUAUUUAACAAUCAGUGCAUAUCUAUAUGUGAUUAUGUAAAAGAUUUAAGCAUUAAAAAUUUAUACAUUUCAAGAAUCAGUGAAUGCGUCGUUGAUACCAAUAUAAUUAACAAAAGACGAAACACAUAUCAAGAAAAUGCUCAUGAAUAAACGAAUUACCACUAGUAGAAAAUAGGGCUUUCGUUCGGCCAGAAAAGAGCAUUAAUCCCGGUUGCGUUACGAACCGGGACUAAUGUGAGCAUUAGUUCCGGUUCGAGUGACGAGGGCACCGUACAGGCAUUACUCCCGGUUCAAAUGAGACAUUUAGUCCAGGUUGGUGCCACGAACCGGUACUAAAGGGUGCACUGCCCAUUAGCACCGGUUCGUGGCACGAACCGGUACUAAUGGGGUUGAGAACUUUAAUAUCGGUUCGUGCCACGAACCGGUACUAAUGGUGCCCCCCGUGUAUCGCCUUUUCAGUUUUGUAAAAAGCAAAAGAAAAUGAUAAAAACUUCAAAAGUUAAAAUCCUUCGAGAUGUAGUUAUGUUACCACAUCUACUAGUUAGGAAAAUUUUAAAACUUAAAUUUGGACAUGUUUUGCAAAAAGUGGAGGGAAAAUGUAAAACGGCUAUAACUUUUGCAUACGAUGUCAGAAAAAAAACGUAUAAUAUAUCAAAAUGUUCAGCACGAAAAUCCGCAUCCGAUUUUGACAGCCUACGGCCUGUUUGCAAAUUUUUAGAAUCCUCAAAUUCUAAAAGGAAAAAAAAUUAUACUCAAAUUUCAGUUUUUUUUGAAAUUUUGUUAAAUCUGGUCAAACCAUGGUCAAACUACUUAUUCAAGACGUAUUAGUGUUACUAAAUAAUUAUUCAAGAAUAUUAGUGUUACUAAAUAAUUAUUUCAGUUUUUUUGAAUUUUGGUCAAAUCUGGUCAAACUAUGGUCAAACUACUUAUUCAAGAAAUAUUAGUGUUACUAAAUAAUUAUUUCACUUUUUUUGAAUUUUGGUCAAAUCUGGUCAAACAUUGGUCAAACUAUGGUCAAACUGUGGUCAAACUAAUUAUUCAAGAAAUAUUAGUGUUACUAAAUAAUUAUUGUUUUUUAGAACAAUAGUUUUAAACUCAAACAGUGAAAUGUGUGACUUCAUGCUCAAGCUAAAUUCCUGAGGGUUAAUAGGAUUGACAUCGUACUAUUGUCAGGAAAACAACAAGUGCAGACUUGGAAACGAGGGAGAAUAGAACCCGGAAGUUAAGCGUGCUCAUGCUGGAGUAGUGAGAGGAUGGGUGACCGUCCGGAAAGUUAGAUGAUUUGGAAUGAUAAGGGGUGAUUAGAGAUUAGAGGUUAAAUUGAGCAGUGAUGAGGGGUAAUUAGAGAUUAGAGAUUAAAAUAAUUCAGAAAUUUGAAAAUAAAAAAAAUUCAAAAAAUAAAUCAUAAAAUUUCCUUUAGUACCGGUUGGUGUUACCAACCGGGACUAAAGGUGGAUCUCCAGGCAGCGACUACAUGGAGGGCCUUUAGUCCCAAUGCGUAUAAGAAUCGGGACUAAAGGGGGAGACUUUAGUAACGACCCUUUAGUCCCAGUUUCAGAACUGGGACUAAAGGCCCUUUUUCUACUAUACAUCUAGUAAGUAGUAAUAAAUUUCACAUAUGUGUGAAGCUUUCCAUUCACCAACCAGUUAUUCAGUAGUAUAUGUGUUUCCUAUAAACUGUGUUGUGCAGUAACACUUUCCAUGUGUGCCAAGCAUUCUACUAGUGAGCAUAAUUAUCACCGUUUAAGGUUUCUAUUGAUCCAACAGGUUUGGCGCUAAUAACCAAUGCAAAUCUAUGGGCAAAAAGCAUUUGACGCUAGGAAAGCUCUUCGCCUAGUUAGUAGUUACCACGGUAUACAUUAUAUGACAUUUAAAUCGAACGUAUGAACACUUUUCGUACUCAAGGGCCUCAUUAUUGAAUAAAUUUCUGUCAUUAAAUUAAAAAAUAUUUCUUCUUCUUUUUUCUGCAGGUAUUCAUAAUACUUAAUUAAUACUAUUUCAAAGAACUCAACCCACACACAUUCAGUGAAAGAAAGCUGAAAUUUAAUUUAUAGUAAAGAGUGAGUAGAAACCCAAAAUUAAUACUUGUUCACUAAAGGUCUCGACCAAGCCACAAUUCGAUUCAUAUUAAUGGCGUAAAAAAGGUCACACAUUAAUGCAUGUUUAAUAGUGGUUGAAAAGAAGGCAUAGUUUUUUUUUGCAGGUAAGAGAAGACAUAGAUUGAUGCAUCUUAGGGCAUAUACAAUGGUGCUAUCUUAGCAGUGUCACGUAGGAUAAGUGAUGAGUUGGAGGAGAGAGAACUCAUAAGAAAAGGUUUGUUCUCUCUUAUUUAAGAGAAGACAAGAGAUGAUCUCUUAGCACAAUAUGUCUCAUUCCGUUUUUAGGAAUGACUAGUUAUUGAAGAUAAGUCUAAGAGAUGACCCAUCUCUCCCUAAUAAUAAAGCACGGAUUGAGUCUUCUUAUUCACCGUCGCUGCGUUUUUACACAAAGCCCCCUGAAGUUUCGGUUAAUUAACCCGAGCUCUAAAUAGUAAGUAAAAAACCGAUUCGCGCCCCAAUCUCGACUCCAGACCGUAGUCCUCCGGCGAUCUCGGCUUCCUCUUCCUCAACACCUGCGCCGCCUGGUCCACGGGAGACAGUCCCGCCCAAAAGGAUAGAUGUCUCUUCCACAACUCGGAGCAGCACGGGAUGGAAAAAAAUCAGGCCCUCGCUCGCCUCUUUACCGUGACUCCUCAAUCGCAUCGUGGAGGUGCUGGAUGUCGUAGGGAAGGUGCAGGAGGCGGACGGUCGUGGUGGUCCGGUGCAGUUGCGGCUGCAUUGUCGCUCGGGCGAGGAGGAGCUCGCACGGCAGCAUCCACAACGGUCUUGGAGCUCGCCGGCUCAGAGCCGCAGUAGGCAGGGCGCCAGGGCCAGCAGCUAUGGCGUCGUGGGGGCGGACGAGGGCGCGGGUCCGAGGCGGCACUGGGGGUCGGGCCAGCUGGCAUGCAGACGGGCGACCGCUAUGGCAGAGGCGCGAGCUCGAGCCAGCAACUGGUCACGGUGGAGCAACUGCGCGAGGGAGAAGAGGAGGCCCCGGUUGAAAGAAAGGGCGGCGGAGGCUGGUCGCCGGCAGCGUCGGCCGGUGGUCGUGCGCGCGGGGGGAGCCCUCCCUGGUGCUGGCGGCGUAUGAGGGAUGUAUGGGAUGAGGAAGCUGGCGAUUGAUGAUCCAUGGUCUCACCUCGUGAGUUUUCUUUAAGUUCUUCACCUCGUGAGCUAGGUCCUAGGUUAGGAAAAACUCAUGGGGGUGGCCCCGCUAGGGAUUGGACUUAGGUGGCCUGUUGUGUCUUGUGUGCAGCUCCCUCAAGAAAAAAGAAUACGGCAUGCAGCCGUCGGACGUUGGAGAUCAAGGGAAGGGAUUGUGUGCAAGAUACGUGGUAGAAGUCUUGAACAAAGAAACACAAAUAUAGAGGAGAUGGUGGACGGCGACGCGCCAGCCACUACCGGUGAGAUCGGCCAAGGAAAGGAGGCAUCUAACUGUAAUGCAUUUUUUUCAUGGAUGCAUGCAGACCAAACCAAGGAGGAAACAGAGACAGUUGGACGGCGUCCACCAGCAGCAACCGCUCAUGUUGGCGAGCUUCAGCCCGAACCGUCUUGGUGGAUUCAUCCACGUCUAAGCAUGCAUCGCAUAUGGGGUCAUAAGAUCUAUUUUAUAUGUUGUCGGUCAUUCUAGCCAGCCUUGCGUGGGAUUUGGUGAUGUCAAAGACGACCGUGAGUCCAUGGUGAGGGCCAGUAAUUUUCUCCUAAUUUUAGUCUAUGAAGCAUAUAUUGUUGACUUUUGUGAACAUAAUUACACUAUUUUGCAGAUUUGACUAUUGAUUUUCAUACACUUAAAUAAUUUGUAGUUAUUUACUGUUGCGAUUUGGAGUUCAAAAAUAUGAUUUUCAUACACUUCAAUAUUUUGACUUUUGUGAACAUAAUUACACUAUGAAGCAUAUAGGGCAGAAGGUUGCAGUGUGAGUUGUUUUAAAACCUGAAUUUAGUGUUCAAAGGAAAAUGCAAUGCUCUUAUAUAUAUAACUUUAUAUAUUGCAUAUAUAUAAAGCUACAAGUCCUCGCAAAAAAAUAGCUACAAGUCAAAGUUUGACAUAUGUUCACUGCUCAAGCAAACAAUUAAAUAUGCUUGUCACAUUUUUUAGAUACGCAUUACUAAGUUUCCCGUACUAUAGUUGACUUCUCAUGUUGUUGCACUCAAUUUUUAUAGCAGGAAUGGCUGCUUAAGCACUUGUACUCAUGGACAAUUCUUAACAAGUAAUAGGUGUGUAAAAUCAAAUUUGUAAGGUCGGUUGGCCAAAGCUUACCAAGACAGUCAAAUUUAUUAGGUCGGCUAGCCAAAGCUUACAAAGAUAAGCGGACGAAUAUCCACACUUGAGAAUUCUUGUAAGUUCUUAUAUUCCUACCACAUAUGUGCCGCUCGAUUUUCGCAUUUUGCAUGUUGUGCUCUUUUACUAAAAAUGUGAGUGUUUUUUCUCCCGUUGCAACGCACGGGCACUUUUGCUAGUUGUAGAUAAAAUAUUUUGUCAUCUAUAAAUUACAUGCAAGACUUAAGAUAAGACUACCUUAUCAACCAUUGUACAUGCCCUUAACAUCUUCUCUAUGAUGUAAAGGUUAUCCAAACUGCACAUAUAGUGGAUUAUCGAAAAUACAACUUAUCAAAUGGAUGUGCCCCAUUUUACAUAUACUGCUUGACAUAUAAUAAUUUACAUCGGUACUUUUCGAACCUAGUGUUUGAUGUGGCUUGAGUUCUUGUAUCAUUAGAACAUUCAGAUCUGAAUAUUAAUCCAACAAGAUGAAAUUACCUCGGGGAAAGUGUACGUGUAGCAAGCAAAGAACAAGAUAAAGAUGGAGUACCUCGGGGGCUAUGUUCGUCCCCGUUGCUUGAUGCUUGGUCUCCACACCGAACCUGUUGUCCAG